GGGGGGGGGGAAGAAACAAAAGAGGGAGGUUGAACGUCAUGUCAUUCCAAAAGAAAGAAAAAAAAGCAAAUCUUGCAAAAUAGGCUGGUGGAAUAUUUGGCGUGUUGCUUGCUUUUAAGGAGCAGGGCUCAUGGAAGGUAGGCAAGCCUGGUUUUGUGUAUUAUUUUUAAUUUUUAAAAAAGGCACAGCUCUAUUUUCUGCCACCCACCUUUUGCUAUAACGGAGCGGCGCCCCUCUCGGAGCCGUCGGUGAAAAGCGCCAGAGGAGCCGCGGUGGCAGGAUGGAGAACCCACCUAGAGGGGCCCCUUGACGCGAGCACAUCCUCUGUCGGGCAGCCGCGCUCGCUGCAGCCUGGAGCUAAUUCUGCUGCACAAUUCUCGUGGCACAGACUCGCCUGCAAGUGUCCUGAGCCCUUCCGUAAGAAAAGGAGACAAAGGGGGUCGAAGGGGACGCAGGAGGAGGAGACCAGCAACAUCCUGCUGCCUGCACCGUUUGGUCCGGAAGGUCUAAGCCUGGCUUUGCCUGAACUUCACGCUCUACCUAUCGAAGGAUGUGGCCAGACAUUCAGGAGUAAGAAUAACCGGUGUUGAGAAGCCGAUUGCUGGCGGGGGGGAAACUGGAAAAAAAGAAGAGGAGAAACUCCAGGGAAGGGAUUCUUUGAUUACUUAGGACUUGAAACUCUCCGCCUAAUUCUGCCAAGACGUGAAGGUGCACACAAAGUAGAAUAUUUAGUUAGAAAACAAGGCUCUGCAGCAAAGGAAUCGAUCACUUCCAUCACGACCGUCGGUGUGUUUACUCAGAAGUAAGCCUCAGUGGUUUUAAUGGGACUUAUUACCUCCUAAGUGUGUGUGGUAUUGCAGCAUUAGUCAUUUUUUCUUCCAGGUAUAAGACAGCUUUAUUAUGGGGUUAAAUGGCAACUUGGAGUCGGAUCAUGACAACAACUUCAGUGCAUAAUGGUAUUUCAUUGUAGUCUUAUCUUAUGGAGCAGGAAAAUAGCAUAACACACUUCCUUAAGGCUCCCUCCUAUCAGGCAGAGAGUGGAGAGCCUACAUUUCCAGAUGAAAAGUUUGCUCUGUAUUGGAUCAGCUUCCAUUCUUUGUCUGGUCUUUCUUGCAAAGAGAGGAAACACAAUUAAAGCAACCACUGAUGAAUAUGUGUUUGAGAAGGAAGAAAAAGCAAUACUUGUUUCUAAAGGACAGCAUGGCAAAACCAUGUGAAGUUUUGCAUUUCCUCUUAAAAACUGAUCUAGCACAGAUGGCAAGAAACUCUCUUUUGACUAACCUUUUCCUACUGUCUAAAAUGCUGCUGCACAAUAAGAUGCUUUAAUUUAUACCUGGGAUUUAUCAAGGGGAACCGUUGCCUUCAUUUAGGAUAAGUUGUUAAACAUAUAUGAUUCCUUUUGUGAUUUUUAAAAAACGAAAUACUAGUGAAUUGCAUUAAUGGAUGGACGCAUAGCUAGAAAACCUUCUGGAAAUUCUGCCCUUGAAUCCUGGAGAUUCUCACUUAUGUGGAAUACAAUACUUUUUUGCAAUAGCCCAUGACACUAACUGAUGCUGCAGUUGUUGCGGAAUGUAUCUAUGAAUUCCGUAACAGAUAAAGCUUUUGGACAAGGAAAAGACUGAGGCCGAUAGAACCAUGAACAUGAUGCAUGUAAACAAUUUUCCAUUCAGGAGGCAUUCGUGGAUAUGGUGAGUAAACUGCUGCACACUUCAGUGUGGAGUUAUCCCAAUACUUGUUUGCUGUACGCUGUGACAAUCGAUUCCUUAGCACCAAGGGAUGGCGAUGCAAGUGAGGGACUGUAAUCGAGAGGUGCAUUAAAAAUAAAUAAAUCCCACACUGGGGACGUAAUGCAAGUUUUACAACGCAAGAGAAACCCAGCAGGGAAAAUGUGUACAUUUUAUGAUGUCAUUCUUGUUUUUCCUUUAAUCCAGCACCAUGAAAACAAAUUCCCUCCCCUUUCUGUCGCCUUGUUGAAUUUAACAGAAUUUAACUUUAACAGAAAAUAGAACUUCUGUUUUUGUUUUAACUCUUUCAAGUCAAUUCUUAGGUUCAGUGUUUUUCCAGACAAAUCUUUUCCUGCUUCAGUGAAGGGAUAUUUGGUGAAAAGGGCUGUUUUUCCUCCCUUUUCCUUUCUGCCUUUCCUCCUCCUCUCCUCCCUCUGCCCCACCCCCUUUUUGCUAGGGUAUGCACCAGAAUACGAAUGAUGCUUUCUCUAAGAAAUGCAUGCCAAGGGACUAUUUUCCCCUCCCUUCUUUUGUGUGCAACGUCAAAGAAACAUCAGGGAUUAGUUGCAUAUUUUUAUUAUUUUUUGCUCCCUUAUACAAUCCAGGCAGUGUGACUUAAUAUAACCCUUUCUAUUUUGUUAUAUAAUAAGAUGGGUUUGCUUACACGGUUGUUAAACAGUAUGCUCUAGAAAGUGGACAAAUCUGCUUAUUCUAGAGCAUACUGUUUAACAGUGCCUGAUAAUGCAUAGGUAUGGGAAGAUUAAUAAAAGAAUGACUCGGAUUUUAUUUAUUUUUUAGUGGUUGGAGGAGGCUUGCUUUCAAAAAGGUCCUAGUACCUAUGCAUUGUCAGGCAUGGCAAGAUUCCAUGUUAUUUAUUUAAAAGUGGUGCAGAGAGGGAGCCUCUUGGAUUGCUGUAACACAUCCAUUAUGAAGAUUAUAAUGGAGUAACAGGAAGAGGGGGUUUUCCAAGCGACCCAAUUAAUGUGGUGCUUGGUUAAAAGCUUUAUUAAUUGAUGCUUCUUGUCUUGAAUACUGCUCUCCUCAGCACCGAAGCAAUACAUUUAAAGGCAUUGGGUGGCAGCAUCAGCAUCCCUGAAACAUCAUACGUAACUGUAGAAAUCCAAAAUUUCCUUUUCUUCUCCAGUGAACAUUUCCACCCGCAUCCUUAUGUCAGUUUUCCUUACAUAUACCAUUUUUUUAAAUCUGUCACAUAUAAAAGAGAGCAUAUGUGAUCAGUAAAUGAGUCAUUAAAAUAUCAAUAUUUUAAAAGUUAUUCCCGUCCCCCUGCAUUUGAGCUUCAUUUUUCUUCUGCCAGCCUUCUAACUUUCCAUCUGUGAUAAUAAAAGUUCUUUGUGUGUGAAACUGAAGCAGGUGGGAAAUUUGAUGCAGGGCCUCGCCACCAUCAGCUCAGUUCGGGAUCAUCCUGGGUCAGUGUUGCAAUUGUUGCUGUCUUACCACAUAUUUAUUUACACGAAAUGGAAAAGACCACUCACACCUGACACUGAUCCAGUCAAAGGCUGGACAAAGCCCCUGAAACUUUCUGACGGAUGUGCUUUGGCCUGGUCCUACUACAAAUAAGCAGCAUACCUAAAGGGAAAUUGGUAAACCAUGGUUUGCCUUACCGUGAAACAUGGAGCUUCAGGCAACGGAUUCCAGAGAGAGUGCAAUUCCCCUCUCUCCAUUUUCCAUCUGUGUGUGCCAUUAAAAAGAAGGAAAAGCUCUAGUUCAGAACAGGUAGGGGUAGCAUAUUAGCAUCCCCAUACAUGCGCAAAGACUGUCUAAAGCAAGCAUUGGGUAAAGAAAGAAAGAAAAGAAGCUACACUCAAACCUUUGCAGGGGAAGGAAAGUCUUUGUGGAUUGAAAAAUAAGACCCACAGUGGUCCUGUGAAUUAGCCUUUAGGGAUGGGGAGCUCUUAUGAUGGUAGUUGAACUACAGCUCCCAUCAGCCCCAGCCAGCAUGGUCAGUGGUCAGGGAUGAAGGGAGUUGAAGUCCAUCAACAGCUGGAGGGUCACAGGUUCCAUGUCUUUAGCUGAAUGAUCCCAAAGCCGUCUUCAGGCACUGAAUGGAAAAGGGCUAUGUGGCAUUAGCUUGGAAGCAUGACACCUCUGAAGAAGAGCAAAAGAAGAGCCCUGGGACAAAGGCAUGUCAAGUCUAUCAUCCUAUGGGAAAGCCCCCAGGCAGGACAUGAGCACAAUAGCCCUCUCUCAAUGUUAUUUUUCAAGUGAUUGGUUUCCAUAGGCAUGCAGUCUCUGAUCCUGGAUUCAGGCCUGGGUUUGGGAUUGGAUUGGGAUGGGUUACCUUUAUUGGAAGAGAGAUAAGGAAUGUGACCCUGUUUGUGCUUUUCAUAUUUGUGGCUUGGGCGUAGAGAGUGGGACACUUGGUUAAAGUGGUUUUGCUUGUAUCUGUGGGUCAGUUUCACGUUGCAAUAUUUGCUGACAGUAUCUUGGCAGCUUGGCUAUUAAGUGGUGAGAUGCCACAAGGCUCCAUCCUGUCCCCAGUGCUGUUUAACAUGUAUAGGAACUUGUUGGGAGAUUUGGGGCACAGUGGCAUCAACAGGCAGGUAACAGAGAAAUUGUCACGGUCCGGUUUACAGGCGGUCAAAGUCCUGGCGGAGGACGUUGGGACUGGGGGCAAGACGGUGGGGUGGGAGCAGGAACAGGAGUCCAGAAGCCAGGAAUCAAGAAGCCAAGGGUCCAAGGGUCAGGAAACCAGGAGUCAAGGGUCUAAGGAUCAGGAAGCAAGGAGUCAAGAAGCCAAAGGCAGGAAGUGUGUUGCUAUAGCAAAGAGCCGAAGGGAAAUGCUGACCUUAUAUCCCUUCCUGGCUCUUGCCACCAGGUGCUGUGAGUUACCAACUGGCCUCACCUGUGCGGCUGUGCCUUGCCUCUUCAGAACAAACUUAGGAAAGCCCCAGUCCUGUGAAGCCCUACCGGUCACAGGGCCUGGCUCCUUCACGCACUCCUGACAGAAAUAGGGUGAGGUGGUCAUGGACCAGUGGCUGGAUGCAGUGGUGGGCUGAAUGAUGGCCAGUAAGUUGAAACUGAAUCCUGACCUGCAGAAGGUAGGUGUGGUUCCUGGUUCAGGAAAUUAGGCUCCAGGGCUGGUUCUUGAUAUGGUUAGACCUGGCCCAGCCUGGCUCAUUGACCCCUCUGCCUUUUUCUAGCAUUGGUUAGGAUGGAUUUCAAAUAUCUCUUUUCUGUCUGCUCUCCACAUAUGCUCUCUACCUAUGUGUAUCAAUGAUCUAGGAUGCUCAGACUCGCUUUUAGCAGUAUCCAAGUGUCAUAGCUCAGCAGCAGAGAACAUGCUUUUCCUGCAAAAGGUCCCAGGUUCCAUCUCCCAACAUUUCCAGCUAGGACUAGGAAAGGUUUCCCCCUGAAAUUCUGGAGAGCUGCUGCCGGUCAACCAUGGGCAGUGCUGACCUCGAUGAAUUAAUGAUCUGACUUGGUUUAAAGAAGUAUCCUAUGUUUCCAAGAUAAUUCUUAGAAUAUGAGACCUAAUAAGGAAUGGACUCUAUGGGUGGAAGGACAGAAUUACUUUAGUAGCAAUUGGUACAUUGGUACCUUGGGUUACAUACGCUUCAGGUUACAUUCGCUUCAGGUUACAGACUCUGCUAACGCAUAAAUAUUACCUCGGGUUAAGAACUUUGCUUCAGGAUGAGAACAGAAAUCGUGCUCCGGUGGCGCGGCAGCAGCAGGAGGCCCCACUAGCUAAAGUGGUGCUUCAGGUUAAGAACAGUUUCAGGUUAAGAACUUACCUCCGGAACAAAUUAAGUACUUAACCUGAGGUACCACUGUACAGAGAAACAAACUGGUUGACAUGGGGCGCCCGUGAUACCUUGGGGGCACUGCCCAUCAUGAGACUCCUGGUCUUAUAACCUGGUCAGUUGCCAUUUCUGAGUGAUCUGGCAAGGAGAGGAGCAGAAACCUCUUCACUCCCUUUACCUCUCCCUCUGGAAGGUUGUGCAGAUUGAGUCCAAGAAAAAGAGGCAACUCUUGUGGUUGGGGGUGGGUUGCACUCGGGGGGGGGGAACCCCAGCAAAACCUGGAACUGGCACUGAUGGUUUGGGAUGACACCGCAAGGCAUGGAUGGGGAACCUCCGGCCCUCCAGGUGUUUUUAGACUUCAGCUCCAGGCAGCAUGGCCAGUGGUCAGGGACUGAUGGUACUUUAGUCCAGCAACAUCUGGUUCCCCAUCCCUUCCAUAAAGAAAAGGCUGUGUUUCUUGGUGGAUUUUUAGUAGUAAGGAAGAACACUGUUUUUACUGGGAUGAAAUCUGUCAAACUUAGAAUGCAUUUGUGAAGGAUGUUCAGUGUGUGUGUGUGUAUUCUUUAUUUCUAACACCUUCAACACUAACAGCUUAUUGACUGGAUUUCCUCAUGCAGCCUUAUGUUAAUACCAAAUCAAAUAAAAAUAAGCAUGCUGCUUAAUUACAGGAUCUACCUUAUAGCCAGAUAAGGAUUGUAGAUCUUUACCUGGUUCUUAAUAUAGAAGGUCGUUUGUAAUACUUUGUGGUUUUGGAUGUGAUUGUUUGUUCUUCCCACAGGACAGUGAAUAAAAACAUUCUAUCUAUCUUGUAGGGGGGAAAUGCAGUAAGAAUGUGCAGUUCACAAUUCACCGGGUUUACACAUCUGGGACUCUGUAGAGCUUUAAGUCGAAACCGCCUUGUCUGAGAUGCAGCCUUGUGAGCUACACAAGUCCUUAGGCUCAGCAGCGGAGCACGUGCCUUGCGUGUGUUAAAGGUCCUAGGUUUGAUCCCUAGCAUGUCCAAUUGAAAAAUGUUUACCGGAAGAAGAUAUACUCGAGUAAGCUGUACUAGGUUAGACGGACAAACUAGUCCAAUAUGGAGCAAGGUAACUUCCUAUGUUCCUUUGUUUCUCCUUGAGGCAUAACAGAAACUAAAAAUGUGCAGCAUCAUGCUGUACAAUUGGUGGACAGUAUGAAGCCUCUGAGUUGGCUAGGCAUGGACUUUGGUCACCAGGACCCUGACCACAUGCCCUUGCCUUGCCAGGAGGUAUCUUUUGGCAGAUUCACCUCCUGUCUUAGGGAAUCUGGGAUGGGACAGACACACUCCAGCUAUUCUUCUGAGCAUGACCAUCCUCUAGUGUGGACUUGAUAAAGUGUUGGGAUGUGUAGCUUAAGAUCAUGGCCCACUUUGGUAUGUUGGCCAGUUUAAUACUAUACCUGGGGUUGUUUGUUUUUUAAAACUCAGAAUAGGUUGGUUUGCUUAUGCUCAAAGGAUUGUUGGAAGAUUCAAGAUGGAUAAAAGAAAGUACUUGUUCACGCAACAAAUGGUGAAACUAUGAAACUUGUUCCUGGGGAGGCAGUUCAGACAAUUUCAUGGAAGAGAGGGCUAUUGAUGGCUACUAAACACUACACAAAUCCGGAGUGGAGUCCCUAAGACAGAUGGAUGGUGCCAUGUACGCCUCCUUCUGGCAACUCCUGCAGCCAAGCUGGUGCCAAAUGUAUUGCUCUGCUUUCCUUUGGACCACAUCAGUGAGUCAGAGAGGAGGGUCUUGUUGUCUGGGCAGCCCAGGUCCUCCAGACACACUGCGCAGGCUUGCACCCUGGACUUUGGUGCUGCUAAUGCAGCAGUUUGACUUCAUCCCUGGAGGCACACUCCAUUGUCUUUUGAGACAGAUGGAUGCCAGCCAUGCCGACCACAGUUGGAGGUAGCAGUGCAUCCGAAUGCCAGUUUCUGGAAACCACAGCAGGGGAGAAUGCUCUUGUGCUUGGAUCCUGCAAUCAGGUUUCCCGCAGGCAUCUGCAUGGCCACUGCGAGAACAGGAUGCUGGACUGGAUCAGCCUGAUCCAGCAGCUUCUUCUUACGUUCUUAUGAUUUUACACAAAACUUUGUUGCUACUAGGACAUGGUGAUGACUGCCCUUUCCCCCCCCAUGUCCCCCACGCUGCUUCCAUCAUACACAGAGGAAGGGCAUGGUUUCCAAGCAUCAGUAGCAAGACAAUGUGCAGGUGUGUUAGAGAAUUGGUUUCAUUCAUAUGAAUAAUACAAUAGUUAUCAUGUAUUGUUAGCAAGACGUUUGACAGUGUUUCACUUGGUAUUCACAUUGAUGGGCAUAUUUGUAAAACACUCUCCUGAAAAUGUUGGCUGAAAAGGCUGCUAUAAGAAGAGAUAUAAUGAAAUAUUAAUAGGAAGCAUGGUCCUUAAUAGGAAAUGUGGUCCUUAGGGCAUUUUGUUAUCCUAGUUUUAGUUCUGUUCUGUUUGGCACAUUUCUGCAUAACUUAGAAAACGUGUUCAUGAGAUCGGCAGAUGUCAUGGCACUGAGAGGGAUUGCAUCCACCUCCGAGCCUCAAAUUGUCAUGUUAAUGUGGACAGUUAGCUUGUAAGUAUGCCAAAACCUUAUAACGAUGAGUGCUAAUCCUGGCACAUUCUGGGACAAAACAAAUGAAUAUAAGUGAAAAAUGGAAAUUAAUAUUAAAGACUAAUGGGGAGAGACAGGCGGAGGACUUAAAAUGGUCAGUCAGUUGAAUGGAACAUGAGUCAGCGAUGAGUCAGAAGAGGGGAGAAACCUUGUAAUUAACGACAGAGAGACAGAGUAGUAUCCAAGACAUGAGGAUUAGUAAAGGUCUACUUCUCACUGCCUUGGCCCCAGCUAAGUACUGUAUUUUUUUAUUAAGGAAGAAAGCAGUGAAAUUAGAGUGAAUUGCUAUAGGACAAAAGGUAGUUGAUUCAAAAAGAAGGAAAGUGCAUUUUAAAUGAGGUUUUUGGGUUUUUUUUGGAGGGGGGAACAUAGUAAUUGUGAGAAUAAUUUCCCAGUCAAGCAGGUGAUCAGUGGUGUAUGGGUAAAUGCUGAAGUGCAGGGUCUCAUUGUGACAGCCACCAUAGCUCUACCCCAGAGGAAAGCCCAGAAUCGAAGACUGCUGCAUCCAACUUCUACUCAAUCAUUAUCUUCCUUCUCUGAGCUCACCUAUGCUAGUUUGUUAUAAACAACAACAGUGAAUCUCGAAAGCCUGGCUCUUGCUUUAGUCACUUUCUAGAGCAAGGCGAGUCUGUCGUUUACUCUGGCGGACGAUUUAUUUGUUUAUUUAUUAACCGCCCUUCACCCCAAGGUCCUAGCGCAGUUUACAACAUUAAAACACAAUAUUAAAAACAAUUUAAAGCAACUUACAGUCAAAGAAAAGCAAGGUGGGUCCUAAAAACAUACGCCUCAAGUGUCAAAAGCUGAGGGAAAGAGGUGCAUAUCUUAAGCAUUCUCUGGAAGCUGUGCAAUGAAGGUGCCACGCGGACCUCUGUGGGGAGGGAGUUCCCCAGUUUGGGGGCCACCACAGAGAAUGCCCUCUCCUGGCCACCACUCCUCCCUCCCCAAACAUCUGAGGAUGGAGGAACUACCAAGAGGGCCCUGUCUGCCAAUUUCAGCACCUAAGAGGGUUUGUAGGGAAGGAGAAGGUCCUUCAGACAUUUGUGGAUUGAAACACCAACGUGAGCACGUUAAAUUGGGCCUGGGAACGAAAUGGCAAACAGCACAGCUGUUUUACAGCUGUUUUAAAGCAGUCAGUAAUCUGGCUGCCGCAUUUCAGAUCAGCUUAAGUUUCCAAGUUGUCUUCCAGUGCAGCCCCAUGUAGAUGAUGUUGCUCCUGUUUCACCCCAUGUCCUCCUUCCACUGCACCACUGUGGGAGUAGCUCAUUAAUAAGGCAAGGUUGAUUUACACCAGUGGUUCCCAGACCUUUUUCAGGCCGCCACCCCCCCACCCUGUUGAUUCUAUAGACUCAUCCCUGUCGCCUCCCACUCUACUCUAUAAAAGGCAUUACUCAGAAUGGCAGUUUGCACAACCCAGUAAGGAAAAUAGUAACAGAAUACAUUUCAAAAUAGCACCAAUUAAUUGCACAUUUGUUCAGAACCCAGUUUAAACUAUUCAGUUUAAUUAUUUCAGCAAAAUGGAUGAACUUGAUUCAGCUUUUGCUUACUUGGUGUGAGAUCAUAGAAUUGUAGAGUUGGAAGAGUCCACGGGGGUCAUCUAGUGGAAUCUUUUGCCCAAAGUGAGGCCCCACCCCUGCCAUUAAGUGUCUCAUGCUCUACCAACUGAGCCAUCGCUUCUGUUUACUUGCUGGUCUUUUGCAAACUGCAUAUACAAGCCUGGUCUCUCACCUCCUAGCCCAGCACUAAGCGUUAUAUGGAAGUAAGCAGUGUGUGUCAUUGCUUUUUUCCUUGGCAUUUGAGGACCUGGCUAAAAGAGCCCUUGGCCAAAGAUAUCUGCCUUUUGGCUUGCAUGGCCCACAGUCCACCCCCCCCUCUAACCAGCUGUUCUUGUUAUGCAGGAAACAAGGGUUUGGUGUCUGGCGCGUGGCCUGAACCCUGUCUCUGGCAGACACAAGAUAUGGCGAAGGAGUUCCUUGUUUCAGGCUGGGAAUUGGACCUUGCCCAUCCAUAAAAAUAGCCGUUAAAGGCUUGACGAAACCAAAUCUAGGCUGGUUAAAAAUGUUUGCAUGCAGUACUUUUCAGAUGGGGCUGGUAAAUGGGAAAGGUACGUAAUCCCGAGGCUCAAUACCAAUCUUAAUAUGCUUCGCGCACUGUUAAGGUCACUGCUCAAAUUUAGUACAGCACCUUUUCUGUGCGCAACGGAGCAUAAUAUAAUAAUAAGCAUUCUGAGAUAAUACUGCUUCUUUUUUCUUUCAAUUUUGCUCAAAGAACCUCUCUUUUCAGUUCUAUUUACAGGUAGGUAGCCGUGUUGGUCUGCCAUAGUCGAAACAAAAUAAAAAAAUUCCUUCCAGUAGCACCCUAGAGACCAGCUAAGUUUGUUAUUGGUAUGAGCAUUCGUGUGCAUGCACACUUCUUCAGAUACGCUGAAACAGAAGUCACCAGACCUUUAUAUAUAGUGAGAGGGUGGGGAGGGGUAUUACUCAGAAGGGUGGUGGGAAUGAGUGAUUGGCUGAUAGGUGUGGUAAACCUGUUGACGACUGUUAAAUGACUGCAAUAGGUCUCUAAGGCGCUACUGGAAGGAUUUUUUUUAUUAUCUUUUCAGCGACAGCUAAAGAACAAUUUGCUUUCUAGCUGCUGCUGCAACAGCAAUGGAUCAACAAGCAAACACUUGUUUCCCCAAUGCUUCUUACAGGGUUCUUACAAACUAACCCCCCCCCCCAACUAUUUUGCAUGUGAGAUUCAGGUGCAUUUCAGCAAAUUCAGGUUAUGCAAUGAGAAUUAACAACAUGAAUUUUACGGUAAGGAAGAUGACGGGGCAAUGCUUGAGAAGCUGUGGAGUAACACCUGCUUGAGGCAAUGUUGUGUAACAGAUCAGAAUGAAUGGUCCAGUGGCAGCCAACGUCAUCUAACCACCCUGCAAGCUUUGUGCCAACAAAUUUGGGUGAACGCUCAUUGAAUGGGUUGUAUGAAAGGAACCCUAAUAACACACUGCUCUCUUUAUAAAGACUUUCAUUUGGGCAACAGAUAUGUGCCCGUAACUAACUUGGUCCAAAGAAUGAGUUUACAUUGCAGCUGGACAAGCCCAUUCCUAGCACAACUCUUCUCCUAGCAAAGUAGAACAGAGUUUCACAAUAGUAUGGUAAAGCAAAGGUAGGGAAACUCCAGGCUUGUGGAACCUACAUUGCAGUAGUACCCUGUUUGCUGAGUGCCCUGCUACUUGGUUUGUUUGUUUACUAGAACCUUGAAAUGCACUGACCCAGAUCAGUGAAAGACAUGCAUUUAGCAUUAAAGAAUUCUGAGCCCCAAAAUUUAUUUGAGUAUCGGAACUCGAUGAAGCUCAUGGUUCUUCCAUUCCCCAUCUGACUUCACUUCAACCAUAAAAUUUCGGAAGAGGGAAUAUUUUGUUACUUCUAUCAUUAAGCAGUCCUUCCUAACUUACCAAGUCACCUGGAAAUCUACCCAUAGAUGGAGAGAUCUACGUUCUGCCCACGCUCGUCUGAGAGACAACUCUGCCUCCAUCCCAACAAACAAGCACAGAUUCCCUUCUGGAGCUUUCACUUUAUUUAUUUGUUUAAAUAUUUAAACGGAACAUUUUGAGCCCGCCCAAACAACCCAGCAACAAAACAGUGUAGGAGCCAUGUUGGUCCAUAAAGGGGGGGGGGGGAUCUAAAAUUACCAUACCUAAAUGUCAGUGUAGUUAUUAUGAGCAACCAAAUGUCACCAAAUACUGAAGACGCUUUCAGGUUAUCCUAGAUGGCUAGAUGUUAAACAAAGCAGUCAGAGGAGGGGAAAGGGGGAAAAACACACACAUUUGGCUUGAUGGUGAAGAUGCAAGGUCUGCAUUUAGUCACAGUCUGAAGAUGGAGUUCAGGAAGAGAUAGCAGAAGAAAUUGGAUUAGGCAGGCUUUACUCGGUGCUUUGCAGGUUUCAGGUUGUACCUAUGACUGCACAAACAAAGAAACAAGUAUUGGCUGAUAACCCUGGUUUUUUAAAAUAAUAAUAAUAAUAAAUAAACCCAUCAGUUACCUGGCUUUUUGUACCAUACCAUUCAAAGGCAAAUCACAACAUAAAAACUGGAUACAUUUUUUUUUUUAAAAAAACACAAUAACCCAGAGGUGGAAAGAAGACAUAGUCCCCACCAGAGAAGAAUGGCAGAUUAAAUUGAUGGAUUAUGCCGAAAUGACAAAAAUGAUCGGAAGAAUUAGAAACCAGGAAGACCUAAAUUUUAAUAAGGAAUGGGGAAAAUAUAUAAUUCACCUUAGAAAUCGUUGUAAACUAUUAAAAUUAUUAGUAGGAUUGGGAUGUUACUUGUAGUUGAAUGUUGAAUUAUGGUUGUAAUGGAGAUUUAAUAGGUGAUUUGGAUUAAUAGAGAAGAUGCAGGAGGAAAAAAGUUAACUUAAGUACCCACAAAGGGGAGGAGGGAAGUCCAGGUGAAUCUAUGAGAUUCUCUUUUUAUUUUGGUUGUUUGACAAUUGUUUGUAAAUUUCAAAAUCUGAAAAAUUAUUUUUUUAAAAAACAACAACCCACAAAAGUAUUUCUUUGUAUUUUUUAAAAGCAGCUUUAAAACCCUGUUUUAAAACCCAGAUAUUUCCUAUAAUAAAAUUGUAUUUGCUACUAGAAAUACAACAGCAAAGGGUGCUCUUUUGGGGGGAAAGGGAGUUCCUGAGAGUGGCAAAGGCCUUACUUAACCUGUCCUGCUGUAUCUCAGAUAGCGCAGGGCUCCUGAGCAGAGCGGCGGUAAUAGAACUGCGGUAUUGACAUCUUUUGCCAUGUCAGCCUUGCAGCUAGAGCCUGUUCCUGGAGUUCAUCUGUGGGCAUCAUGUGUUGUUUCCUUGCACUGCAGUCACCUAUCGGUUUAUUACCUGUAAUAAACAAGCCACUUACGUUUGACUAAUUAGAUCUAAGCCAGUAAAUGGCUUUGAUGCAAGUAUUCCCUCUUAAUUGAAUAAGUCUUCUAACAACACUCAAGUAGGGCAUGACUUUCUAAGGACUGUUUUGACUACCAUCGAACAACUUGCAGUGCCAGGCUAGAAUACAAACAGGAUAGCUGUGCAAAGUGAUGGCUAAUGGAAAUUUCCUUUCAUUUUAAACUUGGCAAUGCUCAGAUUUUAAUUCUCUUACAAUGUAGUCAUAUCUAUCUAUCCAGAAGUAAGUCACAGUGAGUUCAGCGGGGCUUAUUCCCAAGUAUAAGUGGGUACAGGAUUGCAGCCUUAAGGGUGUUAAUUAAAUGCCACCUUUGCCAGUAAGUAUAUGCUCUUCUCUAUCACUUCUGCAUUGCUUUUCCCAUUCCCUGUCCACCCAAAAACAACAACAUGGCAAUGAUGCACUGUUGAUCACAUUCUUGACAAUUCGCCCUUCUUUGGGAUCAAGAGAAGGAAAAAACCAUAGCGCAACAAACUCAAGCCCUGAUUGAUUGCAGCUCCUUGCUGUUUUCACGACUGGCUGGCUCCAUCCUGUUCUUACGUCACAUUGUUCUGACAGCCAGGGUGAUGUAGUGUUCGCUGCACUUGGAAGCAGGGAGAGAUCUGUGUUCAGGUCUUCACUUAACCAAACAAAGCUUACUGAACGCUGGGCCAAUUUCACACUCUCAGACCAAGCUGCAUCUCAGAAUUGAUGAAACAAGUAACCACUUGUUGCCUUUAAUACUUUGCGGAAAGGUGGAAUAUAAAUAAACAAAUAGUAAUCAAAAUUAAAAAAAUAACACCUGCAACAGAAUCUUGCAGAUUGGAGUGCUGCUGUUUAGGAUUCUGGCUACUUCAUUCCAUUAGACUCCAUUCCUUCUCCCAUAUUCUGGUUUUCCAUCUCUCUCCUGUCCAGCAGUCAGCAUUCCUUGGACACUGAAUAGACUCAGUCCUCAAUGAAUGGUUUUGUGGUGGGUCGCUCCUCCCCCUUUCCUAAACUUUCUUUUGUACUUCUCUUGUACUUCUGGUAACUCUGGGAUUCUUCUAAAUCCUGCUAAUAUCUCCUCCUGUGUGGGUGGUGCUGGUCUGGUCAUUUAACCCAUGGCACUCAAAACCCGCACAUUGAAAUUAGAGGGAAUGACGUGCGUUGUCCUAAAUUUCUAGAAGGAAUGUUGGAGUGAUAUAAAUAAAUGCAUGGAGCCACACUUGAAGUUUAUGCCAGGAAAAAUAAUAAUAAUUCUCUAAUGAGCAUAUAAAUGAGUAAAUCUUCAGGUAGAUAUCCACAGCAGAGACCUACCUUUUGGCCAGUACAUCAGAGCUGAAUUAUUCUCUUAAUGCAGCCAAGUUGGGUUAUUUCUUUCUCUUUUUUCUUUUUUGUAUACAGUACAGUAAAGGGAUUUCUCAAGGUACAGGAAGCCUGUACCAUCAUUCUGUUUUGUUUUAAAAUCUAUAUCCCAUCCAAAUGUUCUCUAAAGGCAGUCUACAAGACAAUGUUUUAAAGCAUACAAUAAAAGAAACGAUAAAAUCCAAAGUCAGCCAUCAGUUAGACAUCGUCCCUGGCAGCAGCAAGAGCAUUCUAAGGACUUCUGCAGAUGACCUACAUACUGAGCAUUCAACCUGAUUUGCUUACAGAAAGCAUAUGCAGAGCUUAAGAUUACAUCGGGUCUUUAUUGAGCAUUAGUUCCAAUUUGCUUAUGAAGUAUUUUACCACCCUGUUAAUCACUUGUUCGUUCCACACCUUUUCAUGCAUUUCUCCUGUCACUUUUCUAACCACAAAAAAAGUACAUUUCUUUCUUUGACGUGACAUUUGUUGCGCCAGGGUGACAGAGCACUUUAAUCCACUUUUAUGUUUUCCAGACUGAAACUUCACGGUGCGCUGUUGAAUCCCUCCUGCAAAAUAACGACAGUUUGGAGGCACCCUUAGACUGCAAAUGCCUGCUUAAGGAACAUAAAUGCUUUGGCCAACUUCCUGUAUUCCAAGAGCAAACACAUGUGUUGGGAAGAACCCACCUCAGAAAUGGUGCUGCUAUUGAGAAAGCCCUUUAACUUCUUAACUGCAAAAGCUGAGCUAUUUCUUAGAGGAGCCUGGAGUGCACGUGGAAGGAGGCAAUACAAAGGGUACCUUAAUAGCAUUCAUCAUGGUUGCAGCUGCUAUGACCUGGUUCGCACACGAAGCUUAGUCAAACAGUGGCUUAGUGAAAAUGUGCGGGUUCUCAGAGAAGAGAUCACAGUUGCCUUGCUCUCCUCCAGUCCUGUUGCUGCUGCAGUUCUGUGAGCUAAGCAAUGGUUUGGCAUAUCAUGUCAUUUGAAGCUCAGGGUCAUGGUUUCCUCUCUCUAAGCAAACCGUGAACUGUAACCAAGGUUUGCUAUUUGUUUAUGCCUCAUAGUUUGUCUGGAGGAGGAAAACCAUGAGCAUGGGCUCAGCUGACAUGCUAAACCAAACAAUUGUCUAGCUUGCAGCAGGACCAGAGGAGGUGCAAAGUGGCCACAAUCUCAUCUCUGGGAGCUUACACAUUUGUGCUGAAACCAUGGUUUGGCUUAGCAUUACAUGUGGGCUGAGCCAAAUCCCGCUAAUAGUACGGCUUAUUUCUUUGUUUCUUUUUUUGAGAAGCAAAGCAUCUAGUAAGCCUGAUCUUUAUUAAACUGUUGCAACAGGGUCCUCACUCACCACAUGGUGGAGGAAGGAGGAACCCAGAACAAAGGUGUGCCCACCCUUCUAUAGACCUUUUAAAUUGCCCAGCCUCAAACUCCAGACCACCCCCGGAAACAUCAUACAUACAUCACAGGGGGCGGUCUAAAACAGAAUCCUGAGUGUGUUGUUUAUAUCUUGUCUGGCAGGUUACCUGAUUGCAUUAUCUGGGUUUUGGUCAUUCUUUUUUUUUAAUGUAUUUUUUAUUAAAGAUUUUCUUUGUUUACAAAAGUAUGUGCAAUCUCUCUCUCUCUCUCUCUCUCUCUCUCUCUCUCUCUCUUCCCAUCCAAGUAACAUUUUUUACAGAUCAGUUUCAUUUGUUGAGACAUUAGGAAGAAGAAGGUGAAAGGGGGGGGAGAUAGGUGGGGUCGGGUGGCGAUGUUUCUAUUAUACUUAAUAUAUGUGGGGUUUUGUGUCCGCAUCGCUUGUGAAGGUUCUGUGCUAUUCACUUGUGUUCCUUUGGUGGUGAGAGAGGUUGGGGUUGGCCUAGGGUGUGGUUGUUUGUUUGUGAUUCACUGUGGUGAUCUUUAUUUUCAUGUGUGAGUGGGGUGGGUGGGUGUUUUAGAUCAGGUUAGCCAUACUGAUUUGAGUGCGGCUUAUUUCUGUACUUUCCAGGGUUCAUUGUAUUAAACGAUGUUCCCUUUGCCCAUAGGAUUAACAAAUUUUAAUAUCCUGAUCCCAAACGCAACAGGUGGAAGCAAAUUCCAUUGAAGCUGAGAUUAGUAUAUACAAGACAUAUUCCUUUUUGGAGGCAAAAUGCAAGAUGGUGCCCCCUCUCCUGACAGCCAUUCCGUGUACAAAGCCAGGCACCCUGGUGAUGGGGCCGCAUCCUGAGAGCAGGAGGCUGAUUUAGGGGGCUCAGGGUUAGCUGAGAUCUCCGUGCCAUUCAGUUUCUGCCAUCUGAGGGGAGUUUGUGCCCAAUGGCAGGGCUGGCUUUUGAUGCAUUGUUAGGUUUGAGGUUGCCCAUUAAACUGCACUGGAGAUAGAAUUCCAGUUGAAAAACAAAUAGGAAUUCUGUAUACUCUGAAUACUGGAAAAAAAAAAAGUAUAUUGGAAAAGGAGGUGGGAGAUAUUUGCUGCUUUGCCUCAGGUAGCAAAAUGUUUUGGAUUGGCCCUAUAGAUACAGUGGUACCUCAGGUUAAGUACUUAAUUCGUUCCGGAGGUCUGUACUUAACCUGAAACUGUUCUUAACCUGAAGCACCACUUUAGUUAAUGGGGCCUCCUGCUGCUGCCGCACCGACGGAGCACAAUUUCUGUUCUCAUCCUGAAGCAACGUUCUUAACCUGAAGCAAUAUUUCUGGGUUAGCGGAGUCUGUAACCUGAAGCGUAUGUAACCUGAAGCGUAUGUAACCCAAGGUACCACUGUACUCAAAAUUGACUUGUGGGGGUUGUCAGCCAAAUUGCUCUCCCUGAGGGACACAUCUGGACACUUGUCCUUACCUUUAAAUCAGAAAUAUGUGGUGUUACAAAACAGAGACAGUUCUGGAUAUUGAGCACUUGCAUUUUAAUAACCACCUCGCAAAGAGUUUUGUGCUUUCAGAUGGCAUGCACAAACAUUAAAGGAAACUUUUGUGUUCACCUGUGUUUUCUUUACUUCCUCUCCAGAGGUUUGAUCUGCCCUCAGUAUGCCCACAGGAGUAUCCUUUGGUAGGUUGGAAGCUGAAUACAAAAAGCAUAUUUCUCUGAUGUUCUAGCUGAAUAGAGGAUUUGAAUUUAAGGUACAUUUCAACAAUAGUUCGUUUCCAGGGAGCAAUUUUGCAAGAGGUCUUAUGGCAAUUCCACACCGUUUUAAAAAAUAAAAGGCUGACAUUAUUGACUGUGCUGGGCCACAGCUGUGGAUCAUUGUAUGAAAUCCCUUUUAGAACGGGAGUAUGUUGGGCAUGAGAUAAACAGAAUGUGUGUUUUGUAAUUUGCACCUCUCUUUUAAACCAUAGCUCCUGUUCAGGUUUCCUGCUAGACUUCUAUGUCCGCUUUCAGGAUACUCUAAGGUUUUCUCCCCAAAAGGCAGUUCCCACUGAGUGUACCCAGUCUUCAUUGGGCAGUUCCCUUCCCCACGCUUAGAUUCCCACCCACUCUUUUUGGGGGGUAAUUCUACAAACCUUGAGAUCCCCCAGAACCUACUGAUAUCUCCUCUUGUUCAUGGCUGAUACCUAGAGAGCCACAGUUGGAGAAUGAGUUUGCUGUUAGUAUAUAGGAGUCUCUGAACACAAGAAGAGGCUGCUGGAUCAAACCAAAGGGCCUAACAGUCCAACAUCCUGUUUUCACAGUAGCGGAAAGCCUGAAAGCAGGACCUGAGUGACACAACAACUGGUAUUCAGCCUCCAGCGGUGGUGGUAGUACACUCGGAUAGAGAAUGGUAUUCCAAGUAGCACAUUUCAGGCUACACUCUGCUCAGACAACUGUCAGGGCUGGAGUCAGAUGCAGGUCAGCACGAAGAGGCAGAGUCAGUUGUCAGUGAAGUUAACUCUUUAUUCAAGGAAAUGGCAUAAGAACAGCUUAAUUUAUGAGAAACUUGCAUUAAGAACGCUGCAAACCCGGAAGUAGGUGUUUUGGUUUGUGAACUUUGCCUUGGAAGCAGAACAUGUUUCGUUUCCUGCUGAGUGUAAAUUGAAUCCCCCACCGCUAUGGGAAAGCACGCCUUGGUUUAAGAACGCUUUGGUUUAAAAACGGAAUUCCGGAACGGAUUAAGUUCGUAAGCCAAGGUACCACUGUACAACUCUGCAAUACUUCCUAGUAGGUCUUGCCAAGACUAAAGGUCCUUCCACACCUCUCUAAGGCGCCUCCUCUCCCAGAUGUUUUCCAAGCAGUCUCAAACUGCAUCUGCACACCUCUGGUCUCUGUGUUCUGCCGUCGUCAUUAUUCUGCACGUUAUUUUAGAUCAAGGGGAGCUUGUCGCAACAGGAGAGGGCGAGUCCUUGGUUUCUACAGCAGCCUCUUAACCCACCUCCUUUGCUUCAGCCUCGGAGUCUGAUCUGCUCCUUGUCACCAGCUCUCCCAGCUCACUAAACCCUGUUGCCCCUUCAGCAUCCAGCCUCUCCUCCCAAUCUUCUCCCUCUGACCUCUCCUCAGUGUCCCACCACUGAUCCCUUGGCUCUGAGCCUUCCUCCUCUGGGGUUUCCCUGGGGGGUUCCUUGGCUGGUGUCUCCCUCCACUCCUCUUUGUCCAGCCAGUCCUUGACAGCAACACAUGGAGAAAAUGUCUACUGGCUCCUGCCCCAGCCUUCUUGCAUUAAAUAGGGAGGACCAAAGGGAGCUUCUGAGCACAUUCAGCUGAAUGCAUUUAGAAGCCCCCCAGUGAUUGGGAGUCCUGAGAAGGAAAAGCCUCCCAAUUGUGUGGUGGCUUCCAGCUACUUUCAGCUGAAUGUGCUUAGAGGGCUUGGCCUUCAGACCCUGGGACUCAACCUGGAAAAGGGGUGAUGACACUGGGGCUAGGGCAGGGGUCCCCAAACUAAGGUCCGCAGGCCGGAUAAGGCCUGAGGGACUUGUUUAUCCGGCCCACAGCAACCCCCGCCGCCCACUCUUUCCGGCGCUGCGCUGAGCAGCUGCCCACUUCCGGGUCUGAGGAGCACCAGAAACAGUUUGUGCGCACGCGCAAGUGUUGUUUGUGCAUGUGCAAGCGUGCACAUCUGGGUCGGAGGAGGCCCGUGCACAUGCACACAAGCUAUUUCCGGUGCUCCUCCAACCCGGAAGUGCGCCAGAAAUAGCGUGUGUGCAUGCGUAUGGGUGCGCACUCCUCCACCCUCUGACUCGCCACGUGGUCGGCGCUGGAGACACCAGCCUCAGGCGCAGUAAGUUUGCUGACCCCUGGGCUAGGGUUUGCCUGUGUGAUUCUAUUGUCCUGUUCACACAUUUACUUUAAAGACAGUUCCCUUCAAAUAAACAUUUGCUGUGUGUUUAUAUAAACUGGGGGCUUGCGUUGUUGGGUGACUCAUCCAUAUCCUCUGGUAACAUAUGGGUAUAUUACCAUAUAAUCUUCAUAGCCGUAUAUCCCAUUUCCACUGCUACAGCUUUGCAAAGUCUAGUCCUGAUGUAAGGUUUAGUCUGUCUCAUCCUGUUAUCGUGGAGCCAGUUUAUACGCUUUAUAAUCUGUAAAUGGUCACUUUAACCAAAAUGGCAAAAUGCGAUAUGCGCUAUUUAUUUAGUGCAGAUUUAUUGAGCUCACCAUCCAACACAUUUCUCUUCUGCAUGGUUUUUUUAAUAGUCUUUUGACCUUCUUAAUCAGUUACAGGAAACGGAGAGGUAUGGGCUGGUUUGCACUGUAGGUUUCUCUUCUCAUGGUCAUAGUAGCCACUGAACUUUCUUACGCUCUAAAUGCUACACAACAUGGGCACAUCCAUUUCAAGCAUGUUCAAUGCAUAUUUAAAGCCACAAAGAAUCCUGGGAAUUGUGGUUUGUUAAAGCUGCCCUGUGAGGGUGAAACCACAGUCCCCAGGAUUCUCUGGGGGAGAAUCAUGCUUUAAGUGCAUGAUGUUUUAAGUGCAUGGUGAGGAUCUGCCCUUUGAGUCUGGAACACUGGGAUGAAGGGCAUUUCAGGGGGAAAGUGAGUGGCAGGGCAAGGGUUAAGCAUUCCUUUAUCCACUGUCCUUGAUGCUCUUCUUCCCUCCCAAGAGCUCUUUGCAUGGGAGAAGUUGCCUCCGGGACUUUGUUGGGCACAGCUGUAGUGCUGUGCUCGGAUUGUUACUCAUAAUAAGUGGAGGAAAUGUAUUUGGACAAGAGCUGGGUAAGGCAGCCUUUGCCAGACUACAACUCUGUGCUGGCUGGUGCAAGUUGCAGGCUAAAGCAUUGGUUGGGGGAAGGCAGCAGUUUGGAAAAGGCUGAAUUUUAACAAGUAGAGUGGAAAAGAGUUGAGAGAUGCAACAGGAGUUGCAUCAUUAUUUAUUAUUAGAAUUUAUAUACCGCCCUAUACCCGGGGAAGGGGUGUCUCAGGGUGGUUCACAGAACAAAAUCAAAAUAUAAAACCACAAAAUAUAUAAUCAAAAUAAAAACAACAUAAUAAUAAUAUAUUUAUUAUUUAUACUCUGCCCAUCUGGCUGGGCGGCUUCCAACAAAAUAUUAAAAAUACAAUAAAACAUCAGACAUUAAAAACUUCCCUAAAAAGGGCUGCCUUCAGAUGUGCUCUAAAUGUCAGAUAGUUGUUUAUUUUCUUGACACCUGAUGGGAAGGCGUCCCCCCCCCCAAAAAAACCCCCCACAUUUUAAAAGGGUAUAGGAUGUCAAUCAGGUCAGCCAAAUGCCUGGUUAAAAAGGAACGUUUUCACCUGGCGCCUAAAGGUGUAUAAUGAAGGCGCCAGGUGAAGUUCCCUGGGGAGAGCAUUCCACAGGCAGGGAGCCACUGCACAGAAGGCCUGUUCUCAGGGGUGUGGUGAAAAUCUCAUUUAACAACGAACAAAGCUGGAAUCCUAUACCAAGCUUCAUAGGAUUGCACUGUAAAGUCUGAAAACAAAGCAAUAGAGUGAAACAGUAAGGAGUAUCAGGAGCUGAGAGGAGUAAUUCCCCUUUUUUGGGGGGUGGGUGGAAAGCUUUGCUUUAUGGCUGUUCUUCAGGACUAAGUACUCUGAGAAUGCUGAUCACUCAAGAUGGAAGGAGUGCAUGAUCUUCACUGUCUGUUACUCACACGUUGAGAUCAGCAAUGCUCUUGUCAUUAUAAUUUGCAUUAGUGACACUGAUAUUUAUUUUUCAAGAGCCAUUCUUUAUGCCAAAAGAGACUUUGAUUAUGUUACGAUGCCUAAUUCCACGGCAGGUUUGAGUCAUCAUCUGUCAUUGGAGAAGGGCAUCAGAGUUCUUUUCCACUUAAAGAGAGAACAAGAGGGGGGAAUUUGGACACGAUAUCCCAAUUCCCAAAUACCCUGGUGAAUAGAAAAAUGCGCAUCAUGAUCUUUUUAAUGGAUUUCUGCACAAAUUCCCCCAGCUUUAAGAUGAGUGAUACAGUAACUCAGGUAAGAUUAUGACUAGGACUGUGACAUUCACGCUUCACCCUCAUAUGCAUGCAAGUAACGUGGUGUGGUGUUAUUUAAAAAAUGGUUGAAUUCGUUCCCUUUCUGUUUUCACGAAUUGUAGCAAACAGGGACCGUGGUCCCCUGUCUUGAAUGUUGUCCCCAGGGAAUCUCACCGGCACCUACUUACACAAUUUUAGGUGCCAGGAAAAGACUUUUGUCUUCCCUUCUGGCUUUUUGGUUGUUUUCAGAAGUUUAGUAGUUUAGGUAGUAGUAUCAGUUUUAAGUAUUUUAAAGAUUAACUGUUUUUCAGGGGUGGCUUUAAUGUCUAGUAUUUUAUAUUUAAUGUCAUUUUAUAUUUAAUGUCAUUGCUGGGUUUAUUAUUAAUCCCUGAAUGGGGAUUUUGUGACUUUUUUGCUUUCUGUUUAAAGUGGGAUUUGUUGCUGUUGCUUUAUGUACGUGUGUUUGUUUAAUUUACUUCCGUGUAUUGUAUGUUUUGAUUUACUUGUAAGUUGCGUAGAGGCAUUUUGCAUUAGGUGGCACUUAUCUAAACAACAGCAGUAACUAUAUAGUACCCUUUUUUUUGCCUAGUUUCAGUGCGGAGAUAAAUUUUAACUAGCUGCAGUCAGGUGAAUGAGUUGUGAUACAACUAACAGAGGAGUUCUUUGGAAAGAACAGACCAUGCUUAGACGUGAGUUGAAAGCAAAAUAAUGUAUCAACCCCUAGUUGGGAAGGGAGCCAAUCAGAAGCUCCCUUAAGUGGUAGGCUUGUUUGGUACCCUCCUUCACGCUGCCCUGAUUCAGUUUCUAUUUAAACAUUUGUCUUCUGAGCUAAAUCAGUAAGUAAAUAGGGAGCUCUGGGAUGAUUAUGCCCCCCACAUGUCCCCAUGACCAGCUUUCUCUGGCAGAGGGUUUUAACUUCUAGUGUAGCUUUCCUGUGUGAUGCAGAGCCCUAAUUUCAGGUAUACGGUUAACGUUGCAGUAGAUGAUGAAGAAGAAGAGUUUGGAUUUGAUAUCCCGCUUUAUCACUACCCUAAGGAGUCUCAAAGCGGCUAACAUUCUCCUUUCCCUUCCUCCCCCACAACAAACACUCUGUGAGGUGAGUGGGGCUGAGAGACUUUAGAGAAGUGUGACUAGCCCAAGGUCACCCAGCAGCUGCAUGUGGAGGAGCAGAGACGUGAACCCAGUUCACCAGAUUACGAGUCCACUGCUCUUAACCACUACACCACGCUGGCUCUCACAUUGCCUAUACUUUGCUUUGAGCCCUUCAGAUAAUAGGCUAUAAAUCCCUGCCCUGUUUUCCCAUCCAGCUGGAUACUCAAGAUAUAAUCUGUUAUAUACAAAGCCAUUAUAUAUUAAUAACCCCAAUGUGUUAAACUUGCUGCAUCUGCCAGUUCUCUUCCUUUCUUUGAGACGUGAGCAGCUGCCAUUUUCUUCCAUGUCUGCCCUUAAUGUCAACAGCAGGCUUUCAUGUGAUGGAUCUUCUCUUAUUUCCUCCGUAUCUACUAGCAUCAUAAAGUCUGCAACCUGCCAGGCACCUGUUGGUUUGUGACUACUUUCACUGUGCUGCUCAUGCCUCGGCCUCCAUUGCCCUUGACAUUUAUGUAACUUUAAAAAGACUUGCAUAAAGCUUCCGAGACCACCCUUUUUGGCAUACCAGGAUUUGACACCAGUCAGAUGAGGAGCACACAGAAAGUUUACAAUGUUAAUAGCAUGCUGUGUUAGGGUCACAGUACAAGCUAAGAAGGAUGGUGAGGGGCUAGAGGACUUUUUGUAGAGCUAAAAAGUUUUAAUAUGGAAGAGUUGCAUGUUGUUAUUAUUAUUUACUUUGGAUGAGGACAGUCUCUGACAUUGCAGUCCUGUGCAAGUCUACGCAACGGGCCAGUCAGCCUAAAUCCAUCUUGUGGCUAUUUAUCAGGAAAAGCCAAUGUGGUACCAGCCAGAUGUUUGUGGCUUUUUGAGCAACUUUAUCUCUAUCUAGCCAGUGUUUGAAAUUCUCCAAGUGUCAAACACAUUUUGCACCUGGCUAUCAGUCACUUGCAACCAAGUGAAGAUGUCUUGGCGCCGGCAUAGCACCUGACAUCUCCACCAUCUGGAGGUGCAGCCCUGGGGAUCCUUGGUUCUUGCUUGUUUUCAUACACUAACAUACACUGUAGAAUUUUAUCCGUGUUCUUUUAUCUGCACAAUCAAAACGAAUUUCAGGAACCAAAAGGUCAUAUUGAAAAAUACAACUUUUGAGCCAUGUGGCCCAAAAAUGUCAACCAGGCAUUCCGUUUUGGUAACUACAACCCUGGUUUAAGGAGUAAUUUGGUGCCUAUCUUAUAUAUUUGAAUUUCUCUGGGAAAUUCUGCAAUGGCCAGAAAAAUUGCUAUGGGAAGUUUAUGAGCAGGGCAUGAAGGCCAUAGCAUUCACUGGUUGUUCCCUAGGACCUGGUAUUCAGAAGGUUUGCUCUCUGUGUUUUGUUUGUGCAUGUUAUCAUCAUGUCCCCUAGCUCUAAAAUAGGUACAUCCCCCCCCCCAAGAUACUUGCAGUCUUGAUUGUGUUGCUGUGUGAUGGGCUGACAUGUGUAGAUGAUGAUGUCUGGCAGCUUUUGAAGUACAUUCAAAAGAGCUGUUCAUCUAUGUUAAUAUCCUUUUUCUCCCCAGGUGAAGUCCUCUUUAUUCCCCCCAAGCCUUUUAGAGUGAAUGGCUCUGUAUUUUGGUCUUUGCAAUAAAUGAAGUGUUUCAAUGAUGUUUGUGUUGGUUUUAUGCAGAUAGCUGUAUUGAUCUUCUUAUAAUUUAUUUGACUGAUUGUUUAUAUUUGAUUUUUUAAAAAGAAAAUAUUGCACAGAGGUUAUUGUUAAUGUAGGUGCUAUGAAUGCCCAAAUUAAAUAAAUGAAAUAUUUCAAAAUACAGAAACAAAUGAAUAGGGCAUCGAAAGUGGACUUUACCCUCUCAUCUAUCAAGCACCACCUUUUGAUUCAAUAGACUCUAGUGGUAGGAGUGGUUUAGCAAGGUGGGCAGGACUUAUAGCUCUACCAACAUUUUGGAAGUGCCAGCCCCCACUUUUUCUGCAUCAUGAACAAUUUAAUACCUUAUAUGCACCUUUCCCCCUAAUCAACAACCUUCUACCUUUUCAGCUUUCCUUGUAGUGGAGUCACUCCAGCCCACCACACAUUUUGGGUUGCCCUGUUCUGCGCUUCCCCCAAACUUUAUAAACAUCCUUUUUUGUGAUGCUUUUGAACAGACUAUAACAACCACUGUAUAGGUUCUCUUUUCAUUGUUGUUGGACUGAAUGCUGUAAGGAUGUUUGCAAUGAGCAGCUGCUGCUUGAAAAUAUCAAGCCGGUCAUUCCUCUUGAGAGCUUGUUGAUGAGUACUCAGGAGGAACAGCAGGUAAUGAUGGCAAGAGCUAAAUGGUGCGUUGUCAAAAGACAGCACAAAGAUGCCCUGUUCAUGAACUAUUAUCAGGAUCCUUGCGUUGAGUUAGGGGAGGGGUCCAUCCUGCCCGGUGCCUGGCAGUGGCUGUCUCGGGUCUCGGGCAGAGAGGGCUUUUCCCAGCCUGCAAGCUUUUAAUUGGAUGUGUUAGGGAUUGAACUUGAGACCUUGGGCAUGAAAAGCAUGUGCUCUGCUGCUGAGUUCUGGCUCUUCUCUGAGCACAGGGCAAUCACUGCGUCACCACUUAAGAAGGUGCUGCCAGUAGUUACGCCGCAGAACAGCUAAGUAUAUCCCUUUGCACUGUUGCUGGGGGAAGCAAGAGAGCCAGGGAAGGACGAGCAUUUGAAAUGUGCUUGGCUUUGGAGAGAGAGAGAGAGAUCGCGGGGAGGCAACAGCAAAGAGAAAAAUGGAAAGAAAGAGAGAGAAAAGAGGGAGGAAACAAAACAAAAACCAAGCUUGGCAGCAGCAUGCCUUGUUUCUUUAUGAAAACAGUACGGCUUUAUUCAGUGUGUGAAAAGACCAAAUGGAACUGUAACACUUCCCUCCGCAAAAGGCACACUGUGGUGUGAUCUCUUGGGAUGAAGGAGGGAAAAGCUUUGUAUAAAGACGUUAUUUGCGACCAUCUCUUUCAAACGGAUAAUGUGCCGCAUGUUGUAUUGCCAUUAUAUUCUUUAGUUAAAUAAAUAGGUCUGAGAAAGACAUGUACGAGUGAAUGUAAAGCUUUAAAAAAAACAACAAUUUGGAGGAAGAGUUAUUCACAUGAGCUGUUAAAAUACAUACGGUCCACUUUUCUGCACAGUUAAAGCAGUUUAUAAGUUAUCACAACCAUAACGCUUAAAAUAAAAACACUAAGUGCAUUUUAAAAAUUCAUGCCAGUUUGUUGCAUUACCUACUCCCGGAGGCCUGAAAAUUACUUAUGCGGUUCUUUUUCCAGGCACAAGAACUUCCACCAAACAGUUGGAUUGCAGUGCUUUUGCAGAAGAAUACGAAUUGCAGUUUGUGGUUCUGCCUUGGAGAGCUAGCAGAAACCAUAGUUUGGCAGCCUGGGUGAAAGGGCAAACUAUAGUUAGCCAGGGAAGAGAAAACUGCAGGAAGGCAUGAAAGGAGGAGGGGUGGGGAAGAGAGGCUGCAAAGGACAUUGUAUGGGGGGGGAGAAUAUGGCUGCCCCCGAGGUAGUUCAGAAGAUAGGGACUGAACAUUAUGACUUAUGGCUUUUUCCUGGAGUAUUUUAAGAGAAGUGAAGUUGCAAGCUUCUGCAAACAACUUGCAUUUUUUGGGAAAGGAAGAGACAAAAGGGGCAGUCCUUAGACCACCUGUGAGAGCAGAAAGCCUGACUACAUGGCCUGAUGCAGCAGAGUUCUUCUUAUAUCCUGUAGCAGCCACAGGUUUCACGUGGUUGUCCAUAAAAACAGCUCCAGUGCUUUUGCUCUCAUGUGGGGACCCCAUGCAAUUGGGACAACCAGUUGGCCAGGUUUUGCAGUUAAAUGGUGUGCCCACACAUAAGAAGGAGCAUGCAUGCUGGAAUUCUUCUACAGAUAAUGGUGCACAGCCAUGGGUUGUCUGAGGAAGAGAAGUGAUGUUGAGAACAUGGCUACAAGUGCAAUCCCAAAUAAACAUGGGACUGCUCAACAUCCAAGUAAUGUAUCAACAGGGCUUUAUUUUUCAUGAUGGGGCUGUAGGCCAUGAGCACUUCUGUGUGAAUGACUGUAGCUGGGCAAUAAGCAUUGCACUUGCCUUCCGUUUUGAGACGAAUGUCCUUGCAAUGUUAGCUGAGUGUUAAAUCACCUAUAAAAUGGUAACGAGCUGAGGGAUUUUGCGGAGGUGGUAAAAGGGGUCUGGGAAGCAAUUGGCCAAGAGCAUUUUGUGAUGCUAAGGGAAGUGCACAAGGCUUGCAGUGAGGGCGAGAGUGGAACUAGGAGCGAUAAAAUGUUGUAGGCAGGUUAGCUUCUGUGAAGGAAAGUGAAAGGUCGUUGGCAGAGAAAAACCCUCCCAGGAGGAGCAAGGAUGAGAAGCAGAAUGGAAAGAGGAAAAGGAGGAGAGAGAGAAAUGGAGGGGGAAGGAACUCAGGGAAAGGGUGCAAAGUGAGCAGUAGGCUGAAAAACAGCAGCCUCGGUUGGGUACUCUUGUGCUCUGCUUUUCUAAAGGUAGUUAGUUCUCUGUUUGAAAAGAUGCCCGUGGGCCCAUCUCUCUUGGAUGGGCUUCCUGGUCCAAGUCUGGUUUAAAAAUAAAGAACCAUAGGAAGGGAUGGCAGGGGCCUCGAAGUUGCCAAUCAAUAAGCCUGAAGUCUUACACUUCAAUUCUCCUGUGGUUUUAAUGGGUUCAUGCUGUGGUCACCCACUGUGAUGGAUGCAUGCACCUUCUUUCUUUCUUUCCUUCCUUCCUUCCUUCCUUCCCUCCCUCGCUGAGAAUUUCCUCUCCAGUAUUUUGGCAUAGAAAGUCAUGGCCAGAAGAAUGGCAGAAUGUGGAGGGAGAGUCAUUCAAUGAAUCAUUGGGGGCAGGGGGCGGGAUGGGCAGAACCAACAUGGNNNNNNNNNNNNNNNNNNNNNNNNNNNNNNNNNNNNNNNNNNNNNNNNNNNNNNNNNNNNNNNNNNNNNNNNNNNNNNNNNNNNNNNNNNNNNNNNNNNNCCUCUGUCUGUGUGGAGCCCCUCAGACAUGGCUCCUCUAGUCACUAGCAGAUUCCGACAGUGGUUGCUUUCGGAAUCGCUUCCAACAUAAAAGCUCCUUAACGGAGACACGUCUUCUGGACUCUCUGCGUGACAGUUUCCGGCGAGGAGUGGGUGUUCCUACAGGAGGUCCUGAAACCUCCCCACUGUUUUCGCUGGAAGUGUCUCUGAGCCAUCCCUCCAGCUCACUUUCCCUCAGCUCAGCUCCUCUCCCCUACUGGUUCCCUCUUCAGCUGCUGAGUCUCUCCCAUCCUGUGUGAGCCCUUUCAACUCCCUUCCUUCCGAUGGCAGUUCCCUGACAUCCACCUCACCUCCAGGGCCCCCUUCACCCCUCUCGCCCCCUCCUCUACGGGCGGUGAGGAGGCAAAACCCGGAAUGAACUUCCUUCAUCUUCCGAUGUCUCGAACACUUCUCUCCACCUGUUGCGGUUCCUGGUCUCGAAGUACUCCUCCUCCUCAGAGUCCAUCUCCCCUUCCCCUUCCGAGUCCGGGAAUCCUUCCAACUCCUCCUCCUCAUCCAGUGGUCCCAAAGUAUUCCCUCCGGAACCUCUCCACAGGCUGAGGUUUCCUUGGGAACCUUUGAUGGAACGUUUCUAUCAAUACCUCGUCAUUGAUAUCUUCGGCCAUUACCCAAGUGUUUUCUGACUCCGGUUCUCCUUCCCACGCUACCAAAUACUCCACCUGAUCCCCCUUCCACCUGGCGUCGAGGAUUUCUGCCACAUGGCUGCUGCAUUCUCUUUCUUCUAUGACCGGUCCCAGUGGCCAUCCCUUCUCGUCCCCCUUCGUACGGUGACAGUAACGACCUGUGAAAUACUGGGUGCAGUUUCAUGUGGUUGGGUAACCGGAGCCUGAAAGCCACUGGGUUGACCUGUUGAAUGACCUCAAAGGGACCCAACCUCCUGGGUCUUAAUUUCUUACAACCUCCUUUGAGCGGCAGCCCUUGGGUUGACAGCCACACCCUAUCUCCCACCCUUAUGGUUUCACCUUCCCUUCGGUUCUUGUCUGCCUGCCUCUUGUAUUCUUCCUUCGCCCUUUCUAAGUUGAGUUGGAGCUGACGAUGGAUUGCUUCCAUUUCUUCCACAAAAUGCUCGGCUGCCGGGACGCUCCAUCUCUCCCCAUCUCCCCUGGGAAAGCCCUGGGAUGACACCCAUAAUUAGCCAAGAAGGGGCUCAUCCCUGUGGACACAUUCUCGGCAUUGUUGUAGGCAAAUUCCGCCAGCGCCAACUUUUCUACCCAGUCAUUCUCUCUGUCAUUGACAUAACACCUCAGGUAUUGCUGGAGGACACCGUUUGCUCUUUCCGCCUGCCCGUUGGUUUCAGGGUGCCGGGCAGUCGAAAAAUUGACCUCCACCUGCAGUAAGCUCAUGAGCUUCCUCCAGAACCUGGAAGUAAAUUGUUUUCCUCGGUCUGAGACCACCCUCAAUGGCACUCCGUGCAACCUAAAAAUGUGUUCUACAAAUAACUCGCUGUCUCUUCCGCCGUGACUGCAUGCGAGCAAGCUACAAAGUGGCACAUCUUUGUUAGUAGGUCUACCACCACCAUGAUGGCUGUUUUCCCUUUGGACUUCGGCAGAUCAGUCAUAAAAUCUAUCGACACUGCCUCCCAAGGUCGUUCUGGGGUUGGUAAGGGUUCUAAUAGCCCCGCCGGCGCCCGCCUUUCCCCUUUGGCUCGCUGGCAUUGCUCGCACCCUCUUACAUACUCACGUACAUCUUCCCUCACCUUAGGCCACCAAAAUUCCCUGGUGACCAACCACAUGGUUUUGUGUUGUCCAAAAUGCCCCGCCGUAGGGCUGUCGUGCAACUGCUUGAGUACCCUCCCCCUUAAGUCUCCUUCAGGGAUAUACAGUGCCCCUUUGUAAUACAAAGCUCCAUUUCUUUCCUCGAACCCCCGGGUUCCUCGCCCUCACCCCUAAGACCUCUGAGCUUAUUCUGGGCGUAUUCAUCAUUCUCUGUUUCCUCUACCAGUUCUCUUUGUCCCACCAAUGCCGCCCCACACACACCCAGCGGUCCUCUGGAAUGACAUGUCUCUCUUCGGUGCUCCCUCCCCUCCAAAUAUUCAGGUUUGCGUGAGAGAGCGUCCGCCCUAAUGUUCUCUGGGCCUGGCACGUAACAAAUCUCAAAGUUAAAUUUGGAGAACUCCUGGGCCCAUCUCACUUGCCGUUGGUUGAGCACUCGUGCCGUCCUCCAAUACUCUAGGUUCUUGUGGUCAGUGCACACUUGCACCUUAUGUUGUGCGCCAAUUAGCAGGUGCCUCCAUCUCCGGACGCCUCAUGAAUGGCUAGUAGUUCUCGGUCAUACACCGUGUAGUUCCUCUCGGAUUUGUUCAGCUUUCGCGAAAAAAAGCACACGGUCUCCACUCUGACUCCUCCUUCCCUGGCUGCAGAAGCACCGCCCCAAUCGCUCUGUCUGAUGCGUCAGUUUCCACUCUCAUCGGUUUUUGUAAAUCCACAUGCAGGAGUUGUUGUUCCGAGGCGAAGGCCCUUUUUAGUUCCUCAAAUGCUCUCUCCGCCUCCUCAGUCCAAACGAACUUCUUCUUACUGCUGAGACAGUCCGUAAUGGGCGCCGUCAGGUGGGCAAAGUUUCGGAUGAACUUACGAUAGAAGUUCCCAAAUCCUAGGAACCUCUGCACAUCCUUCCUUGUUUUGGGUGUUUUCCAUUCCAGCACCGCCUGGACCUUGCCGGGAUCCAUGGCCAAUCCCUUGUCUGACAGGCGAUACCCCAGGAAUUCCACCUCCUUGGUAUGAAACUGACACUUCUCCAGUUUCACCCACAGCUGGUUGGCUUGCAGCCUGCUCAACACUUCUCUGACGUCUCUCACAUGCUGCUCCUCAUUCUCAGAAUACACCAACACGUCGUCUAAGAAGGCCACACAAUUCUUGUAAAGCAAAGGCCCCAGGACGUGGUUCAUAAUCGAUUGAAAGCAUGCGGAGCCUGCUUGUAGGCCGAAGGGCAUAACCAAAUAUUCAAAUGCCCCUAAAGGGGUGAACAUGGUGGUUUUCCAUUCAUCCCCCUUCCUUAUUCGUAUCAGGUUGUACGCCCCCCUUAGGUCCAGCUUUGUGAAAAUCUUUCCCUUCCGCACCCUUGUCAAAAUGUCGUCAAUCCUGGGCAUAGGGAAGGCCACUGGUUCUGACACUGCAUUUAAGGCCCUGAAGUCACACACCAGCCUCGGCUUGUUCGUGUUUUUAUCCACAAAAACACUGGGCUGCCCCCACCGCCCUGGACUCUCUGAUGAACCCUCUCUUCAGGUUCUUGUCAAUGAACUCUCUUAGCUCCUGCAUCUCUCUGUCUGACAUGGCGUACAGCUUGCCUACAGGGAGCUGUGCCCCAGGAAGUAAAUUGAUUUGACAGUCAAAGGGUCUAUGCGGGGGUAGUUGGUCAGCUUCCCUUUCGCUGAAGACGUCGCGGAGAUCUGCGUAUUGUCGUGGUACCCUCACGUUCUCCGUUACUGCCCGUCCCUGCUAGGGUGGCUUGGGCCCCUGCCAAACCCUUUCCCUCUUUGCAGUGUUCUAAGCAAUGUGCUGAACCAAAAGAAACCACUCUCUGAUGCCAGCCCACCAGCGGAUCAUGUAACGCUAGCCAGCUCAUCCCCAAUAUAAUGGGAGCUCCUCCCAAGGUGGCCACAUUAAACGCUAUCAGUUCGGUGUGCCUUGCCACCUUCAUUAUCAUACUGACGGUCUGCAAGCUGACUUCUCCUCCCAACAGCUCCCUGCCAUCGAUCGUGGUCACCUGCAGGGGGUUGCUUAAAGGGAUCGUCUGUAUCUGGUGUUCAGCUGCAAACUCUUUGCUCAUGAAAUUGCAGGAGCUGCCUGAGUCCAACAGCGCCUUUAUCUUUAGAGGGUGUCCGUUUGGCAGCUCUAGCGCCACUUCUAUCACUAGGGGGGGUUUAGGAGGUUCUGGCGUGGGCACUCUCACUGCUCUUUGGCCUGGCUGCUGUGCCCCGACCGUGGCAGCCAGGCGGUGGCUUUUCCUUGCUCCGGUAUUUCUUCCUCUCUUCCCUCCACAGCUCCUACCAUCCCUUGCCAUUCCUUCCUCUGGGGGCAGACUCUGGCAAAGUGACCUGGCUGUUGGCAGAGAUAGCAUUUCCGGGCGCCUUUUCCCUCCUUCUUUCCCCCCUCACUGGGCUUUGAAACUGCGCGCGCGCGCUGUUCCGAUUUCCAUCGGCUCUGCCGGCGGGAAAGUUGGCUCUGGAAUGUCUGGAAUGCGGAACUCCUUCCAACGUUCCCCCUUCCCUUCCCGCCUCUCCAAUGCUCUCGCCUCCUGGCGCGCUCCUAUGGUCAGCGCUGAUUUGGUCAGCUGGUCCAUAGACUCCGCCCUGGGCGCCCGGGAAAGUUCGUCUUUCACAGCCGAAGAAAGCCCUUCUUCAAAGAGCAUUUGAAUGGGUUCCGCCGAUAAGUCCCACCCCAAUCUGUGAACCAGCAUGGUGAACUCAGUCCAGUACUCACGGACAGAUCGGCUCCCCUGUUUGCAAGCCAUUAACUGUCUGCGCACCACUCCCUGUUCAAUAUCGCUGGAAAACAUCAGAUCCAUGGCGCGAAAGAACUUCAUCGUGUCCUUUAGGACGUCACUAUUCGCUGCCAUCAGGGGUCUAACCCAGUCUCUCGCCCCCUUUUCAAGAUGCCCAAUCACGAAAGCCACUCGUGAUUCCUCGUCAGGGAUUCAUCAAACUGCAGAUUGAGGGCAUAUUGCAUCUCUGUCCGAAAGCCAUGAUAGUCUUUGGGCUCCCCCCCCAAACUUCUGCACCAAUCCUGGUACCUUUCUGGCGAGCUGGGUGGCUUUCCCCUUUUGUCUGCAUCCUGAGCCCUCCUCUCCUCAAGCCUCGCCGUCUGCAGCGCUAGCUGGACCUCCAACACCCGGUACCUUUCUUCCAGGCUUGGACCCGCUCCAGCUCCUGCUUCUCCGGUUCCGGCUGGGUUGCUCAUGAUGCCUUCUCCUGCACAAGCUGCUUUCAAAGACUGUCGGAAUGCUGUGAUGGGAUGAUGAGCUGCUUGUGCGUAAAAUCGUAUCCCCUCAGAGUUUGUUCAAGUCCACAAACCUCUGUCUGUGACUGAGCCCCUCAGACAUGGCUCCUCUAGUCACUAGCAGAUUCCGACAGUGGUUGCUUUCGGAAUCGCUUCCAACAUAAAAGCUCCUUAACGGAAACACGUCUUCUGGACUCUCUGCGUGACAGUUUCCGGCGAGGAGUGGGUGUUCCUACAGGAGGUCCUGAAACCUCCCCACUGUUUUCGCUGGAAGUGUCUCUGAGCCAUCCCUCCAGCUCACUUUCCCUCAGCUCAGCUCCUCUCCCCCUACUGGUUCCCUCUUCAGCUGCUGAGUCUCUCCCAACCUGUGUGAGCCCUUUCACCUCCCUUCCUUCCGAUGGCAGUUCCCUGACAGAUACUUAUGAAAGGAUGACUGCUAUGCUAGAGCUGUUGCAAAUGGCGGUGUUACGCAGACACCGCAGGACCAUUACGGUCGCUCCAGGGCCUGCAGCCAACUACCUGGCUGUUUACGCAGACACCAGUUUUCUUCAUGUCAGCAGCUGAAUCCUGGCCAAAUGCACCAAUCUCCCCAUUUUAAACACUUCCAGAUUUGAGUCACCAAUAAAUUUCCCUUAGCCUCUUGCCUCCUUAAUUCCCUCCCUUCCUUCCAUCCUUCAGUUCCUAGCUGUCUGCUUUUUAAAUCUCAUUUCUUGGCACCAACCUUUUGGGGCUUGGACGCAUAUUUGGAAAUCCUAAUAAACUCCCAUGGGCACCACAAAAAAUCCAUUUUGCAGAAUAAAAGAACCUCACCCCCCCCCCAAAGAGGAGAUAUACAUUCACACCCCAAAACAAAUAAAACAGACAAAAAAGCAGGCAACUACCUCAAAAGGCAACCCCUCCAUAGAACAAAAGAACCACUUUCUCAUUGAAGAAUUGGUGGUGUAGGGAGCCUUGGGUUCCAAAGGGGAGUGUCUGUGAGGGACCCCAUUUUAGGCCCUUUGGGCAUCCUACCUCUUAGCCAAUCUCUGCCAAGGGCUUCCUUACCACCAUGAAACCCAAAAGCACGUUUGCAGUAUAGAUUGCAGGCAGAAAUCCUGAAGGUUCAGAUGCCAAACAACAAUCCAAAAGGCACUCGGAUUGCUUGCUUUGAACUUGCCCUUCUGAAGCAAAUGUGAAAUGUAAUUCAGAAGUAAAUGAAAUGAACUGUGGAUAGCAACAUCGGUGCAAUUAGCUGUGCCUGUUGAUUUCUUGCAUCUUCUCUCUAAGUCAGGAACUUUUUGUACCUGAUUAUUUUUUCAUUGAGGCUGGUUAGGCAUUUCAAGCAAGCUGCCACCCGCUUCUUUCUCAGAUUUGAUGUGGAAUUUAGCUGUUCCAUUCUUGGCUGGAGAAAACAGCCAUCCAGUCAUAGCUUCUAUUUUAAUUAUUUUCAAAAUGUUUUAGAUUUCUUCAAAUGGUUGAGUAAUAACUGUGACCUGGUUCACAUGCCAUUAAACUAUGGUUUAAAUGUGAUUGUGCAGUGUGCUGCUGCAUGCUUCUGAAAUUACGGGUGCUUUGCAGCUGCGGAACAAACCAUGGUCUGGCUUAGCAUAAUGUCCUGGACUUGUGGUUUGUUUUCCCCAUAGAAACCACAAGUGUGACCUAACCUCAGUUACCACUCAUGCUUUGUUUGAACACUACCAAGCAUUGAGCCUGGGUUCAGACACGACACUAAACCAGACCAUGGUUUGUUUCCUGGCAGGGGUGGGAGAGGCGUAAAGUCCCCAUGAUUUCAGCAGUGUGCACCAGCUUAGUUUUGUUAAAUUAUGGUUCAAAGCGAUGGGCAAACAAGGCCCGUGCAUUUUCUUUAACGUUAAUAUCAGGAUCUUUCUCUCUUCUUUCCUGAAAUGAGAUUGUGCAUCGCUGUUUGCUGAAUGACACUGAAGAGAAAAGCCUUGGUUAGGUUGAAAGAUAGUUGCAGAUUGUUCUUCAAGUGGGUGGCAGGAGUUGGAUAAGCAGGAGUGUUAUUUCUGUUUCUUUCUGCUGUGCUUUUUAUUGUGCUGAUUCGCCAAUGAAAUAUAACUUUAUGACAGUGGAAAUACAUUCUGCUGAUACUCUGUAUGACACAGCUGGCAUUGCUGUUUGAAGAAGGUGACAGUUGUUCUUCUGCUGGCUUAAUUAAUCUGGACAGUAGUUUCUGAUCAUUUUCUUAGGGCUGUUUCCAAACUGGAUAAAUCAGUCUGUGCUUUAGAGGUCUCAAUGUCACCAAUUUUAACUCUUUGGGGAAUACCCUACUGGAUUGCUUUAUUUCAUUGCACCAGCAUCCCCUCUUCUAAUAUAUAUAUGGAUAUGAAUUUGCCUUAUUUAUUCUGAUGGACCAUUGGUUCAUCUAGAGCUGCUUUGUCAGGCUCAUCAAAAGCAGCCAACAUGUUAUACUUUAUCCCUGACCAUUAGCCAUGUUGACUUUGGCUGAUGAGAGUUGUAGUUCAGGAACCUCCGAAGGUCUUCACUUGAUCUUGGUAUACAUGCACAGUGCUUGUUGCAGUGCUUCAAAAUUGUGUGCUUUUAUGGCUUAGGUAAAAAUUGUACUGAGUUCUUCCUCUGUCUGGCUUCAGGUUGAGUUUUAUUAUCUCGGCUAUUGUCUGCAUGUCAGACUUUCCACUGUUACCUCGGUCAGCUUUUGACCCUGCUUAUAAACGCCUUUAUUGUUUCCAGCGCACUUCCAUAUUGUUUCUAGGUUUCCUGUUCUCCUUGUCUAAGCCUUGCCUGGCAACUCUCAUAACUGAAGGUCAGUGUGGUUCUUCCCUUCGCUCAGGCCAGCUUGUCUUAGAGCUCCCCCUUCUGUUGGCUGUUGAAUAGCAUAAGAGUGCCUUGCUUGGCUGAGGUCAACCAGCCGUCCAUCCAUGUUGACUCUGAAAUUGGUCAGUUCUGGAUGCUGCGACUUGUGCUGGUGGGAGUUACAAUCCAUUAGGUUGGGAAAAGCUGGCCUGCUCUCAUUCCAGGUUGGUGUGUUAAGGUGUGUGUCUUUCCCUCACAGUGUUGAAUGAAGACUUAGCGUUCAUUCGGGGAAAUGUGGUGUUUAGGAUAUUCCGCCUGCUUAAGAAUGGGAAAUAGUUAGCAUUCACCAGUUUAAAGGCUGUCCAAUUUUCAGACACAGUUGCCAGUUAAAGCGGAGUCAUACCUCAAAACAGGGGCAGGGAGCCUCAGGUCCUGGGCCAAAUGCAGCCUUCCAGUCCUCUCUAUUUGCCCCCUGGGACUCUCCCACGGCUACAUCCUCAGCCACACCCCUCAUUACUCUCUUUUGUAUUUUUGCAGGGCUGGCAUGUGCAAUUGAUCGCUGACAAUGCUUCUUGCUUGCCUGGAUGGAGGAUAGAGGGGGUGUCUGAGCUUGUGUAAAGGUAGUCUACAGUACAGGGGACCUCAGGUUAAGAACUUAAUUCAUUCUGGAGGUCCGUUCUUAACCUGAAACUGUUCUUAAGCUAAUGGGGCAUCCUGCCCACUUUAGCUAAUGGGGCAUCCUGCUGCCGCUGUGCCACCGCACGAUUUCUGUUCUCAUCCUGAAGCAACGUUUUUAACCUGAGGUACUAUUUCUGGGUUAGUGGAGUCUGUAACCUGAAGCGUCUGUAACCCAGGGUACCACUGUACUUUUGCCUCUCAUGUACUUCACUUUUGCCUCUGGCCCUGCCUGCCACUGGCAUACGGCUCCCAGAAGAUUGCUGAGAAGGGAAGGUGGCUCCCAGUUUGAAAGACUCCCCACCCCUGCCUUAGAAAAACACAUCUCCCAUUUCCCCUCAUUUGCAAAACCAUCCUGCUGUGGUUAUGAAAUAUUUGGAGACAUAUAUAUAAAUCCACUAAUGGGUUUCGCUACAAAUAUUGUUAGUAUCUGGUGCCCGCCUACAUAAAAUAUGCUGUAAGUGGCUAGUCAGGCAAGGGUAGGUGCAAGAGAGGCAAUUUCCUGACCCUCUCUCAGAAACGAGUCCUAAUAGUGCUGCUGGAGCAUAUGGCAGGAAGACUGCUGUCACCAAAACAAAUUUGGGGUUAGGCAGGUGGACAUUUAUGAGUAUCACUUUUGGACUAUGCAAAUACUCUCUUCUCUUUUUCCCAAGCUUAAUUGUUUUCCUUAAUGCUCAGUUCAUCUGAAACCUGAUGCAAGCACUUGCCAAACUAGGAGAAUGCUGGAUGGAGGCCAAGAGUAAAACAGAUACGCAAAAGCUGAGCACUGUUAGUAGCUGCAGCUGAGAUAAUUUUUACUUGCUGGGUAUGGGUACGCUGGUCCUUGGUGCCUGUGCUGUGAUCUAGUGUGUCGUGUUUUGGGGAGUGCAUGGGACAUCUGCCAUUCAGUUAGGGAGGUGAAAAUCAGAGUGAUUAAGGAAGCAGCAUUGAGUAGACAGGGGGGUGGAGGGCACAGAAGCAGCAGAGAUUUGCAGAAUUAAAGGGAGGUCCUAAGGCAGUGAUGGAGUAUCUGUGACCCCCCAGAUGCUGUUGAACUCCAGCUCUCAUCAGCCACAUCCAGCGUGGCCAGUGGUCAUGGAUAAUGGGAGUUGUAGUCUAGCAACACCUGGAGGGCAACAUAUUCUCCAUCCCUGGCCUAAGUACAAGGUGGGCCUGGAAGGAAAGUAAAUUCAGAACCUAUCAACAGGAGGUGCUCCGCAUUGUGGGCUGAAAGUUGUCUAGUAAAGCAUACCCUCCAACAUUUAUCUCAUGAAAAUAGGGACAUCCUAUUAUUAUAGAGAUAUUUAUUGACUGACUGAUGGCCUGUUUAUACCCUGCCAAUCUGACUGGGUUGCCCCAGCCACUCUGGGCAGCUUCCAACAUAUAUAAAAGCAUAAUAAAACAUUAAACAUUAAAAAACUUCCCUAUACAGAGCUGCCUUCAGAUAGCUUGGAAGUUGGAGAACUCCAUACCCUUCAACAUUCCCCCAGUGAAAAUAGGGAUGUCCUAAAGAAAAGUGGGACACUCUGGGAUCAAAUCAGAAACUGGUGCGGCUUCUGUAAAUUUGGGACUGUCCCUGGGAAAUUGGGACACUUGGAGGGGCUGGUAAAGCUUCUUGGGAGUUGGGAGUCCUGUAGUCAGUAACCUAAGGAACAAACAGGUAGAAUACCAGGACCUUGAGGCAGCUUCCGUAUCUUCAACAUGCACUGAAUGGGAAAUUUUCCCAGGUAUGAAACGAUGAUAGCAAAAAUCAUAACUGGAAAAGUCUUCAUUCUAUUCAACACUCACAAGUACCUUGUGGACUCAGCUACACUGGCAAAAAAAGUGCUUUAUAUGCGUUGUGUUUGCAUUCUAACACUGUGACACCAUUUUUGCUAACCCGAUUUCUCAGAGUUUGCAAUGUGUUUAACUGAAACUCUUCUUUGAUGUGUCUGAUUCCAGCCUGUAUCCGCACUGGAUAUUACACUUACACACACACACACACACACACACACACACACUAUAUCUUAUUAUUGUUGGUGUCAUUAUUGUUAAUUGCUUUGAGAUGUUUCACAGGAAGUGAGUAAUAAAGUGAAUUAAAUAAAUCAGUAACUAAAGUAAGUGGAAACCUUAAGCGGGUAAUAAAGCCAAGAGGUGAGGAUAUGAAUGUGGUGGAAGGAAGAGACCCAAUCAAAUCAAAUCCUGGGCCAAACUAGGCCUGGGCUGCUACUGGCAGGGUGUGAGGGAUCAAUAUGGUUGGUGGGAGCACUGAGCCUUGCCAUUCUUCCUCGGUGGCUACCUUUCCCUGCCAGCAGUUGAAACUUUCAGUGCUGCUAAGGAUAAUGGCAAGAUGAAGAGAAGUUCCCUGGCCUAGAUCAGGCCACAUUUCAUUAUGACAGACCUUCACAUAUCUGGGCUACACACAGAGGCGAGGCACAAUUCUGGCCAUAGACUUCUAGCCACCAUUUUUGUUUGGCCCACCAGUGAAGGAUCAUUUUUUGAACAGCCAUCUACAACUUAGCCUAUCUUUUUUCUUCAAAUACAGCUUUGUGUUUUACAUCUACAUUUUUCUAUUUUGUUGCAUUAAAAAUAAAUGCAUAUCCUACCCUCGAAAUUCCUGUACAUGAAAAUUUUCCUUCAACAUACUGUCACACACUUGAAAAGUAUUUUCUAUUUUUACUUGUGUUUGUGUCUUUUUCCUGUGCCUUUCCAUGCCUGGAACAGCUUCCUUCCCUCCAUUUUCCAAUCAAUUGUCCUUUCUCAAAAAGUCUUUGCUCUAAGACAAUUGUUUGGCAACCGUUUAUCUUCCACAUUCAUCUUUCAUUUAAAAUCACCAUAUGCUUUGAAUAAUAAUUUAAAUAAUAUAUGAUCAUGGAACUUAGGAAUUAUUUUCUGUGAUAGUGUUGUUUUAUAGCACAAUCUUGUGCAUGUUUACUCAGAAGUAACUCCCCUCUUUGUUCAAAGGAGUGUCCCUGGUAAGUGUGCAUCAGAUUGCAACCUUUUUUCGUUUCUUUUCCUGUUUGCUUAUCUUUAUUUUAUUUUUUAUGGAACAAACUGGCUCACACGCCCACAUUGGUGGGAGCCACUGCCAUUCUAAGAGAACAAGAGAAAAGUUCUUGGUGAGCUCUGGCACCUCUUUUUCUAGAAAAAUAGCACUGGGUGUAGUGGAGAGGGACUACAAAGAAGCACAACUGUGGGAUUUAUUCACAGCAAUAGCAAUGACAUCAUCUGACAGGGUAACAGAUGAACUUUCCUUGCUCUAGCAAGUUAAUGAGGUGAUAAUAAGCCUUUCAGGAAAAUAACAAAGCAGAGGCUGGACACUUCGUUCCUUUCCUUUGGUGCGGUUCCUACUUCAAGCUAGGAGUCUAAAUUGUAAUGAAGCCUUGUGUGCAAUAGUUAGCAUUCCUGUUUCAAAGCUAACUGGAUACAUUUCAGCUGACUGAAUGCCUUUUGUUAAAGCCUGAGUAUAUGUAGUGAGAAGUAAGCAUCGCUGUCCCGUGAAGAUUAUUCCCUGGUAAAUACUAUGCAUAGGAUCACCAUAAGUGUGUGUGUCUGUGUAUUUAUACAGUGGUACCUCGGGUUAAGUACUUAAUUUGUUCCGGAGGUCCGUUCUUAACCUGAAACUGUUCUUAACCUGAAGCACCACUUUAGCUAAUGGGGCCUCCUGCUGCCGCCGCGCCGCUGGAGCACGAUUUCUGUUCUCAUCCUGAAGCAAAGUUCUUAACCUGAAGCACUAUUUCUGGGUUAGUGGAGUCUGUAACCUGAAGCAUAUGUAACCCGAGGUACCACUGUAUAGGUAUUUAUCUUUCACUUUUCAGGCAGACCUCACAAACCAGUUUACGUAACAUUAUUAUAACAAGAAGACCAUUAAAAAUAAAUAAAUAAUGACAAUGUUACAAUAAAAGGAAAAGACAACUUGAUUGUUUCAGAGGAAACUGCUACUGCUUCUUCUCGCUUCUCUCUCCAUAGGGGCCACUAUGGGAGGUGGAUAGUGGCAACUAUCCUUUCUUCUCCCCUCCCCUCAGGACAAUAUGGUCCUUCAUACACUCCUUUGGUGGCAACUAAGGGAGAGAGGCGCCACUGUGGAAGGUGGAUGGUAGAAAUUUAACGUGUGUGUGUGUGUGCAGUGGCGGAGCUUCAUGCUCCAGCACCGGGGGCGGAGAGCAGGCGGGGGUGGGGCUGGCGUGCAUCUUGGUGGCGUCCUGGGUGUAUGUGUGUGUAAGAUCAGCAUAGCUGCCUGCAGUUUUGGACUCUCCUUGGGGUUACAGGCUUCUCCUUGGAGCUAAGGGAACUCUCAUAAUGAGCUCCCACCAGGAGCCAAAACUGAAAUAGGAUUGUGGAAGAGCAGCAGCUUAUUCAGAUCACCUCAUAUGUGAGUUGUGGCCUCCACACAAAUUUCCAGUUGCCUGGGGCGGGGGCUCCUAGUCACAAUGGUCUUCCCCCUUUAAAGGGAACAAAUAGGACACAUGAUGUUCGCAUGCAAUCAGUUGUUUGUGCAAAGGGCCAGCUAACACAGGAGGUUAUUGGCUCACUGCUCCCCCACCAAGCUCUUUUAUCUGUGCUCUGGCUGCACGCAUGAACCGCAGUUAAAUGAUUAUCUCAAAUUUCCUGAUGUCCAUUGGUUACAUGUGUGCUUCCAGACAUGGGUUUCCUUUGCUGGAUCUCAGUGAUUAUUUUAGGAUUAUCUCUCAGUCUAGUUCUUUUGCUCUUCCCAAAACGUUUUCUUUCGUUACCGGCAGCACUUAUAACAGUAAAAAAAAAUGCUAGCGCUCCGAUUCUUCUUUUAUUUCUCUAAACAGCUGCAGAUGUAAGGUCUAUAAAAAUGUGUGCGUUCACAUCUUUAGGAAGGAGCUGCUCUUUCAGGUGACUUCCCCAUCUGCCCAAGGAGUCAGCAUUAGGAGCACACAGUAUGAUUUUACAAACCAGUUUAAAGACUGAAAUGUGGUGUUCAUUUCACAGUAGCCAAUUAUGCCUAAUAGCUACAGAUUGCUGCUAAUGCACAUGCCACGGUUGAUUGAUAACAAAACACUAUAAUGAGCCAAGGUUUGUUCUUGGCUUCGCAAUCAUAGUUUGUUUGAGGGAAACAAACCACAAUCCAUGGGGAUUGCGGUUUGUUUCCUCCAUGUGUUAUGGGGAGGAGUUAAAUGGGUGUGACUUAUUCAUUCAUGUGACCACUGUGGCCCUGGUUAAAUGCAAUUUUCGUUAUUGUGUUUUGUAGCUGAUGCAGUUUGAACACAAGCAAAGAAAGUGUACUUUCGAGGUGUUUUUUUUUUAAUGCACACACACUCUACUGGUUUUCCCCUUGGCAAACACAUUUAAUUCAUUACAUAACAGGACACUCCGGUAUCUCAUCCUUAAGCUCAAUGGUCUGCAUUUCAUCAAUCACACUGAAAUAUUUUGCUGUCAGUGUGUAUAAACAGAAGGCUGAAAAUGCCUGUUGCCUAAUCAGCGAGCUUUGCGAUGACGCAGGAAAGUGACGUCCAUUCAUUGUGAGAUAUAUAUUUAUAUAUAUAUAUGGAGAGAGAGAGAGAGGUCUUAUUUACUGUUUAAGAAUGAAACUUCGCUGCAAUUGGCAAAGGCUGAAACAUAAUGGAAAUUGAACUUGCCCAACUUUUCAGAACAAGUCUUUCCGGAUAAAUGUUACUCCAUUCUGUGUUUACUUUCGCUUCAGGACAUGUAUGAUAUAGUGGCAACUGUGGAGCCACACUGUAACAAAGUGUGAAUGACAGUAUGGAAUUGGGUUUGUUUUUUGAAAUGAGAUGCAAAGGGGAAACACAAACUGGAUAGAGAGGCUGAGUUUUGCAUUGCUGCACAGCUAUACCACAUGCUUCUAAGUACCAACCCAUGGAUUACACAGUGGUUAGAUCCAGCAGAAAAGUCAUCCAUCCUAACAUGCACAAAUAUCUGUGUUAAAUGCAUACAUUAGUAAUAGGUUUGCUUUUCUUAUGAUUUACUAAUGACAGAUCACCUUGUCUGCUGCCUGGAAUGACGCUACCCUCCAUCUUCUUUCUAAACAUAUUUUGGGGGUGCAUGGGCAGAUUGGGAAUGAACUUUGAGCACCGAAUGCAGUUUCUGGGUUGUAUGGCUCAGGGUAUCCUAAAAUUAGGCAGAAUUGUGUGCAUUCUCACGAGAAAAAGUAUACAUACAUCUUUUAGGUAAUAUCACACCUGGUGGCUUCUCUGUUACGAUAAUCAUUUCAAUCAACAUCUUCCAAUAUUUUAUCUCACAAAAGCAAGCUCUGGUGCGUUACGGCCACUGGGUUAUCUGUAGGCAACAGCUGACAUGAACCACAAAUGUGAGAGCCAUGAGGAAAUAAUUUUGCUUUCAGCCACGUCUCGGCUUACUACUUCAGGAAAAUUGGACAAGGUCUAGUUUACUUGGCUGUCAUGGACUUGGGUGUGCUGUUACCUGGGUGCCCUCGAAGCACAGAAAGCAAUGUGGUGAAGGGAGCAGGGAAUCGAAGAAGGGUUGGAUCAGGUUUUAUACACAGGCGAAUUCAGGAGCAGUUUCUACGAUCCGCUUUCUACACUGAAGCAUUUUUGGAGCUUCUCCAGUUAUUAAAAUUGCUGCUGAGUGUAUUGCAUGUUCACCUCUUCCAUGUAUGCCCAAAGAUCACCAUGCGGCGGAGGGCUUUGUUUGUUUGUUUUUAAAUGGUACAGAAAUGAUAUUGCAAACUGUUCCUUGACAGAUCCACACUGCUGUGCUGUAAUAUGGAGAGUGAAAGGACAGGCUUUUCAUUGGAUUUUUGAAUAGAAAACCUCCUCCUGUUCUUAGUGGUUUUCAGCUGCAGUCCCAAGCCUGGCUUUUUGGACCAGAGGAGAGGCAGCUACAAAGGAGGGAGGUUCCUUUUGAUCAGCCCCACCCCUGCCCUGAAAUUAAUGGUGUGUGGGUGUACGCUUGUGUGGAGUGUUUUUAGUUGGGUUCAGAACAGGAAGACGGGAGAUAUUUGCUAAUAUUGAUGCCUUCUUUUGGUUUUAUGGAGAUGUAAUGGUUAGGAUCCAAGGAACCAUACAGUGAGUUCUUUGUGUUUGAGUAGCUCUCCAUGCUAAAUAUUACAUCUAUAUUCAAGCUGAAUAUGAUUUGAAAAGCAGUUUACAAUAUAGCCUGAGAAUGUGCUGCCUGCCCAAUACCUUUGGCUAAGAUACCAUUAACUAUUUGGAGAUCUCAGCCUAUCACUUAAGUAUGAUGAUGAUGAUGAUGAUGAAAUUAUUAAACUAAAGUUGAACAUCAGGACAUUAGAAACUGUUGAAAUGUCAAAAUAUGAUCGACAAAAAGAAACAUUUGCUCCUAUCAGGAUUUGGAUACUGUUUAGUUAUUUUUUUAAAGUUGCUGGACUUGUAAGAAAUCCCCUGUAUGAUAGUGCCAACAUUCCUGAAAUGCCGUCUGCUCAGCAAAAAUCAAAACAAUAGGAAGUAAGGUAUUAAAAUGCCCUUGAAUAGCUUAGUCCUUCCCUUGCCACUAUGAUUAAUGUUUAACAUUAGCAAGCUAUGCUUUGCAAAUGAAUGUGUUGUAUUAGCCAAUCCAUCACUAGAGGAGCAAAAAACAUGUUUCUGGGUGAUAUGAAUGAGCGUGGAUGAUAUAACAGAUAGUAAUGAAGACCCACAGGGCUCUUUUCAGAUACUGUGUGUCUAAGGCAUUGGAGGGGGAACUGGAUAUGACUGGUGGGCCAGAUCCCGCCCCCAUACCCCCCCCCCAAGUUUGAUGGGUGGGUAGGACCACCCACCUAUCACUGUUUUCACAAUGACCUCAGGUGACCCAUUUUGCCCAUGCAGUUUGAAACCCACGUCUGUGGGCGGAAAAAUAAAAGCUGGUGAAGUGCUAUGCAAGCGCUGACUGUUGCUAGUUCUGAAGCACUGCCUGCAAAGCCCCUUUUGUCCAAGGCCCACCUUUAGCUUCCUCACAUCUGACGACAUAUAGGACAACAGGAAUAGGGCAGGUGGGGCUGGCUUGGCUGAAACAGAUUUGCAGGCCAAACGGGGAGGUCUAGUGAUGCUAAUUAGGCCGUGGCCCAGAGGUUUCCUAUCCUGAUCUGAGGCAAUCUGUUGACAAAUGAGUUGCUACUGUAAGAACAGUUAAAAACAUUAGCUUUAUUAAGUUAAUGGUUACAACAGAUAACCAUUAUUAUGCCUAUACCUGUUUAGCUAUUUUCAUUUCCUGAUGAUACCAGAAGAGCUGGGGCUAUCCUGCAUUCUGUCUGGCCGCAAUUCCUCAUCUGACCUCUGAGUCUAGAAAUAGAUGGCUCUUGCAUCCAGCCAUGGUUAGCCCCUAUUCCUCCAGGCACUGAGUCAUCGUGCAGUCUAUUUUUUGAGAUAUUAAGCUGCAGUAUGGUGUUUCUUGUAAUCAUUGUGGAGUCAAACUCAGCUUGGUUUUAAUGGUGUGUGUUUUUUAAAAAAAGAUUAUCAUCGGCAUGAAUUUUGAUUCACAAAAUACCGUGUUAAGUGCUACAGAGUGCUACCUCAGUUUAAGUCUCAAUUAACAAUGUAAUCCUAAGAACAUUUACUAGGGAAUAAACGACAUGGAGCUCAGUGCUUAAAAUUGCACUGUGGGGAAUCUGGAAUCCUUCAUGCUUUGUUCCACAAGUGAAAGAUUUAUAGGUUAUGUAUGUGCAAAACUGUCCCUGUUUACCAAGGAUAUUGGUUUACCACCUCAUAUUUUCUUAUUCCCAUCUCUGCUUCUCUGUUGCCUUUCGCAUUUGUCCUGCCUGUUUCUAUUUUGAUUCUUAAAAAAGAAAAGAAGUUGGAUUGGGAACUUAGUGUGGCAUGAGGGGAGCUUUAACGCUUCCAUGCUCUAAAAUCUAAAUUGAGGAAUACUGCCACUGGUACCAAUAGAAUUGUUUUGUUCUUUGGCAAAUAGAAGGUGUGGAUUCCUAAGUGCAAGCUUUGAUUGCCCCUGCCUAAAAACAAUACCACCCCUCAACUAUUUCAUUGGUCCUCCCAUCCCCUGGCCAAGGAAAGAGAAGCAGCAACCUACUUUGGGUUCUUAUUUGCAUGCUCUUAUGAGCUGCUCAGCAACAUCACGCACAAUGGGGAGAGUCUGAGCUAUGUCCAAUCCUGUCAGGUCCCUGCCCAGUUUCUUUGCAUUGCUGUCUUGUCUUUCAUUGCCAGUUUCGUUUGGAAACCUGACGUGUCGUUGAACCACUGCCACCUGUGUGUGUAGCGGUCAUUUCUUUUCUGACUUUCAGAGAGAUGCGAUCAUACAGCUUUGCUCUCUCUGUGGUUUAAAAUUAACCAGACUAAAUUCCUAGAAAGGAAGGUGGUCUGGGGAGAUGGGGAAGGGUCCUCCGGAACAAAAAUGGCUCCCUCCAAAGCCCCUUCCUGCCUGUAUUUCUCACAGACGGGAAAAAGGCAUUGAUCUGUCCUAUGAGCUGAACUGGUGUUGCAUUCUGAAAUCUGAUGAAUCUUCCCAUUUUCUGCAUUUGGAUCAAGGGGAGUCCAAGGGCAGCUGGGGGAGGGGAUGCCCGGGUGAGUGUGUCUGUGCAGCUGAUCUAUCACAGCACCAGGAUACUGCAGUUGCUUACACAUUCCUAAUUUGCUAAAAUUUGGGAAUUUUAUGUAUCCCUGAGCUCAAAGUUCAUAUGUCCCUGGGCCCCCAAAGCAUUGGUAUGUCCAGUAUCACACACCUGCACAAUCACAACAAUAAUAGUUGUUCAAAGUUAGCAUGCUUCCAAAAUACUCAUGAAUACAUGAGACAUCACGUAGUCUAUACACACACACACACACACACACACACACACACACAAAGUUGUAUUUAUUGAUUUGGGCUUUUCUUUUUCCCUCUGGCUUGCCUCAAUGCAGUACAUAAAUUCAAAGAUUUCUGUGCAUAAAAUACUGCAGUUUUGUAUGUUUCCUUGAAUAACUUUUGCACUUUAGCAGGAGGAAAGGCUCAAGCAGUGAUACUGAUGUAGAGCAGAAUAAUAGGAUCAUAGAUUUGUAGAGUUGGAAGGGACCCUGAGGAUCAUCUAGUUCAACCCCCUGCAAUGCAGGAAUGUGCAACUGUCCCAUGUGGGGAUCAAACCUACAAACUUGGUGUUAUCAGCACCACACCACAAUCCAGGCAUAAUAUCCCUCUUUUCAUCUGAGGAAUGUUGGAGUGUGUGUACUUCCUCUGCCUUGUUCCUGAUUCUGUCUGCUCCUUGCAGUUUUGCUGUUUUCUUUCUUUCUUUUGAUCAAUCAAUCAAUCAAUCAAUCAGUCAGUCACACAAGGGGAUUAGCAUCACAUCAGGUCUGGCCCUGAGUAGAGGUUAGGUUCAUAUGGGAUAUAGUACUCAAGUAAACUCACCCAAAUGGAUCAAAAAAGGCCAGUACAUUAGCUUGCCGUCCAACUGUCUACCAUAAAAGCUUAUACAGACAGUAAACAUUGCUGAAUAACAGCCAUUGUAUAAAAUAGGCAUUGUUCUUAAACUUUAACAUAGUUAUGCUAUUUGUUAUACAGUUUUCCUAAGCUCAAAGAGUUUGACAUCCCAAAAGCAGUAUCUAAAGGUGCAUGGAAUUUAAACAGAAAGUAAUUUGCAAUGGGCAAUAUGAGUUUCUUGGCCUAAGCUUCUCCUCUCUUGACUUUUGUUCGGCUCAGUAAUACACCCUAUGUUGAAAUCAAGCAUUUUGGGGUAGAAAAUGAGAGGGUUCCAACCAUUAUUUCAGGGUGAAAUUCAGCGUUGGAGAGACAAAAGUCAGUGGACCAACCCAGAGUGCUCUCCAAAUUCUUAAAUUUGAAACCAAAAAUUCAGUUGGAACAAUUCACCAUGUUACAGGGUGAGGCAGACAGGUAAUUAAUUAAUAAAUGCCCAACUGUACCAGUUGGCUUUCUAAUUUUGAUCCCCCUCCUAUAAAGAUCCCUGCUGUAUUCCCAUCCUGGUGCGCCUGUGCUUUAAAAAUAAAUUAAUUCUGAAUUCCCGUCCCUUCAGAUUACAAGCAGUUAAUGAUCGUUCUCAUAAAUCUGCAUUUUAUUUUGAACGCUGCUUUACAUCUAAAUAGAAACAAGGGCUGUUCUGUGGACUGAAACCCUUAAUGGCAACUCAGUGCUUACCAGUAAUCCAUUAUAUCUUACUGAGGUUUUGGUGUACGCCUUCUUCACUGCACAAUAUGGCCUUAAUGAAAAGGGACAAAGUAUGAUUUCCAGGCUCCCUGAUGACAAGAAGUUUUUUUAAAAAAUAUAUAUAAUUUGUUAUAUUAUUGGAAUGCUGCAAUACUGAGUACAAGUUUGAAGGCAUCAUGUUUUUCCGAUCUGUCAGCAGCCAUGGAAACCUCCCCUCCCCUUUCCUGUUUCCUGCAAGCUGGAAAGGAUGCUGAGAUAGUGAAAAGAAAAUCAGGAGGGCCGAGGAAGAGAACAGGAGAAUAUGGUUUCCUUGGCAACAGUUGCCGUGAAGCAGUCAGAGGUGGCAUCUGUCUCAUCGUUUGUUAAACCAAACUGGGCUCCCACCGUAUCAAACAAAUCUCACAGUGGUGGGGAACUACUGCCAGCUACACACACACACAGAGAGAGAGAGAGAGAGAGAGAGAGAGAGAGAGAGAGAGAGAGACCAUUAAGAAAGUUAGGUGGUGUUUUCAUAAAUGGCUUUCUUUACUAAAAAAAAAAAAAAAUUUUUUUAAAUUUUUCUAAUACAAAACAAUAAAUUACAAAUGUAACACAUUGGGGGGCAGAGGAAAACUGUGCCCUAACCAAAUAUAACAAUUACCCAUGGGGUCGCGAAGAGUCGGACACGACUAAACGACUAAACAACAAACAACAACAAUACUAACAGCACUAAAGAAAUAUGCAUAUUUCUUUAUUAAUUUGGGAAGCAUUUAUAGCCUGCCCAUCAAUCAAUUCCUCUGGGAGACCCACAAAAAAAUGCAAAACAAUAAAACAUAAAAAGAUAAAAAUAGGUUAAAAAGAAAAUAUUGGUACAGAUAUUGAGACAGAGAUACAGUGAGCACAUCUUAUAAACAAAAUAUGGAAGCUGUAGGUUGAAAAGUGAAAUACCAUUGCUGGGGAAAAAACACCUUUCAGACAUUAAAAAAAAAAUUCAUUGUUAUUUUCCCCCUCUUUUGUAACAUUCAUAUCUUAUAUUUCCACCAAGAUGCUCAAGGCAGCAUACAUGGUUUCCUCAACAUCCCAUUUUAUCUGCACAACAACCCUGUGAGAUAGGUGAAGCUGAGGGAGAGUGUCUGAUCUGGAUUAGGGUUUUUGAAUGGGCUAUUACUGCAAGAAAACCCUCAGCACGAUUAGUAUCAUAUGUUGAUCGGCCCUGCAUGAAUAGAAUUGUAACUGGUCUUCUGGGAGUCUCAACUGGUAUGCCAUUUUACCCCCCACAAUCAGUAAUGGGCAACGUAUUGUAGAAGUAAGAAAAUACAAAAGAGUUUUACACAGUGCUAUGGAAGAUGGAGGUUUUUAGAUUAAUAAGUGUAAUAAAUAUCCAUUAUUAUGAGUGUUUUGAAGUUACUUUUAUGGUAUUUAGGUUAGAGUGAGUUUUUAACGCGGCAACCCUUGCGGAGCUCAAGAGAAUCAAACAGCUGACAUCCCUUGUUAUCAACAUUUGAUAUAAAUUGACGUCAGAGCUCUGGGAAUGCCUGAGGCAACUCCAGAGCCAGCUUCCUCGCGCAUUCUCCUGACAAUGAAUGCGUCUGUGCUUUUAAUUGGUUAAUGUCAGGGCGAGUUCAGACUUGGAGUAACAUGAAAACAUGACUAUAUUUUAUUCUUUCCAAAAGUGCAGUUACAGAGUUGUUGAAUCCCUUUAAUGACCUUUGGAGAGAAUAUGCCUUUUAUGAGAAGAAACUGUUGUUGUUUCUUCAGGAAACAGCGCUUGAUUGGCACUUCACAACAAGCUCAGCCAUAUUUUGAAGCAGGCGUCCAGCAUGGAAUGACUAAUACUCCAUGUGUGAGGGCCCCCAAGGUUGUAGGCAUUUGCUUUGGGCCACUUAAGGUUAAGGAGUUCAUUGUUGUGUAUACCCCAAACUCCAGGGGCUCCUAGGCUUUCCUUGGAAUGAAGGUCAACAGAAACCCUGGUGCCUUGCGGAUAAAUGGUUUUAUUUACACAACCUGAGUGUAUAACAUAGGCGCUCCCAGCAUUAAUGCUUCAAUAUAUCCUCCUUCUCCUUGAGGUUUCUAGGGGAGCUCCAAAGUCCAGAUCUGUGUGCCCAGAUUCCAGCAUUGCUCCACCAACUCUCUCCAAUACAGCAGCGUGCACACCCCAACACACACAGCCUGUUGUUCUUCAUCCUAGGAUGAUGAGACAUCCCAACCGGGUGAGAUGGGGAAAGGCCCACUCACUUGUCUCUGUCACAACCCCUUGGGACAUGAAAAUAGCAGUACAGUGGUACCUCGGGUUAAGUACUUAAUUGGUUCCGGAGGUCUGUUCUUAACCUGAAACUGUUCUUAACCUGAAGCACCACUUUAGCUAAUGGGGCCUCUUGCUGCCGCUGCGCCACUGCUGCACAAUUUCUAUUCUCAUCCUGAAGCAAAAUUCUUAACCUGAGGUACUAUUUCUGGGUUAGCGGAGUCUGUAACCUGAAGUGUCUGUAACCUGAAGCGUAUGUAACCCGAGGUACCACUGUACAGUGGACCUCAGGUUAAGAACUUAAUUUGUUCUGGAGGUCCAUUCUUAAUCUGAAACUGUUCUUAACCUGAGGUACCACUUUAGCUAAUGGGGCCUCCCGCUGCUGUGUGAUUUCUGUUCUCAUCCUGAGGUAAAUUCUUAACCCGAGGUACUACUUUUGGGUUAGUGGAGUCUGUAACCUGAAGCGUAUGUAACCCGAGGUACCACGGUACGUAACUGGUCAGCCAAGACCAUUAACUUAAGAUAGGAACUGGUCUUACUGGUUUACCAGGUUUCCUCUUGUAGGUGUUCCGGGGGGGGGGGGCUGCAGAGGGUGGAAGGUGAGUAAGGGGAAGUCACAUUACACAAGCAAAAGAUUUGUUCCACUCACACAAUGUCGCCCUGUUUGUUCACUCUCCCAAAGCUCAAAUAAUGUAUGGUAGUUCCAUAUGCACUGCAAAGUAUUUCUUGGAGUGAGGCAUAUAAAACAAUAUUCAUAAUACCAGGGCUGCUAUUUCUACCGUAUUGGUUGAAGGAAAGAGAAUUGUGUAUACCCAGAAGUCUAUUUUUUGCAGAUAAACUAGGUGAAAUAUCUCCAGGUUCUUUCUCUAAUAUUACUUACUUGUCAUAAAUCUGCUAUGUUACUAUAACAUUUUGGUCCUGCCUUUCUGCCACUUUGGACCUCCAAGGCAGUUAAUGCUUUGAUUUAAAAGCAAUAUAAAAUGCCACAAGAAAUUCUAAUACACUGCAGCCUCCCAAACCUCCCAUGUUUGGUGGCUGAAAUAUACUGUUCCUGCCAAGCUUGACAUUAUUUUGCGGUGGGAAUAUUUGGAUUGUUCAUAAUCAAAAAUUGCCCCCACCCCACCCUCAAGUUUGUGUUUUCCUGUUUUGUUAUUUGCUGCCCUGGGCUUCUUUGGGAGGAAGAGUAAGAAAUAAAUAAAUAAAUAUGAAAUGAAAUAAAAACUUGUGCAGAUGAACCAGUAGCAGAUCAAUAUAAUUUAGUACCAAAGGGCCUGGAAGAACUGAGGCAUUUGAAAGUGACACUUAUUUUCCCCUACGCAAGAAGAGUUGGUGUGAAAACAACCCCAGUAGCAAUGAAAACAAUAUACACAGUUACAUGAUCAAAAAAGUAUAUUUUGAUAUCAGGACCUAUUGUAACAGAGCAUAAUGAAAAACAACAAUUGCUUGGCUCAUAUGUAGCACUAAGCUAUUCUCCUUUCCAUCUUCAGGCACAAUUGUGAGGAGAUUGGAAGCUUUUGCUUUGUUUUCUGCUAACUAUGGUUACUCAUUAUAACUGAACCUAGACAAGCUGUGAUUUAAGGCAUUUAAGUAGCCAGAGUUUUGGAUUAUAGCUCCCAUCAGCCCCAGUUAGUAUGGUGAAUGAUCAUGGGUGAUGGGGGUUGUAGUCAACAACACCUGGAGGGCGCCAUGAUGACAAGCCUGAUUUAUAAAAAAAGAAGUAGUCAAUUUCCAUUCAUUGUUUAUGAACCUCACUGAUUUAUGUAAACCAUAGUUAGCAUGAACCACAGUUCUCUCUUUGGAUGACAUAUUCAUCCUCUUUGAGGCCACACUGGAAUAACAGAGGGGAGGGCAAGGUUUACCCAAGCUUGUUCCUAUUGUGCUAAACUGUGGUUUAAUGUUAUAUUUGAAGGCAGCCAGUCUUAUUUUGCUUGCAAAUUGCAACAGUGUCAAUACCUCAUUUAACUUGAAUGAUUUCAACCUUGUGUAGUUGAAGGCGGGCUGGUUCAAAUUUUGGUUACCUGGUGCGGUAAGUGCUUUUAAGCUCCCUGCCUUGCUUGUGGGGGCAAGUCCACUCAGCGCAGCAGCUGUGGGAGACUCUUGUGAGAUCUUGCACACCCAUUCAAGUUCCCGCAAUGUCCCGCAAUGAGGAAUAUUGGGUCAGGAAAGACUACUGCAAUGAAAAGCAAAAGUUUCUUCUUCUGCUCAAGGAUGGUGCAUUUUCCUUUUCCACCUUAUUCAUCCGAUUUGCCUUUGCUAUUUGUGUAGUUCCUCAGUGUGCAUGACACCAGAUAACAUGCUAAAGACUGCUUAGCAAAGCGGUGAAGCAGAAACUUCAUGAGGAGAUGACAUAAAGCAGGAAGACAAAAUUGUGUGUGUGUGUGUGUAGAUAUAUAUUAAAGAGAACCAUCAGUACCUGCAGACCUCUAUUUAGCCUUUGCUUCAUAUUAUGCACUUAAAUUUUUGUGUGGGUGUAUGGGAAGGUGGGGGGGUGCAAAUACCAGGGAUUUUGGUUAAAAAACAAAAAGGCUGCUUUUAUAAGAAAGAACUCUACAGUGUUCUUGGUUUGGGGGACUGCUUCUGGCCAAAUAAUUUAAAUUAAUUCAGGUGUAAUCCUGAAACAUGCCGGCAGACUUUGAAGGGCUUAAGGGAGCAGCUUGCAUGAAGUUUGCCAGCAAAGAGGAAUGUCUCUGGUGCGGCAGCACUUAACCAGUGAAGGAGUCCCUGAUAUUCUUAUGAAAGUGCCACUGGUCAUGUGCAACUGUAGCAGGCCUUGAAAGGGGGCAUGUUGGGGACAGAAUGGAACCUUGGUUUCCUGUUGCAUCUGAACCAAACGAAUGUGUCAUGUGGAGUCAGUUACCAUGCUGACCUGUAGUGAUGCUCAUUAAAGGCAGUGGAAGAAGAUGAGUCAAAAUUUUGAAAGACCACCUGUUCCUUACAUUAUUGUUACUAACGACAGGGCACAUGCAAAGGCUCUUUAUAGGUGCAAAGGAAGUUGAACAGUUGCUCCACCACAGUGUGUGUGUGUGUGUGUCGCAACUGGGUUUACAGAAGUGUCUCUUGUUUCUUUUUUAAAACAAUUGCUUACUAUUAUUUUCAGUGGCACAGCAAUAACCAAAAAACACCCCCACAAUAUACAGUUCUCCAAGAUACAAAGAUCUAUUACAAACAGGUUGCUCCUAGACAGCCUGUUCAUUGAGCAUUCAUCUUGAUUCAUUGGCACAGUUUGUGGGGAAGUUGUAUGAUGCUUCUUAUCAACUGAACAUUCAUUCUCUUUUGUUUGCUGGGAGGCUAUAUGACAUUAUGUUAAGCACUUGUUAUCUCAAACUUCCCUCUGCAUUUUCCUGUCAUUUUCCUUACCACAACACUCCCCCCCUUUCCCCUUCUUUUUUGAAACAGAAAUCUUUGCACAAGAGCACCAAAACCACUUUUAUAGCAGAACCUGAAUUUGCCAUUAUGCAGUAGAAUCUCAUUUGCAAUAUGGUGACAGUCUGGAAGUGACCCCAGAUUCUUUCAACUAUUCCUAAGGGUAGCUUUUUUAGUUUAUCAGACCAGGCUGGCAAACAUGUAGAGAAUGACACAGAGAGCGGAAGAUAGAUGAUAGUUUGGGUUUGUUGAUUUAGGAGCCCCCUAGAUUUUCAGAUGAAGACGUUGAAGCAAUAUUUCCUCUUCCUUCGUAUUCGUUUUCUUUUGGCAUUUAAUGGGCAUAAAUACAGGAUGAGCGGAGUGGGAAGCAAGAUUGUUUUAUCCAAUUAGUGUGUUGUUUCUAUCUUAAUCAUGAGACUCAGAGUUGAUAUUUUCCUUGACAUGCUAGCUCUUGGGACGAUGACUCUCGUGUUAAUUUGAUUAGUACUGCUUAGAUCUGUCUAGGUCUGAUAAGGUGAAAUUUGGUGAAUAUCCAGAAUCUGCCUGAAUGAAGUUCUGUCUUUGGAUUUUCCCAUGUUCUGUUGUGUAGGCAACAAUUUUUUGGUCAGGGGUCUUAAGCAGACAGUGAAUUAUUGCAGAAUAGUCAUAACAUAUUGUAGAUAUCUUCAAGCUGAUGCCUUCCAGAUGUUUCAACUACAAUUCCAGACCAACCAAGACAUUUUCCAGUGACAGUCCUGGAUUUACAGAAGCUGUCUUGGUUUCUGAUUUGAUCCUGAAAAGUCAUGCUUUUCCUUUGGACAUGUUGAAGGGUAUGGAGUUGUACAAACCCCAAGCCAAGGAGAUAAUAAGUAACUAUACAACCUUUGGAAGACAUCUGAAGGCAGCUGCCUUGUAUACAGAAGGUUUUUUAUGUUUAGUGCUUGUGUGUGUGUGUGUGUGUGUGUGUGGUUGUGUAUGUGUGUGUGUGUGUGUUGGAAGCUGCCCUGAGUGGCUGGGGCAACUCAGUCAGAUGGGUGGGGUAUAAAUAAUAAAAUUAUCAUCACCAUCAUAAUAGAAUAAGACGUCCCUAUUUUCAUUGGAGAGUAUGCAGUUCCACCUAAGCCAGCAAGGUCCAAGGUCAGAGAUGAUGUGAGAUGUAGUCCAAAACAUCUGGAGGGCACCAGGUUGUGGAAGGCCAGCCUAGUAUGUCUAACAUCAUCUGCAGAGCAAAGCUACACAUGUUUGCUCAGAAGCAAGUCCCACUGAGUUCAAUGGUCCUUACUCCCAAAUAAAGGAACAUAGAUUGCAGCCUUAAUCACAUGUUUCCCCUCUUAUUAUCUGUAGAUGCAUAAAAGUGACUGCCUCGUAGUUACAGCCAUGUGAGGAAAGCCUUACAAUUCUAAUUUAGGUUGUGGGGGAAAGUUUGCCAGUGUUCAAUAUAAAUUAAGCUUUAUGGUUUUGGCUGUAUGGGAAAUGAGUCAGGAAAACAAUAAACAAUAUCACUGUUUACAAAACACCUUUAAAAGAAAUUGGUGCUAACUAUUUUCAAAUGUGGGUCCAGUCCUCCAGCACUGUAGAAGGGAGAUAAAAAGGUAUUGUAUGCUACACUUAUAAAGCCAGUGUUUCAAGUGCUUUCCAAGAUUUCAAGUCCCCAAGUAAUCUUCUGCACAAUAGGCACCUUCUAGAGAAAAGUCUUCUAUAUUUUUCAGACUGCCAGGACACAAUUGGGGUUUUUUAAUACAUUGUGUUGAUUUCUAGAGUCUUCCUAAUAUAUUCAUAUGUGCCCAAAAUCAAAUCUAACUUUUUCUGCACCACCAAUUUUUUUUUUUUUUGCUAUUAAGUAAUUUUACAAUUGUAAUAUUCCCUGGGAGCAUCCUGUUGCUUCUUUGUUCUGUAUGAUUUCUCGCUCUCAUGUAUUCCAGUCAGUAAAUGGGUUUUUGUCAGUUUUCUGUCCUUUUCUGUCUUGUGCAAACCUUUACUCAUUACUAAUGAGGGAGUAAUUGAAGAAUUCUAUUGGGGUAUUAAUGCUGUGAGCCUGUCUGUCUCAUGCUCAGGUUGUAUAUGUGUGUAAAUAAAACUACAUUUCACAAAGACACAUUUCCAGUGACCUCCGUUCUAAAGAAACUGAAAUCCACAUAUGCACAGGAACCCUUGAAUUCUCUUAUGGCUUGGAGAUCGUCAUGUAUGUAACAAUAUAACAUUCCUCUUGAUAUUCUUUCUUAUAGUCCUCCUUCAGUUACAUCUUGGGGUAGUCCUGCAUUUCUUACAAUGAGCUCCCUUGUUCUUGCUCUCAUCUUCUGACUUUGCGUCAGUCAUCAUCCCUUUGUGAUCCUAUCCAGAAUCAUCCCCCCCCCAACCUUUCAACAAAAGGGGACUACCCCUUUGCCAGUGAAAGGAUGCCCAGGAGUGGAGGAAUUGAGCUCUGAGUACAUGUUUCCUCUGAGAGCCCAUUCCCUCCAUGAGUUUUCAUAGAUCCCUGCUUUCUUUUAACAACAGCAGUGGCGUAGCGUGGGUUGUCAGCACCCGGGGCAAGGCAAGUAAUUUGCGCCCCCUAACCUGUGGAUUUUAGUAGGGGCAGAGAGCUGUGAGUGCGAGCGCCCCCCCCAGAUGUUGCGCCCGGUGCGGCCGGCCCCCCCUGCACCCCCCACGCUACGCCACUGAACAACAGGAAUAGGAUGCAAAUAGACUCUUUCAUAAAAAUGGGUGGUGCAGUUGUUUUGAAACCGUGCUCUUCAGCUAUGUGAUCCUUCAGAUAACCGUGCAUCUCGCUGCUGCUGUGAUUUUGUGAGUGUGUGUGUUUAUGCCACACCAUUUCUCCGCCAUUCCCAGCUGAACUCCUUUCUGUUCUGUUGUGGCAUUCAAGAAGUGACACAAAUUUCAAUACUUGUCUCAUCUCAUAAUGCAGAAAUCGGAGAGAUAGGGGAGCUGCCCUGUGUGUCGUGACCAUAACAAGCACAUCCUUGACUGCUGCAGAAAGCUAAUAGAGGUUGACUGAGUAUUUCAGGAACUGAUGCUCCUUUUGAAAACUGGUUUUAGUUUAGCCAAAAUAUUUAUAUAUUUUGUAACCUCGGGUUACAUACGCUUCAGGUUACAGACUCCGCUAACCCAAAUAUAGUACCUCGGGUUAAGAACUUUGCUUCAGGAUGAGAACAGAAAUCGUGCUCUGGCGGUGCGGCGGCAGUGGGAGGCCCUAUUAGCUAAAGUGGUGCUUCGGGUUAAGAACAGUUUCAGGCUAAGAAUGGACCUCCAGAACGAAUUAAGUUCUUAACCCGAGGUACCACUGUAUAUGGAUAUUAUACACACACACACACAAUCUCUGGAAUGCCAGCAUUAACCCAAUCCACCCCUACUUUGCAUGAGAGAGAAUUGGCUGGGGGUGUCCCCCUGACCAUCCCUGAUGACCUCUGACCUCCUCUGUCUGGGUGAUACCAAUUUCACUCCACUGGUGUGGCGUUCCCUAUUCUGCCCCUUGAGUAGAUGCAUCACUGGCAGGAUUCAUGUUAGCAGCUAUCUAUCAGAAGACCCAAAAUGGAGUUUAUGUGAAAUCACGUAUAUAUGAAACACCAUUGAAAAAGCCUGCAAACAUCCUCUAAACCUCUUGAACCCCCUGAAAACCCCUUUGAAAAACCAGCAGCACAUACCAAACACCAAAACCCACUACAAUCAAUCCCUCCAAACCUCCUUGCUCAAAAUCCAACUCUCCACAGGCCACAGCGGUCGGUGCAAGGGCUCCUGGGAUUACACUGGCAAAAGCUUGUGGGAUUGCUAGGCACUGUUUGUGAGCAACAUGGAAACCAAAACAAUUAAUAGUGUUAAAUAUACCUCUGUUUUCAGAAGCUUGGGUCAAGUGUUCUCUAGUGCCCCCCACCCUCUCUGGGAGCCCUGCUGGGUUUACCUGGCUGUGGUAGCAGCACUCUGAGCAGUCGUGGGGUUCAGGCGCCCCUUUUCUGCUAGGUCAGAAAAAUCCUAUUGAGGAGGAGGAGGCGAAGGCACAAUGGGCCCUGUUAGCUGCUGGGGACCUGACAGUUGCCCAGGAAUGCCAGGUGCUCACACCAGCAGUGCAUCCACUUAUUUACAUAUUUAUUCCAGCUAGAAGUCCACAGAGUAUUCAGAGUGCUGUUCCCUUUAUUACGUGGUGCUUUCUCAGAUCCCAAAUAAUGCAGAAGGGGGAGGCAGACCCAUCAGUCCCUGCAGGAUGAUGCUCACAAGUCAUGUUACGUAAUUAGAGAUCUAAUGCAAAUUCCGUAUCCCAGUUAAUCCAUGACAUUUGGGUCAGCCAGUUACAGCAAGAGGGUACCUUAAGAUGUCCUGUUUUGCUUUUUUUAAUGGUCAGCACACCCUUGUUUUUCUCAUCACCUGCCUUGAAACAUUGUCAUUGUUUUUCUCUGCGCCCUGAGGGUUUAUGUUAUAUAGACAUCAGAAAUUUAUUACAAAGCAAGUUACCUACGUCAUUGAGAAAAAGCCCAAACAUGGUUCCAUUAACUUCCUUGUAAGUGCUUCUCCUUAAUAAUUCUGGUGACGUGCAGACUGUAUCCUCGUCCCUUUCAUGCCAAACCAGGCGGGAGAGAUAACUAACAGUUCGCAGAGACGGGUGUGCGGGGAAGAGGGGGGAGAAACCCAGAAAGCACAUUUGAGCUCUCUGUCCUCCAAAAGGAGCUACUUGACCGAGCUGAGGCAGGCCUUUCUAUCUCACAGUAGGUGGCAGUAAACCAUUUGAUUGUACUGUAUCUCAGAUUUCCAGAAUGCCUGGUUUGUAGGGGAGGCUAUUGAAGCAUUGAUUGUGAUAAAAGAGAAGCUUAUUUGGCCUGCGACUGUGUGAGAGGUCUUGGGUGAUACAACAGUCUGUUGAUGUGUACAGCUGCUGUAGCAAUGAUGUAGCCAUAGGCAUAUGUAAAACCCAGAUUUUAUAGCAAGGAAAAAUCUGACCUUAACUAUUUUACAGGCCACAGCUGACAUGCUGAGAAAUUUGUUCAUCAGGUUCUUUUAUUUUAUCCAGGGUAUCAUCAAAAUGCAAGUAGGGUAACGAGAUCAGAUUGUUAAAAAGAAAGGACUUUGCCAUUCGAUCUGCUCCAUUAAAUUGGAGAAUUUGUGGAAUGAGAAAUUCUAGAGAGAUUAGGCUGCAUUAAGGGGCAAUGCUAAAUAUGCUUAUUAGGGAGUAAGCCCCAUUAAAAUGGUGGGUCUUACUUCUGAGUAAGCAUACACAGAAUUGCAUACACAGAAGGGAGCGGGUGGCGCUGUGGUCUAAACCACUGAGCCUCUUGGGCUUGCCGAUCAGAAGGUCGGCGGUUCGAAUCCACACAGUGAGGUGAGCUCCCAUUGCUCUGUCCCAGCUUCUGCCAACCUAGCAGUUCGAAAGCAUACCAGUGCAAGUAGAUAAAUAGGUACCACUGCAGCAGGAAGGUGAACGGCAUUUCUGUGCACUCUGGCUUCCAUCAGUAAUAAUAAUUUAUAAUAAUAAAUUAUUAUUUCUACCCCACCCAUCUGGCUGGGUUUCCCCAGCCACUCUGGGCAGCUUUCAACAGAACAUUAAAAAGAGAAUAAAACUUCAAACAUUAAAAACUUCCCUAAACAGGGCUGCCUUCAGAUGUCUUCUAAAUUCAGAUAGUUAUUUGCUUGACAUCUGAUGGGAGGGUAUUCCACAGGGCAGGCGCCACUACCGAGAAGGCCCUCUGCCUGGUUCCCUGUAACCUCACUUCUCACAGUGAGGGAACCACCAGAAGCCCCCCGGUGCUGGACCUCAAUGUCCAGGGUGAACGAUGGGAGUGGAGACGCUCCUUCAGGUAUACUGGGUCGAGGCCAUUUAGGGCUUUAAAGGUCAACACAAACACUUUGAAUUGUGCUUGGAAACAUACUGGGAGCCAGUGUAGGUCUUUCAAGACCAGUGUUACAUGGUCUCAGCGACCACUUCCAGUCUAGCUGCUGCAUUCUGGAUUAGUUGCAGUUUCCGAGUCACCUUCAAAAGUAGCCCCACAUAGAGCACAUUGCAGUAGUCCAAGCAGGAGAUAACUAGAGCAUGCAUCACUCUGGCGAGACAGUCCUCGGGCAGGUAAGGUCUGCGUAACAGAUGGAGCUGGUAGACAGCUGCCCUGUACACAGAAUUGACCUGCGCCUCCAUGGACAACAGAGAGUCCAAAAUGACUCCCAGGCUGCACAGGACCAGGGAGUCCUCUACACCUGCCCGCCCCCUGUCCCCCAAAAACAGUACUUCUGUCUUGUCAGGAUUCAACCUCAAUCUGUUAGCCACCAUCCAUCCUCCAACCCCCUCCAGACACUCACACAGGACCUUCACUGCCUUCACUGGUUCUGAUUUAAAAGAGAGGUAGAGCUGGGUAUCAUCUACAUACUGAUGAAGAACCCCAGCCCAAACCCCCAGUGUUCCGUUGUACCAGAAGCAGUUUAGUCAUGCUGGCUGCAUGACCCAGAAAGCUGUCUGUGGACAAAUGCCGGCUCCCUUGGCCUGAAAGUGAGAUGAGCUUUGACUGGGCUUAACCACCCAGGGGUCCUUUACCUUUUUUAAACAGAAUUGCAUUGUUAGUCUGUUAGAGCACAAAACAAGGGGUCUUGGGGCACCGUCAAGAUUUAUUGUGACAUAAACAUUUGUGGACUAGAAUCUGCUGUGUCAGAUGUUGGUUUAUGCCACAAAAAAUAUGUUUAAGGUGCCACAACACUGUUAUUUAUGAAAUGAGAGACCUCUUACAUUUGUAUGAAGUCUUUGGUGGUCAGAAGUGGAGAAUGCAUGACAAAAAUUAUAGUUAAAUGGGUCUUGUAUAUUUCUUCCCCCAUGAACACAGCCCCUUAUUUUGCAAAUUCACAUCGGCUUGCUUUUCUUUUCUUUUUCUUUAAGAGCAAAUUCCUAUUCCUCAAGGCUUUCUGCUCCUGCAAUAUGACUGUGGCUAGAGACAGACAAGCCUGUGUUCUUUUGAACAGCUGAAGGUGGUAUGAUUGGGGUAUUGCGGCAGCGGCUGAGCAAACCUAUUUCUUUGUUCUGGCAUCACCUCUGAUCAGAGAGGCAUGACAGGUUUUUGAGGCACUAGAAAAACCCUUCGCUGAAAAGAUUUGUCGAAUUUCUUUCCUUCCACUUCUUCUCAUAAUUGUCCUUAUAUAGGUUUAUAUUCUUAUUGGUGAUCCAAACCCCCAAAUAAUUUACCUUAUUGGCUACCUUUAAACCUGUUGUAUUUGUCGAAUUUCUGUGCUUUGCAAUUGGGUACCAAGUAACUCUAUUGCUAUUCAAUCAGCCUUUCUACUAUACUGUUGAGAGCAGGGGUAAGGAGUCUGUGGCACUGAGGCAUAGUGUCAGAAUUAUAGAGUUGGAAAGGGUCAUCUAGUCCAACCUCCUGCAAUGCAGGAAUCUUUCACCGUACGUGGGACUCGAACCCAAGACCCUAAGAUUAAGAAUUUCAUGCUCUGACUCACAUCUGCCCCAGCCAGUAUAGCCAAUGGCCAGGGAUAUUGGGUUUGUGUACUCAAAACUUGGGUAGGGGGUGAGACACAGUUUCCAGGCCCCUCAUGCAGAACUGUGUAGAGGAUAGGAGUCUCAGAAAAAGAAUGUAACUCCCAUGAGCCACAUCUUUAAGGUAAAACAGAUAAUGAGAUAUGACAAAUUAGUAUGCACACAAAUUGAUUAUAGAACACAGCCUCAUAUAAUAGAUAUGUGUGGGUUUUAUAGCUUCUUUUAUUUCUGCCUGCAAUUCAGCUCCUAGAUGAAUUGUUUUAAGCUUUACCUUAUAUGAAUACCCAUAGGGGUGGGGAAUUAAGCUUAAUUCUACCCCACUUGAGUGCUUGUUAAUAUCUUCCAGAUAGCAUCUAUCACUGUAAUAGUAUAUUCUCUCUGUUAAUUAUGAAUCAACUCAUUAUAAAAACAAUGUCAUUUUAUGUAUCCAUGUAAUGAAUGUGUAACAGAACUCAAAAGAAGACAAUUGUAAGCUACUUAGACAAGCGUCUCUAUAAGGCAAAGUGCUGUGAUGAAUUUUGCUCUGUUUUGAGUUAACAUCUUAUACAAUCUUGUUUGUUAUGCUUAUGAGCAGUGUUGAACCCUGAUACAUAUGAAAAAGGCACAUGUAGCUCUAUAUAGAGCUACACUGCUACAUUACAUCAUUUCCAAAUAAUAAUCUAAAACUAUACUAAAGCUCCUACAUUGUCAGAGACAUGCUCUCAAUGGGCAAAGGCAUCCUUUAAUGCGUGCACAUAGUGCAUGGCAAAUUCCCUCCUUUGUAAAUUCUUCUGUUAUGGUAUCAUAAAUGGUUGAGACUUUGAGUGUUAUCUGCACAGGUGAGAUUCUUUGUUUGGUGCUGAUCUCAGUCUGGGCAUGAUGAUGGAAGGUGUCUUGACUCCACAGUCACAAUAUUUAACAGCAGCAGCAGCAACAACAACAACAACAACAACAACAACAACAGCUUCAAAGAGAAUUGGUGAACUAGAAUUUAUAAGAACACAAUGGUUCUGCUCAUUUAGACCUUAAGACCAUGGGUUAAAGCCAAUUCUCAGAACAGACUUCUUGAAGUUGAUGGACAUGACUAAUGUAGGCCCAUACAUUUCAGUGGAGAGCAGAACUUGGUUGGAUACAACCCCAUGAAUUUCUUUCCCACUGCAAAUGUUAAAUUAACAAAAACAAAAGGAGGAAGAUUGUGUUACAAUUCUAAACCAUUGCUGGUUUUAGCUGUGUACCACCUCCAGUUUUGCCAGUUUCCACUUAAAGUUGCAGGAGGCCCCUUCAGAUCAGCCCUCAACUGAACGGCUUUGUUUUGUAGAGGAACAGCACAGCUCUCCACUCUGGAAUCUAUUAUGAUUCUGUUUGUGAAACCACCACAACUGGGAUAGGGUUCAUGUCUUUGAACUCCAUAUGCUGAGUUCCUUGGAAGAAAGGGUAGAUAUUAAUGUGACAGGAAAAUCAAUAAAUAUUAUGUAAAGAACCAUGGCAUUCAAAAAAGAACCAUGAAUAUAAAAUAUGCAGUUAGUCCAGUGUUUAACAUAUUAAUACAUCUUCUCUCUUUUUUCUUUUUACAGGUAAGUACUCCAUUCUUCUUCUUUAAGCUGACAGAAAAUAUAUUAUGUGCCUGAAUUGUAAUGAAUGGUACAAAAGCAAGCUAGUGAACAGGAAGAAGGUGCUGCCUCCUCACGUCAGGAUUUCAGAGCAGCUUCAGGAUGCCCUUGUUUAUUUUUGAAGGUUGGUAACAGAAAGUGACCCCGAUUUUGACAGGAUUUAUUAAGUAUAAAUAUAACAUAUAGUUGUGAAAGAUUAACUUGCGCCUGUUGACUGCCUGUAUGGAAAAGUACUGUUGCUGAGUCCUCUGUAAAAAGACCAGCCAGAUUAAUAGUUAUAAUUAUAGGGGGGGGGGGGGCGUAUUCCAUUGUCCGAAUGGGAUGAAGGAGAAAAAUGGUUUGGGGAUGUAGUGUUAGCUACAUAGUGAAGAAGACCCUGGCCUUUGAAAUUUUUAAAUACUUAUUUUGUUGGUGAUCUUGCCCCAUAUAUGCACACACACACACACACACACACACACACCCCAACCAAUAAUUCCGAACAUUGGAUUGGCUCUAGAAUCAAUUUUCCUGCAGUGGAACUCUGCUAACUGGACAUUCCCAUGGGCUGAGGAAGAUUUUGGUGAUUUCUCCUUCCCUUUGCAGCCCCUUAACCACCAACCCCUCAAAAUAUGCAGCAAACUGUUGGUGGCAUGCACCCCAGAACAGUGUGGGAGGCGGUGGCUUCAGAGGGCAGAGGAAAUGGAUAAAAAUCACUCCCUCCCUCUAUUGGAAAGCUCCAUUUGAUCCAGCUCCCCACUGGGAAAGGAAGUAGCGCUUCCAAGAACAGUCCUUCCAUUUGUGGAAAAGCCUACUGAAUACAACUUGUAGAAGCUGUCUUGCGCACAUUUAACUUGCAUGAUUUCAACUAUAUGCAGUUGAAGGCUGGCUGGUUUAAAUCCCUUAAGUUAAAUACGGAACCGGUGCGCAGAGAGGGCCUUGCUUGGGAAGCAAGGCAGGGAGCUUAAAAACUCUUUUUUUGCUGGAUUUUCCUGGAGCAAAAAAAGAAGUUUUAAGCUUUCUGCCUUGCUUCCCAAGCUAGGCUCUCUCCUCUCGCCCGGGUGUGAGAUGCUUCCGCAAGAACUCGAAAAUACAUGUUUUUAAAUAUAUGCAGAACCCUUGAAACCGAAUCCCCACGUAAGUUGUGAUUGUACUGUAUUUUACUGCCACAGCACAUUGAGUUGAUGCUGUCAGUCAAAUGAAAGAUCUCUUUCCUCUGGAGUCAGGAGGCAAUUCAUUCUCUACCUAAUAAUAAAAAUAAUGAUGAUAAUACUAUAAAAGACCUAACAUAAAAAAGACCUAGCUGUGCGCGUGCAUGCAAAUAUUGAUGUCUGUCACUGUGUGAGUAUCGCAGGCAAAGGAUCUCUCUUUUUUCCCCCUUGGCUCAUUAUGAGUCUUGAUUGGCAAGUGUUAUGUGACUAAGGACUAUGUGCCUGCUGGGAUAAAUUUUAAGGAGCUGCGUGAUGCUGAUCAAAACACAGAAAAGCGUGUUUGCUACAAGGGGAAGGAUUAUAAAGAUUGUGCACUGUUCCAGCACAAAGUUUCAAACAAUUGUAACUAGAUGUUAAUGGAGGAUUCAGCACUGCCAAUGGAGAACACAGUCCCCUCCCCAAUGCCUCCUCUGUACUCCACCAUCAAUCCCUCUGAUAAGAUAAUCAAGCAGUGAGUGCCACAAGGAUUGUCACAAAAACACAACCACUGAGAAGCAGGAACUCAUCAGCGUGCUUGUGGCCGGGGGGUGGGAUGGGGGGAGAGACCCAGGAGUACACUAGCAGCCAAAAUUGGCUCAUAACAGCCCCCCUUUUUUAGAAUAAUACCAUAAAAUAAUGCCAUAAAAUUAUAUAUCAUUAGAAAGAUAAUCUAAUGCAGAUUGCAAUACAACAAACUGUGUUGAAUCAUCUUUAUCAUAUCAAAGGUUAUAUCCAAAUAACCAGAAAGGGAAGCACAACUGCCUUUUGUAACAAGAAGCGGAUUUCCUCAGCUCAGAAAUGACCGAUGACAAACAGAGUGAAAAAUGUUGACUGGUCACCCAGAAAGCAAUGCAAUAGCCCUGACCUGAAUUGAAAAUGUGUGGAGCUGUUAGCUCAGUUGGUUAGAGCGUGGUGUUGAUUAUUCCAAGGUUGCAGGUUUGAACCCCAUAGAGGACAGCUGCAUAUUCCUGCAUUGCAGGGGGGUUGGACUAGGUAAUAGUAAUAAUAAUAAUUUGUUAUUUAUACCCCGCCCAUCUGGCUGGGUUUCCCCAGCCACUCUGGGCAGCUUCCAACAGAACACUAAAAUACAAUAACCUAUUAAACAUUAAAAGCUUCCUUAAACAGGGCUGCCUUCAGAUGUCUUCUAAAAGUUUGGUAGUUAUUUUUCUCUUUGACAUCUGGUGGGAGGGCGUUCCACAGGGCGGGUGCCACUACCGAGAAGGCUCUCUUCCUGGUUCCCUGUAACUUGGCUUCUCGUAGUGAGGGAACCGCCAAAAGGCCCUCGGCACUGGACCUCAGUGACCAGGCAGAAUGAUGGAGGUGGAGACGCUCCUUCAGAUGAUCCUCAGGGUCCCUUCUGACUCUACAAUUCUAUGAUUCAAUUCUAUGGUCUGGGAGCGAUAUGCAGCUGUAGGUUAGAAAGUGAGAGAGAACCUCUUGCAUCCUUCUAGGACACCCCAGAUGUUUUAGAUCACUGCUUCCAUUUGCCUCAACUAGCACACCGUGCUGCCACAGAUGGGAGUUCAUUUCAUCUAACUACAAUAUUUAUAGCCCAUCCUAUAUUCAAAGAUCUCAGGGAAAGGGACAAUGAAGCUCAUUAAACAUCACAUUCCAUGCUCAUAAAAAACAGAUAAAAAUCAAUUUCAGGCCAUCAUUGAACUGCAGCGGUGACCUAAUCCAGCUGAAUAUUAUUCGCUCCUCAAAGGCUUGGCUACAUAGCCAGGUUUUUAGCUGGUUCUAAAGAUGAACAUUGUAAGUGCUGGCCAAAUUUCUAGGAGGAAGGGAGUUGCAUAGGUGGGGUGCUAUCAGCGAGAAGGCUGAUUUCGUGAUAUGACUUACCUGUUAUACUAAGAACUAGUUGAGACUAUAGAUUGUAAUGUUAAGGGCUGAUUUUUCAGGUCAGCAAUUCAAGAAACUGGUUCCCUAUGUAUUUUUAUAGUUGUAUAAAAGGAAAACAUUGGUUCUUGGGUGUGAUGUGCAGAAUGAGCCUACAGAGGGCAUUGCAAUCCCUUUGAUGUUGUGUAAUCCAGCAUUCUAUAGUGAAGUGGACUACUAUUCACGGUAUUUUUCCAUAUGUUUCACAGAAUAGUUAAUUUUGCUAUAUCCUGCUAAUAUGCAUAAGCAGUAAAAGUACACAUUAUGCAUCAGCGAGGCAGCUGAGAAUUGGCUUGUGUUUAUGGGGACGAGAUAUGCUACAGAUCCAGGUCUUGUUUGUGUAGUCUGGAACACAAUUAAUAGGAGUCAUAUUUCCCCCCUAUUAAGAUCUAAAUGUCCUCAGGGUCUAUAGUGGGGAUGAGGGUAUCUCCCAACCUAGGUUUUUCUAGAUGGUAUUUCACAACCCCUCACACCCCUUUGUAGUUAAAGUAUAUUCCAAGGCAAAAACUGUAAAAUAAAAUGUUACUUGCUAAACAUUCUUGUCAGGGAACUGACAUCGGAGCUAGAGGCGGAGGGGAGGCUCUCAAAUGAUGCUGGAGAAGGGCCCAGCAGGGAGAGAGGCAGCUCAGCAGAUGGGGAAGCAAAUCAGCGCAACACCAGAGAUAAAGGGGGGCAGAUGGGGGAAUCGGCGAGAGGGCUCCAGGACUCUUCACCGGACACCAGUGGGGAGAGCACGGGUCCUCCGCUACCCAUGCCCUCCCUGCGCAGAAGGCUUCCGUGCAGGGAGAGUAGGAGGAGACUUGGCGUCAAACAACUUUUAUGUUGGAAAAGGUUUAAGAAACGCCCACUGACGGAUUCUGCUAGCGACUGAGGCAGCCACAAAGUGAAUGGCUGUCCAGACAGAAAGGUUUAAACAAGGCAACAUAGCCAGGAGAGGCGGCAACUUACGCACGAGCAACCCAUACUCAUUACAAUUCUAUUCCAUUCAGUACUAUAGCAGGCUUCCAAACUGAUUUAAGUGUAUAUUUACAUAUAAUUUAGCAUCCUGAACAAUCCUAUAAAAAUAGAAUUAUGAAUUGGAAUUACCGUAUUUUUCGCUCUAUAAGACGCACCAGACCAUAAGACGUACCUAGUUUUUGGAGGAGGAAAACAAGAAAAAAAAUAUUCUGAAUCUCAGAAGCCAGAACAAGAGGCAUCGCUGUGCAGCGAAAGCAGCUAUCCCUCUUGCUGUUCUGGCUUCUGGGAUAGCUGCGCAGCCUACAUUCCCUCCAUAAGAUGCACACAAAUUUCCCCUUACUUUUUAGGAGGGAAAAAGUGAGUCUUAUAGAGCAAAAAAUAUGUUAUUUUUGAAAGUGUCUUCAAUUAAGAAGAUUGGGAAAGAACAGUGAAAAUGUAGAGAUUUAAAGCAGACCUUAAUACCUGAAAACCCCAAAAAAUACUAAUAAAAUUAGUGGACAAAAAUUAGAGCCAAGAAUAAAUUGCAGAAACCUUGGUUAUUGUGGAGUCACAGUAUACACCAAAUACAUUGCAAUCAGAAAUGUCAGAAGUUGACUUUGUUGAUGUAAUAAACAAAGCCACAUCUAAUGACACUUCUAAUUCAACUUCCCAUCAUAAAGAAAACCAAAAUGGAAAUACUGAUCUAAUACGUUCUAUUACAAAAACUUUUGCUAGAAAAACAAAAAACCCUCAGAAGAAAGAAUAAAUAAAUUUAUCAAAGAAACAAAAGUUUUCUGACAAUACUGAUUUUUUUCUGUGAACUGCCCUGAGAUCCCCAGGUAUAGGGCAGGAUAUUAUUAUUAUUAUUAUUAUUAUUAUUAUUAUUAUUAAUACUAAUAAUAAAUAACACAUUGCAAGAAAAAGACAUAGAUUUUUAAAAACGUUGUGAAGAAAGAGAUAAGCCCAUGAGUUCCUUCCUCCUUUCUCUUUUGCACAUUAAUUAUUUGUUUCCAGGGUUUCUAAAACUACAUUUUCCCAUUGUGAUGAAAAUAAGAAAUGGUGGCUUAAGCUCUCAUUACAGUUUUAUCUUGUAAACCAGAAUCAAGCUAUGGUCUGCAAUCCUGUUUUGUAGUCAAAGCACAGUUUCCCCGUUUGGACAUAAUGGACCACUGUUGUGUAAGGAACUAUGCAAAUCGUUGAAUUAAGUUACAAGGAAAGAGGAAAAGGGAGUGGAUAAGAACAGUGCUCAUUCUUAGCCUGAUAAAUCAUGGUUUAUUAGGCUACUAUCACUACAUUCAAACUGGGCCUUUAUCUAGACAUGUUACCAUGGAAUGGGCAGGUAUCUGUGUAACUUUUUCAAGGCAUUUAUUUAUUUUAUUCUCUCCUACCCACCACGAAAAUUCAGUAGCUUGUAUUAUUAUUUAAUUGCUGCCAGCAGAGAAUUUUGUCCCAAGAAGGCAGUGGCUGUGGUUGGACCAAUAUUGCCAAUAAGCAAGGGUGUGCAGCAAACAAGCAAUGAGUAAGAUUAGCCACAGUUUGUCAUACCACUUGACAUUCUACAGUUAAUUAAGCAUAGCUUCUUUGUGGCCACACCAGAUGCGGAGGGAGAAGCUUGUGAGCCCAGGAGAAAGCUAGGCUUGACCCCAUCAUGAUACACCAGAGUUUAUUGUGAAGUCAGAAUGCAGCAAAUGUGUCCAUUGAAGGUUGUUCAAGAUUAAGAAGGGUCCUCUUGGCCUGAUCUGACUGACUUCCAGGGAAGGUACCACUCUGAAUAUCAGUUUCUGGGAAUCAUGUAUGAAGAGCGCUGUUAUUCUGUAGGCUUCUCAUAGACACCUGGCUGGCCACUGUGUGAACAGGAUCCUGGACUCCACAGGUCUUUGGUCUGAUCCAGCUGUGCUGUUUUUAUGUUGUUAAUGUAGUCAGUAGAAUUUUCUAAAACAGCGAAAUGAAGCAGUAUUUAAAGAUUAGUGGUAGGGCCCCCCACAAAAUUUCCUUUUUUAAAAACAACAACAACAACAACACCACUUCCGAACUCGAGAGGAGGUGGAGUUGCGGGCUUCACGCUCUCAGCCUCCGCGCGAUUGAGGGGAUCCCUGGCCGCGUCAUCCCCUGGCCAGCCAAUCGGCUGGCCAAGGGGGGGCGUGGCUUGCACGACAUCACACUGGCACGGCCAUGGAUCUCCCUCUUUUGCCGCCUCAGCUCAUCGGGAAAUGAUGUUUGUUUGGUUGGCUGACAUAUCUGCUGGGAUUAGGGAUUGGUUGCAGGUCUGAGGGUAUUGGCGGCAAGCUUUUGCUCGAGUGGCGGUUAGGCAUUGGUAGGGGUAUUCUCAUGCAGAUGAAGGGGGGAGGAAGCGCCAUCACCUCCCCUGAAUAUCGAAGGGUAGUCCAGUAAAGGAUUCCGGGGGGCGUGGCCCUGUCCGAAGCCUAUGGAGGUGAGGGCCUAAGGCACGCCCCCGAGCAGUGACCCCGGGGGAGCUCCUAGUUGGUGUGCAUCAGCAGGACGCCCCCUAGUGGUGGUCUUCAAGACCCCCUUCCCUGUCUUCAAGCAAUUGGGCUGAAGCCGGAUAGUCAGUUAGGACCAAUGCCUAAGCCAAUACCACUCAUUCCUGUAACCAAUAAAGUUGUGGCCAUUUUUUGCCCAUUAACCUAAAUAUUCGUGUCAUGUGUCUUUAUUUCCACUGGGGGGAGGCAGGAACUCGCCACGGAACAACAACAUAAAACCCAUGCCUGCCUGCCCCACACUUGAUCUGUAGGGCAGGUGGAGAUGCAGCUGGAUUGGCUGCUCACAUACCCAUACCCUGCAGAAAUCCAGGUUGAACUUCCUGCACAUUAGGCGAUACGCUGAUGCUCAGUCCUGCUUGGUCACUGUCUCCCCUCCACCCCCAUGGGUCAACAUUGAUGGGUAGGAGGGACUAUGCAACUGUCAAGCUCCUGACAUAAUUAUGACAUCAGAUCAUUCACAGGUAUGUGGCCCAUCUGUCAAAGGUGGCCCAUGACAUGCAGGGAAAUCCAGCCUACUUGGCAGAAAAGGUUCCCUAACCGUUUUACAGAUCCUUAGAAGAAUUAGGAGUUAGGUGAAGGAAGAGUGAAUGACUUGGUUCUUUUAUGAAACUAAGCAUUAUCCUGCUCUCACGAAGUAAGUCCACUGCAUUCAUUGAGAUUUACUCCCAGGCCAUUGCAACUUAUUCUGGCUCCCACCUUGAAUCAUUAGUUUUUCCAAACAAUUACCAUUUUAAGUCUCCCAUAGAAUAGGCAAAGAAGACAUCUUCUGCAAUGCUAAAAUGAAAAAAAUAAUAAUGUCAAAGCUUAGUGAGAUUCUUCGGGUUAGAUUUUUUGAAAAAUGGACCCUUGAGGUGUAUCUACACAGCAAGAGAAAUCCAUAUGAUGGCUUUGUGUAAGUUUCACUGCAGUGUGAUUUGCAUUGUACUGUGGAUUGGCUAUGCGUCAUCAGGACAAAAACCAACAUAUACAACAAUACGUUAAAUCAGGGCUGAGGAACUUGAACUACAACUUCCACCAUCCUGGCAUGAUAGAAUCUGGAAAAUCCGGAGGGUGCUGGUUUCUCAUCCCCAGACUAACUCCUUAUAAGUCAACUUUGUACUGCUAACAGCAGUGCAAAGAGAAGUGAAGUACAAUACAGUGGAAUAAAUUUCUGCUGCUUAGAAAAGGCAAGUGAGUCCUAAAGUAGCUGGUCUAUAGAUCAGAUUAAUCUUUCCACGCUUAGAAUUAUGAAAGUCCAGUUUGCUCAUUCCUCACAAUACCUUCCCAAACAUUUGCAAGGCCAGAUAAUGUGCAAAUGUUUGUAUAGCAUUUAGGCAAGUACUAGGUUAUAGUAAUCUCCCUCUUUAUCAACUAUAUUUCUGGGCAAUGUAAAUUAUUGACAGGCAAGCAUCAUCAACAGGUCCUUUAUAUGUAGUCAUCUUCAUCAUUUUCUCAGGGUACAAAAACAUCACAUGCUGAAAGGCAGAGUAGAAGAUGUACUAACUGAAGCUGUUAACGAAGAAUUCACUUCUGAUGAGGUUGCAGGCAAUGCGAUGCCAUGUUGGUAGAUCAGAACAUUGGGUAAUGUUAGAUUGAAGCACUGGCAAUGUCUCUAUAGUGACAGAAGUCUAGGUAACAAAAUUGUACUAGUAGUUUUAUUGGUACAGGGCGAAAGACUCAGAUCCCAACAUCCAUUCCUUGAGAGGCACUUUGGUUCUGUCGUUCGUUCAAGUGUUAUGGGGAAACUAUUGUUUUGGAAUUAGUUAUUAUCUGUUGUUGCCUUGAAUGGUCUGCUUUUUAUGACGAUGUUUAUUUUUGUUGCAACAUUUUAUUGCUUUCAGCCUUGCAAGCUGCUUAGCGUUUCCACGGGGAGAAAAAUUAUGGAGUAAAAAAUGACAUAUCUGGUCAAAGCAUUUCUAUAAUACUUUUCAUAGAUUUAGGUUAAGGUUACCAGAUUUUUUUCAAUGAAUCUGGGGACACUUUUCAACUUCCUACUAAGUAGAUGGAUUUUGUCAGGGGACUGAUUUGUAAAUCCAGGGACUGUCCCUGGGAAACGGGGACAUCUGGUAACCUUAAUUUAGGUUGCCAUCCUGUAGAAACUUGGGAGUACGUCUCUCUGAACUGAGUAGACAUGGGUACAACUGCACUUUUAGACAUUUGCCUUAAAAUUAUCUGUCUUCUGGGGAGUUGUUUGCCUGGGCUAGACAGUGGUACCUCAGGUUACAUACGCUUCAGGUUACAGACUCCGCUAACACAGAAAUAGUACCUCUGUUUAAGAACUUUGCUUCAGGAUGAGAACAGUAAUCGUGAGGCGGCGGCAGCAGGAGGCCCCAUUAGCUAAAGUGGUGCUUCAGGUUAAGAACAGUUUCAGGUUAAGAACAGACCUCCAGAACAAAUUAAGUUCUUAACCCGAGGUACCACUGUAUUCAAAAUUAACAAUUUAUAGGUAGAAAUCCUUUUUUCCUGUUACUAACCUUCCUGUUAACUAGAUGGUGGAUGGAGGAUUAGUAAUAGGAGAAAAGGAUGUCAAGCCAUCAAUUGUUAAUUCUGAACAUAUUUUGUUUCCAUCCAUAUCCAUGGUAUCCUAAAUUAAGAAGUAAAACCAUGGAAGCUGAUAUUGCAUGAAGGAAAGAAAGAAAGGGACAGCGUGUAUACUUAAAAAUGAGACAGCCAGUCUCCACAGAGAAUGCAAAUUAAAUUUUCAACAGUUGAUACACCAUGUGCCACAAAAACUAUAUACAUUAACAAUAGGUGGUACCGACCUAACAUUUCUAAAAUGUCUUUAUUUUGCCUAUUCAGUGAGAAGCAUUUGUGCUAAAAUCCAGAUAUUAUUCUAAACUUAGCAGCAACAGCUGAUAUUCACACAUUAUAUUCACCUAGGAAAAUGAAUAAACACAAUUGUUCUGCUAUGGAGCUCCAGCAAUAUGCUGCCCAUGUAUUUUAAUGGGUAACAUUAUAUACAAUGGCAGCAAUGGGUUGAAAUCGCUUUAACUUUUUCUCUUUGAAAUGGCUCUGUUGUACAAGUCUGGCAGUUUUAUGUGUGAUACAUACAUACCCCCCCCCUAUAAUUUAGUUCAUUUUUAAAUGAUUUUUUAAAUUUAAGAAUGAGUCCAUAAUACUUGCUAGAUAAUUAAAAAUCAUAAUCAUUAAAGCAACUUCUCCACUAAAGAAAUGAAGAAGAAAUCGUGGGCAUCAACAGUCACAAAGCAGUCCCAUUUACAAUCCAAAAAAUGCAAAAUGCAUGCACAAAACACCCAAGACCAAAACGAUGCCUCCUCAGUUCAAAUAAUUCAAUGGAAACCUUGAUUCCUUACAUAAAAUUUAUUAUUCGCUAAAUAGUUUAGAGGAAACCUGUGAUAGAAUGAUUGUUCUGUUGCCCUUGGCCUCUCCAAACCGGUGUUUUAAUAUGGAUUUAUCCUUAACGCAAUAAUAAUGCAUUUGUGGUGGAUUUAUUUUGUUUUAUUAAUGCUUCUCCGAUGUUUCCCAAAGCUGCCACAUCAUUGCUGUCCAGGGCCCUGUAGCAAAGCGAAAGGGGGAGAAAAAGAAACCAGACAUUCAUGGUAUAAAAAGUUACAGAACAGCAGCAAGAUGUUAUGAGAUAUUCUCAGACUGGAAACGAAGCAGACAUGAAUAGUGCAGAAAGUGGGAUUGUGUGUGACUGCUCCAAUAGCAUCAGCAGCUCAAAUCAUCAUGAAUAGGCAGCGAAAAGGGUGUCUGGGUGGGCCUCUUCCCGUUUGCUGAUAAGUGUAUAAGGCAAAAUGUCUCUUGCAAGGAAUCAAGCAUAUUCAUUGCUCCUGCAGGACUAGAUUGGCACUUUUUGCUAUUCAGAGCAUGCAGAUCAUUCGCUCAGCCAGGUCACCAAAGUCUCUGCAUGACAGUAUUUAAGCCUAUUUUGGCACAAGCAAUAUGCUUCUCUUCUGUGGAAGUGAGGCCCUCCUAAUCACCUACCUUUUUUUGAUGGGGGAGGGGGGUUGACCAGCAGGAACGGGUGAGUAGCAACAGGGAUAGUAUUAACCAUGCGUGGGGCACGGGUGGUGCUGUAGUCUAAACCACUGAGCCUCUUGGGCUUGCCGAUCGAAAGCUCGGUGGUUUAAAACCCUGUAAUGGAGUGAGCUUGUUUCUCUGUCCCAGCUCCUGCCAACCUAGCAGUUCGAAAGCACACCAGUGCAAAUAGAUAAAUAGGUACUGCUCCGGCAGGAAGGUAAACAGUGUUUCCGUGCGCUCUGGUUUCUGUCAUGGUGUUCCAUUGCACCAGAAGCAAUUUAAUCAUGUUGGCCACAUGACCCGGAAAACUGUCUGCAGACAAACGCCGGCUCCCUCGGCCUGAAAGCGAGAUGAGCGCCGCAACCUCCUAGUUGCCUUUGACUGGGCGUAACUGUUCAGGGGUCCUUUACCUUUACCUUUAGUAUUUACCACAUUUUGAGUUGUGGUCAUCUCAGAGGGGAUGGGAUCGAUUUUUAACAAGACCACUCUUCUUGACGCUCAAAUUUCAAGGUAAUUUGGCACCAUCUCUACUCGCUUUACAUGGGAACUUGUAGUUAUGGGACUGGCCUGGCAAGAAGAGCUCUGCUGGAUUAGUCCAAAGGCCCAUCUAGUCCAGCAUCCUAUUUCUCACAGUGGCCAGCUGAAUGCACAUGGGAAGCCCACAAGCAGGACAGGAGCACACUAGCACUGCCCCACUGCUGCCCCCCAGCAAUUGGUAUUCAGAGGCAUGUUGUCUCUGGUCACAUUUAGCCAUCAUGGCUAAUAGACAUGGAUAGCUUUAUCCUCCAUGGAUUUGUCAAAUUCCUUUUUAACGUCACCUAGGUUAAUGGCCAUCACCACAUCGUGUGGAAGCCUCAGUGAUAAAGUAAGCAAAAGCAAGCAGCUUGAUGCAGAUUUAAAAUAGUUUAAUUGCUUGAACAUCUCUUCAGAAGAUGCCUCAGAGGCACAGCCAUUGUUCCCUUUUGCCAGACAGUGUUACCCAGUUGGGGACUUAAUUCAAUAAAAACCCUGAAGACCCAAGUUCACAUUCUCUGUACAGAUUUUCCAUCACAAAGAGCCCCGUAUCCUGUUGCUAUUAGGCUUAACAGUACUUUGCUAACCAAACCGGAACAUUGGCUCAUGAGCCUGCUCAGAUACCCAUUGGCAUUGCUAAGCAGUGGUGAAUCUGUAUGUCCACUUUCUCUCCAGGUGACUUUGAGCAUCUGUGUCUAUUAUCACGAGCAAAUGCUGAGCAUUACUAUGUAGGUGACCCUGAAAUUGUGUGCUGAAACGAUUGUGGAGAAAGACACGUUAUAUAUAUUGUUUGGGAAAUAAUAUGAAAAAUGCAAGGGGACCAUGUACAGCUAUGAGGAAGCAAGUAUAGAUAAGCUGCAAGUAAAAACGUGCUUUAUUUUUUCCACUGUUGAGUGAACAUUUAGGAUUGAUUUAUAAGACCUUUCUUGAAGAAGAAACAGCUGAAGAAGAAGCUAACUUCAAGUCAGAUUAGCUUUUUAAUUUCUUUUAUCUUUGGGGCAAUGUGACUAGUUUUCCUAAAAUAAAGGCUGGUCACAUCCAUGUUAAUUUUCCAGCCUGCAAUAUGUGCAGCUGGAGAGGAUAAUUUUUUUAUUCCGGUUCUUGGACAACUGACACAAACGUUUGGCACCUCUCCUGUCCUGUUAUUUCACUGCUGUCGCCUCCUUCCCCCAACAACUUUCCAAAGCAACUCCCAUUGGAACAUAAGCAGACUGUUGAAUCAGACCAGCUAAAGGUCAACCUAGCCUGUUUCCCGCAGUAACCAAUCAGAUGCUUAUGGGAAGCCCACAAGCAGGGCAGGGAGACAAUAGCUCUCCACCACGGUUGCUUUCCAGCAACUGGUAUAAAGUGAAAUGUUGCCUUUGAACCUGGAGGUUCUUCUGCGCCUUUAUUCAUUUAUUUCUAAGGGGCAUGCAUAAAUAUUAAAACGCGUACAGUGGAUAAGAUAAAAUCAACAACAAAAACAGCUUCCUUUAUAAUGUCUGGUGAAAUGGAAAAGUCUUGAGCAUCUGAAGUUCAACAGGGACACAUUAUUUCCCACCAGCCUGCUGGGACUUAGGUUCUAAUAAUUUAGGCCUGCAGGGCUUGCUCUUGUGUAUAAGAAAGCUCCUUAUAUUUACAGCAGGAGCCCAUGAAGUGAAAAGCCUCCAGCUCAUUCACCCUUCUUCACUACAGCUAUCAAAAUUGAGAAGGGGCUCCAUGCAGGUGCCUGUAGCAGCUUUUCCAGUCGCUGGCUGGGAUAGACUUCAUACAAUGUGGAGCCUUAUUCACAGGCUCCAGUGGCCACUAGGCAUUUACUAUAGUCUUGCGUUUUAAAAUCUAAUCUAGGCAUCUUGCUUUUAGUUGGCUGGCUGCUGAGUUGUGCCCAUGCAAUGCAUUGUUGUUCUUUUUACUAUAAAUAUUAACUUCUGAGUUUACAUACAAUGUGAGAUAACUGUAUCAUUUGUUUUCAGCAUAUAUACAUGGUGUAGACAUGUUGCAGAGAGCCACAGUUGGCCCCAACUCUCUGACCAGUUGGUGUUGCGUGCAUGUCACAGGGGAAAUAUCUGUUACCCUUUCACACAUUAAUAUGGUGAAACCAGAUAGAUGAGCUUCUCCAGAAAUGUGAAGCAGCCCUAAUAGAUCAUCUGCAGUUUUACUGUUUGCCAUAGCUUUCGCAUGUAGAUGGACUGAGUUGAAUUUUCAAAAGAGAUCUGAAGAAGAGAUUUGCAAGAAAAAGCACCGAUGAAUUUGAAUAAGUGAUUUCUCUUUCACCGGGGGAGAGCGUCAUCUGAGUAUAAAUAGUCCAUCUCGGCCACCUAUUGCUGCACUGUAAUUGCAGGGAGCGAGUUUUUAGAGGCUGCAUUUGCAGUUGAGCAAGCUGUGCUCAAUGUCUGUUGGAAGUGGGGGAGUGGAACUAAGCUCCUGGGAAGCUUUCCAUUUUAUCGGUUCAACCCGAUUGCAACUCGACUCUGAAUAAAUGCAAGCCACUGCCUGUCUAUCAGGGUGAACGCAGCAGCUGGAGAGACCAGGACCUUUUACCUUCCAGACAGCCAGAGCACAAAGCUACACCUGAGCUGCCCACUGGAGUUGAAUCCAUUUCCCCAGAUUUCCCAGGAAUGUGUCUGUUUUGCCUUUAGCUUUCCUUUACAGCUUGUACCUGGAUAAAAUGAGUUUGCCAUCCAGCUGUGAGCACCUGACUCUGGAGAAGGUGGCCAGAUUUCGAAGUGCCUUCAUUCACGGAUCACCCUAUGCUAUAAACAAGCCAAUUGAUAUUAAACAGCAAAGGAGACGGUAACUUGGCGUUUUUUCCUGUUAUUUUUAGUAAAAUGACACACACCCCUUCCUCCUUUUCAGUUUACUGCUUUGUAAUCUUUACUUACAGGGGAAGCGAAGGCUGUGUGUAUUUGUGAAGAGAGGCAUUGUAGCUACCUCUACUGCAUAUAUUCCUUGAUUACUUUUAAAAGCUGAAAUUGAAAGUGUAUGUGGUUUGAGAAAACAGCAAAAAAACCCUCUGUUUUAAAUGCACGGGGGUGGCAGUUCUGCUCAAAGUAAAUACAAACGAUAGGUGCAAUCUGGCCAUUAGGUAUUUAUUACUGAUUUGAAUGGGAUUUAUGCAUCAGUAAUAGGAAAAGAGUGGUAGUCAAAUGUAAUAACUGGUCAUUGCUCUUACUCAUUGUGUUCACGCGUCAGCUUCUUUAAUGUGUAUUUUUAAAGUAAAAGCAUUGCCAGGAACCUAGGAGCUGCACAACUAAUUCACCAUGCCCCAAGAAGGCUUUUGGUGUAGGAUCUUAAAGCAGCACUAAUUUUGAAACAGAAGAGACUCUUAAAAGUACUUUGUGAUGAAUCGUUAUUAUUACUACUACUAGCAGUAUUGUUAUCACUGUUGUUGGUGCACAAGGCACUUUUCAGUUAUGUUAGUGGCAUAGGCAGGUCCUGGCUGCCAACAGCCUUGCAAUAUAAAUCAAACUGUGAUCUAACAAGGGGUGUGCACACACGCAUGCCUUGUUCAAAGGGACAAUGGAAGCAGGAGAGUCACUAAAGUUGGGUCCACCUGUAGCUAUUGUUUCUUGGCCCAGAAAUAUAAAAAUGAAGUCUUCAGUCAAGCAGAAGAAUGAGGCAGAAGAUGCAAGUCCAAAUCAAUGAGUCCGAUGUUCACCAUAGUUAGGAAAGCUGUGAAUGUGCUUUGUGCUGUUCUUGGUUCUGAGGAGUACUGAACUCAGGGGCACUUUCAUAAGACCCAUGUAGCCUGGUGAGAAGCCCUGCCCUUCCUGGAAAUGGCAAUACGUUAGGAAAUGCACAAGUUUGCAACCCCAUAGCAUGCUUUUUCCUUAUGCAUCGUCUUCCUGUCAUGUGCUUUGUACCUUGCAAAUUGUCCAUAGGACAAGGGCACUCUUUCCCCGACAUCACUGCUGAAUUCACUUCCAUUUUGGGAGUGGGUUUACUUUGUUUCCUUUCUAGAAAACCAAGCCAGGCAUGCUCCCCUCUUUGGAGUCUUUAACUUUAAGGCAGGGAUGAAGAACCCCAGCCAUUACAGCCAAUGGCCAGGGAUAAUGGGAGUUGUAGUCUAGCAACUGCGGGUUUAAGGUGUGCUUUAAGCUGCGUACUCCUCAAAAAAGAGUCCAUGAAGAAACACUUUUGCAAAGAGGUCUGAGUAAGGCCACGGGAACCUGCAAGGUGUUCUACAGAGGUUUUCAGGCUACAGUUUUCAACAGCUCCAACCAGGAUGGCUAAUGGUCAGGGAUAGCAUGAGUUGUAGUCCAACAAUAUGUCAAGAGCACUAUGUUGGCUACCCCUCCUGUUAGGGAUUUUGUAGGUAGGUUUGUGCAGCGUCAAAGAAAGAAGAACUGUAGGAGAGCCAAGCAUGAUCAGACUGAAGGGCUGUCUAGUCCAGCACUCUUUUAAUUUCCAACGGUGCCUUGCUAAGCACUUGCAAGGCAUCUUAACCUACCCUAGCCACAUCUGCUCUUCAGAAACUGAGGUUCCUGAUAAAGAAGAGAACCCAGAAUGAGAAAAAGAUAAAAUUUUAGAAAAAAUAAAAGAGGGUGAGAAGAAACUGAGAGCAAAACCAAAGUCACAAGAGAUUCUGAGAGAAACUGAGGUUCCUGCUAGCUAUCAAUGACCAGUGUGGUGUGGUUGUUAGAGUGUCGGGCUAGGACCUUUGAGACCAGAGUUCAGAUCCCUGCUCAGUCAUGAAGCUCAGUAGGGCCAGUUCCAAUUCUCAGCCUAACCUACCUCACAGGGUUGUUGUGAGGAUAAAAUGGAGUCAUCAAAUCAUAGAAUUGUUGGAAGGGACCACAGGGGUCAUCUAGUCCAACCCCCUGGUUUGUUUUGUUUUUUUGUCCAAUGUGGAGCUUGAACCCGCAAUCCUGAGAUUAAGAGUCUCGUGCUGUACUGAUCUACGGAGAGUGGAGAGAACCAUGUUCACCACCUCUAGCUCCUUGGGGGAAAGGUGGGAUAGAAAUGUAAAUAAUAAUUAAAAUAAUAGUUUAUAAUAGAAAUGUCCAUUGGUAGACGUAACCUCCACGAAUUUUUCUAAUCCCUCUAUUAAGCCAUCUAAGCCAGUGACUGCCAUUAAUGGUAAUGAAUUCUCUAAGCCGGCUAUGUGUUGUUUGAAAUAGUGCCUCCUUUUGUCCCGUUUGUUUGUUUAAAAUUUCAUAUACUGCAUUCUCUGCCAAAGACAUGCUACUCAAAGGCACCGUACAACAUAGCAGAACCAAAUGCAAUAAAAACAUCCCAAAGACACAAUAAAAAUAGAAGUCAGCCAGCAUAAAGCACAGCUAAAAAGAUCCCAGCAGAGGGAAACCACUUUUGAAAGCCAUUAACCAGCCCAAAAUGUAUUCUGGAAGAGCUAUAUACUAGUCUUCUGGCAUUUAGUACCCAGCUGGGCUUCCCUUGGCAAAGUGUACCAUGGUGUAGGUGCCACCAGGAAAAAGGCAUAGCUCCAAAUCCUUGCAGUUGUUACUUCUGGAAUAUGGGACAGAGCACUGCUCUGAACCCACUGUUGUCCCUGACUUCAACGAUUAUAGGAAAGGGAAGACAAAUUAUUUCUGUUCAUGCCCUCCAUAUCAUUCAUAGUUGUACAAACUUAAUUGUAGAAACAUAGGUAAAGGAUCCCUAGAUGGUUAAGUCCAGUCAAAGGCGACUAUGGGGUUGCGGCGCUCAUCUUAUCUGCAUAUGGAUCACUUUGUUUGCUCAGAAAUCUUUUCCUGCUCUACAUUUUGUUUUUAUGGACAUAGGAUAGCCAGAACCAUUCACAGUAUUCCAGAUGUCGACCUGCUGUUUAUAUAAUGGUAUUAGGAUAUGACUGACAGUAAGAGUUCUUCAGUCCCUUUCCAAAUAAUUCCUAACGCUGAAUUUGCCUUUUCAGCUGUUACCGCACAAUGGUUGCAGUUGAAUGUAACAGUGAACUACUGUGCCAUACUAGGGAUUACUAUGAUGAUGUAUUGAAUCUAUAUACCGCCCUAUACCUGGGGGUCUCAGGGUGACUGACAUUUUCGCCCUGAAGGCUGUGUCCACCCUUUGUCACCCUGCAUGCCAUUGGUGGUAUGGCCAAAAGUAGGUGUGGUCACCCCAGACUUUUGCUUGUGUGCAUGUGCACAACUGCACACAACCAUACAAACCCUUCUCAGGGCUUGUAUAUGUCACAGAAAGCCAUAGUUUCAUAUUACACAAAAAUCAGGUCACUGUUGCUGUUUUCAGGGAACAAUCUACUAUGACCCCAAGGUCCUUUUUUGUGGGUUGUCACAAUGUAGACCUCUUCUAUGGCAUGAUGGCAGUGUAAUAGGAAUGUUCAUUUCAGCAACCUUGAGGAAAUGCAGGUGUUGUGCACCAUCAAAUUAGCUUUUCUUACUUUAAAAUGAGUAAAAAUUCCCCAGAAAGCCAGCAGAGGAGUGGGACACACCUUUCCGGGGUGAAAGGAGGUGGCAAAAUUAGCAUUCAAAAUGGCAGCUGGGUCUGAUACUGAGAAGGGAGGCAGCAGGAAUGAGAUCAGUGACAGAGAGAGUGGGAGCAAGAGUGGAACCGGAACUCGUAGCAAGGGAGAUACUCUGUUCAAUUGUAAUUACCCACUGACAGCUGUAGAGCUGGCAUUCUUCAUUUGGUUCAUAUCAUCUGCUAUGGCUUUCUUUCAUGACCUCAGUGUCCGUGGCUAUGAAGAAACAGCACCAGGACCCUUGCCAAGCGUAUUCAUUGCUUAGGAAUGUUUUGUGAUAAGACCAGUCCCUGUUGAAAUAUAGCUCAAAAUGCUUUGGCCUCAGAGUUCUACCCAAGUAUUCUGUUGAGGUUUUUUAAAAAGUUGCAUAAAGUGGAAGCUCUUCAACACAUGGGUUCCAUGAAUAUACGGAGUGAUCAGAAAUCUGAAUUGACACUCCAGAAGGAUUUCAGUGUAGUAUUUCAAAAAAUUGCUACUGUUCCUGCUUGAUGUGUCCAGCUCUGACAACUUCAAGAUUUUAGGGUGCAUUAAGAUAUUAGAUUUUCUGUUUUAGAAUCAUAGAAUUGUAGAGUUGGAAGAAACCCUGAGGGUCCUCUAGCUCAAGCUCCUCCAGUGAAGGAAUCUCAACUAAAGCAUCCAUGACAGAUGGGCAUCCAACCUCUGCUUAAAAAGCUCCAAGGAAGGAAAGUCCAUCACCUCCCAAGGGAAUCUGUUCCAUGUCAAACAGCUGUUACCAUUAGAAAGUUCUUCCUGAUGUUGAGUUGGUAUCUCCUUUCUUGUCACAUGAAGCCAGUGGUUUGGGUCCUACCCUCUGGAGCAGGAGAAAGCAAGCUGGCUCCAUCUUCCAGGUGACAGCCCUUUAACUAUUUCAAGAUGGCCAUCAUAUCACUUCUAAGUCUCCUCUUAUCCAGGCUAAACAUUCCUAAUUAUUUCAACCAUUCAUCAUAAGGCUGGGUUUUAGACCCUUAAUCAUCUUGGUUUCCCUCCUCUGCACUUGUUCCAGUUUUUCAAUAUCCUUCUUAAUUUGUGACGCCCAGAACGGGGCACAGUAAUCCAAGUGUUGUCUGACCAAAGCAGAAUAGAGUGAUACUAUUACUUGAUUUAGAUGCUAUGCCUCUGCUGAUGCAACCUAGAAUGGUGUUCGCUUUUUUUGCUUCUGCAUCUCACUGUUGACUCAUGUUAAGCUUGUGGUCUACUAAGAACCCUAGAUCCUUUUCACAUGUACUGCUGGCAAGCCCGCCCACCCCCCAAACUUAUAUCUGUGCAGCUGGUUCUUCCUGCCUAAGUGCAGAACCUUGCAUUUGUCCCUGUUGAAAUUCAUUUUGUUAGUUUGGGCCCAGUUCUCCAAUCUUGAAUACCAGUUCUGCCUUCUGUGACAUUGGCUACCCUUUGAAAGUUGCCCUCCUCCGCAUUAAAACAAUUAAUGCAGAUAAAUGAAAAUGCAGUCGCUUUAGCAACUUGUAUAUUAUGGGCAUCAUUUUUAGUCCAGCAUCAUGCUACAACUUGUCCUUCCCCUCAUUAUUGUUGAAAUAGCAAGUCACACUACUUUAAACAAAAACAAAAACCCACCCUCAGUAACAUUUAAGGUUAGGGGAUGUGUGUGGACCUGUGUAAAUACUACCCAAGUUGGGGCAAUAUUGGUCAGGGCUGGUUCAAGUUUAGAGAGGGUGCUUGGCAAUAAUAAUAAUAAUAAUAAUAAUAAUAAUAAUAAUAUUAAUAAUAAUUUAUUAUUUCUACCCCACCCAUCUGGCUGAGUUUCCCCAGUCACUCUGGGCAGCUUCCAAUGAAAGAUUAAAAAUACAUUAAAACAUAAGUCAUUAAAAACUUCCCUAAACAGGGCUGCCUUCAGAUGUCUUCUAAAUGUCAUAUAGUUGUUUAUUUCUUUGACAUCGAUGGGAGGGUGUUCCUCAGGGCGGGUGCCACUACCAAGAAGGCCCUCUGCUUGGUUCCCUGUAACUUCGCUUCUCACAGUGAGGGAACCGCCAGAAGGCCCUCGCCGCUGGACCUCAGUGUCCGGGUUCAAAGAUGAGGGUGGAGAUGCUCCUUCAGGUAUACAGGACCUGGCAAAGUGUCCUCUGAUGGAUUGCACCCCCCUCCCCAAGUCUGUGAGCCCACCAAUGGGCUUGCACGAUACUGGUGACAGGCAGCAGCUGCUUCCACUCAGGGCUGAACCCAGGUGCUACUGCCAUUUUAAAUUCCCAAUUCACAGGGAGGGGGCAGAGCACAUGUCACUAGAGCCUUGGCAGCCGACCAAGGCUUGUCCGCUGAUGAUGCCAGCAUGUGGACAGAGUGCCACAGCCACAUUUCACACUAAGUGGCCUGAAAAGGCUUGAGCAUGAAGAGCAGGCUUUUAUUUUUAUUCCAUUUUAAAAUGCGAAAGUGCUCCUGAAUAACAGCAGACUUUCAGAGAAAAGGCCCUGGAUACAGUCAGCAUUAUUUCAUGCCAUCAGUCUGCUCAUUGUCUUGCUCAAUUGGUAGCUAUGGAAAUGAAUCAACAGUAAUGGCCUAUUGGUGGGAGCUAGGACCCAAACUAUGGCGUGUCUAUUAGCUGUGCCUUAGUGCCUCUAAAAAUAGAAAGAGAUAACAAAUGGGUCCCAACAUGCUUCCAGCAUGUGCCUGAGCUUGUACAUCAUGUUCUGAGAAAUAAAAAUUUAAAAAUGGAAGCUCUCAAUGACAUCAAUACAGUUGAUUAGAAACAGAUUGGGGGAGUUUGUGUUGUUCUAAUGCAAGUGCCCUGCUUCCCCCCCCCCAAUCCAUCUUAGUUUAUUAGCUGCAGGGGUGGACAUGCCAUAUCUUCUCUUGACAGCUAUACUGGCUUGUCUUUACCAGUUUUCUUUAGGGGAAUGGUAGGAAUUUAGGAAAAUAAUAAUAAUAAUAAUAAUAAUACCCCACCCAUGUGACUAGGUUGCCCCAGGCACUCUGGGCGGCUUCCUAUAUAAAACAUAAUUAAACAUUUAAAAAACAUCUCUAUAUAGCUCCCUAGUACUGAACAGGACUGGUCCUACUGUUAGGCAGAGUGAGGCAGCCACCUCAGGCAACUGAUUUUGAUUGUCACAAAAGGGCAGCAAAUGCUCCAUUAUUUAGCUUAUUAUCAUUGCAUUUUUAUAGCCGGAGGAAGACAAGUCACUCAUGGGAUUUUUCUGCCUCAGGUACAAAAAUAACUUUGCCUUGGCUACUAAGCACCUUUACUUGCUUGGGAGGGAGAACCAUUUGCUGUUGUGCCUCAGGCAGCAAAAUGCCUUGAGCCAUCCUUGAAUGCUGAAGAUACAACUCUUUAUCUUUUGAUAAAGAUGCCUCAGGUGUAUAUUUUUGGGACCCAGUGUGUUUUUCUUGCAGUGUGUGCAGUUCUUUAUAUUUGAGAAAAUAUCUUGACAUACAUCAUCAAAGUCAUCAUGACCAGUUUAUUUAUAUGUCACCUUUCCACGAAAAAGGGGGAAAGAAAUCAUGCUCAAAGUGGCUUAAAACAAGGAAAACAGCAAUACACCCCAAAGUCAACAAUCACAAAGAUCGUUUCAGAAUAACGGGAAUACUAAAACAGCAACAUACAAAGCAACAGCAUCUCGAUACUGUAAAUGCAACAACAUUAUACCUCCUGGCAAUACAAAAAAUAGCAAGUUAGAAGGAAAAUGUUUUUGUUCUAUGCCAUUGAGAGCCAGUGUAUAUUAUCUGGAGCAGAGCGGCUGUCCCAUGUUGCGCCAGAUAGCUAAUUUUUUUAAUUGAAUAUUUUUUGUCCACUUGUAAAAUUCAGUAACAGUCACAAAGUGGGCAAUAAUAAUAAUAAUAAUAAUAUACUCUCUCUCCAUAUUAAACAGAAUAAUUAAAAUCAUAAAAGUAGGAGACGGAAAUGGCUAAAGAUCUAAAAACACAGAGGAAGCAGUUAAAACAACAGAUUUAAACUACCCAGUUUUAUAAGCCGUUGUGUCAUUCUGUAAAAAGAGUACUGCUACUAAUACUGAAGAGCUUGGAGAAACAGAAAGUUCAUACUAUGGCGACUAAAGCUUAAUAACGAGGGUGCUUGAUGAAUCUUCUCAAGAGGAACGUGUCACCUAGGAAAGGCCAUUUCCUUGCUGCUGCUCCAAAGAUGGAAGUCCUCAGAGGAGGUAAAAGGUAAAGGACCCCUGGACAGAUAAGUCCAGUCAAAGGCGACUAUGGGGUUGUGGCACUCAUCUCGCUUUCAGGCCGAGGGAGCCGGCGUUUGUCCACAGACAGCUUUCCACAUCAUGUCGCCAGCAUGACUAAACUGCUACUGACACGUGGAGGACCGUGACGAGUGCCAGAGCACAUGGAAACGCCGUUUACCUUCCUGCUGCAGUGGUGUCUAUCUACUUGCACUGGCAUGCUUUCGAACUGCUAGGUUGGCAGGAGCUGGAGACAGCAACAGGAGCUCACCCCGUAAUGUGGAUUUGAACUACUGACCUUCUGAUUGGCAAGCCCAAUGGUUUAGGCCAUAACGCCACCCACAUCAGAGGAGGAGAUGUGAUGAAAAUCUCAAUUCUCACACAGAUUUGUGUAGAAAAAGCCAUAUGUGUCUGCAUCUUCCAGUCACACCUGGGCCUUGUCAACAUUACCCCAGCCAUGUUGGAGAUGCCUACCCAUGAGCAGCUCCUAUGCAGCAACACAGGAGCAAUGUUUAAAUUGCUCAUGGCGUGUUGGCUGAUUGCAUGGGGCUUUCCCAUGAAAUUUGUACCUUGAAAUGACAGUUCAGUGAGGGAAAAGCCCUGUGAUUGACCCUUUCCCAUUUUCGUUGGGUUGUUGAAACAUGACUCCUGAGUGAUGCAGGAGCUUCUCACAGAAAAACAACUCCCACACAGCUAGGGGAACAUUUAAAAAGCCCUAUUGUUAGAACAGGUUGUAUGAUUAUGUACCACGCUUGCAGCAACCAAACAGUGAGGAAGCAGCAGCUACAAUACCAUGCUGCCAAGGGUAAGGUGGGCCUCUUAGUUUUAUAGCCAUUCCAUAUCCCUUCCUUUAGCUGUUGUGAAGGCGGCAUCUUCUGUGUGGUAAAUGCGGCACAGCUGAACCACUGCAGUCUGCUUGUCUUUCAGAUGAAUUACCCUAGUUGCUACUUGACUUCGGAACAGGGGCCCCACUCCAUGAGCUUUCUCCUAAGGUGGCCACUUCUGCAUAGGCAAAGAAGUGGAAAUGCAACACAUAAAAAGGAGCAAGAGGUGAUAGGUUUGCGUAUAAACUGAGGCUGGCUCCUGAUAAGAUGGAGAUUCUGUGCAUGGGUAGUUCCUGGGUCUGGGAAUUAGGCAUAAACCCUUUUCUUGGAGGGCUUGCACUCCGCCUGAAGGAACCGGCUCACGGUCUGAGUGUACUCUUGGGUUCUACCUUGUCACUGCAGUUUCAAGUGGCUUCCGUGUCCAGGAGUACGUAUGCCCAGCUUAGACUGGUUCACCGGCCAUGGAUAUUCCUUGGCCUCAGUUGUCCAUCCUUUGGUGACCUCUUGCCUGGAUUGCUGUAAUGUGCUGCAUGUGGGGCUGCUGCUAGUGUAGAAGGUGGCUUCUAGUUUGCUUGAACAGUUGGAUGCAGCUCAGUGGGACCAUGAGUUACUGUCCUGGCUGCCAGAGAGGUACAGGGCCCAGGUCAAGUUAUUACUUGAACUUAGGUCUUGUAUUAGGCAUGCAAGGCCUAAGAUAGUUUGCAAUCCAAGUACGUAGAAGAGUGCCUUCCUUGUGAUUAUCAGGGAAGGCAUUGCUGGUAGAGACACCACUGGGGGUUGCCCAUUUGAUGGAGACUCAUGACAGGACCUUCUCAGUGGUGGUCCCCUAUUUGUGGAACGUCCUCCCUAGUGAGGUGCAUCUGCCUCCCUCAUUAUUAACAUUUAGGAGAAACUUAAAAACAUUUCUGUUUAUCCAGGCAUUUGAUGGUUGAAAGUUCUGUCUCUUGGCAGCCCUGAAAUUAUUGGUUUGAGGGUUUUUAGGGGGGGUUUUAGGGUUUUUAGAAGGUUCCUUACUGUUUUAAGUUUUUAAUUGGGUUGCCUUAGUAUUGCUAUGUUUGCCACCUGGGGCUCCUUUGGAGGAAGAUGAAAUAUAUAUUUAUAUUUAAUAAAUAAAUUUAUGAAUAUCAAAAUUUAUAUAUAUAUAUAUAUAUAUAUAUAUAUAUAUAUAUAUAUAUAGAUGCAGUAUGUCUCUAAACGCCUGUUGCAGAGAAUCACAAGUAGCAAGGAUGCUACUGGUUUCAGGUCCUACUUUCAGGCUUCCCAUAUAGAAAUCCAGUUGGCCUCUGUGAGAACAGGGCAUUAGACCUUUGGCCUGAUCCAGUGAAGCUCUUCUUACGCAUUUAUGUCAUAAAAUAUAAGAAUGAAAUUCCGCUUUCCUAGGAUCAAUGAAGAAGCUCAUAGCUGCUGCAAGGUUAAAGUUUCUUAAGCUAUAGUGUCUUACUGCACCCUUGUGUUUUAAGUGGUGAUUUUUCCUUCGGUUGCUGGCAUUUAGAAAAAAACCAGCAGAAUCAUUUAUUUUGAUAUAAAGAGGAAAUACCAUUGAGUUUGGUUUUAUUGCACGCACGGCAGUUUAAUGUGUUGCCUGGGAACUCUUCUUGGAUGAAAGAUGGCAUAGCAAAGAGACAUUAAGCUGUUCCUGCUUGUGGUUCUUAGAAGCUUCUACGUUGCUUCAUAAACUAGUGGUGAUGAGGAUCCAUGUAGCUUUGUUUCCCCUGUCCAUUUCAAAAGCUAUAUUUGGACUUCAGGCAUGCUGGUUCUUGAAAUACAAUGUAAAUCAAUAAAAAUAAUUUCAAAAGCUGACUUGUUAACUUGUAAGAUCCAUACCCCAAGCAUUUCCCCCCCUACCGCUCCCCUAGACCCCACCAACUUUUGACAGCAGUGGCAAUAAGAAAAACUGCUGGGGUGAAUGGAGAGUGUAGAUUGCGCUCUCUAUCUGUCCCCCUCUUUCCUUCAUCAGAUGAGUCAUUUGAUGAGCUGGGAGGGGCAGUGGCGUAGUGUGGGGGGUGCAGGGGGGGCCGGCCGCACCGGGCGCAACAUCUGGGGGGCGCGCGCUCGCACUCGCAGCUCUCUGCCCCUACCUGGCUCCACGGGUUAGGGGGCGCAAAUUACAGGCUUCCGGGUUGGCGCCAUCGCCGAAUGGCGGACUCCCUCCGAGCUCCGGAGGGAGUCUGCUCGGCAGGGGCUGGGUCCUACCGCGCCGGCGACGCGGGGACCCUUAAAAAACCACGGACACGGAGUCCGUGGACAUGGGUGACUCGGCUUGCACCAUUAGCGCCCUCCCGACUCGUGAAGGAGCCUUUUUUAAAGGCUUCGGAUCGGGUGCCGGGGAGCGGCGUGGUGCUUUGAGUCUUCUGCUUUCCCUGCCGAGCGCAGCCGCAUGCCAUUCGACGGAGAGCGCUGACUUCUUCCAUCGAAAAUUUGGACUAUUAACAACAACCCGUGAGUAAUUGGGAAACCGGGUUCAAAAUUUUGGAUUUGGCACGAGCGGGGGCGAUUUAAAAAGGAAGUCAAUCCCUCCCCCUACUGUAAGCAUUCCAAAACAAGGACUGGGUAACCAAGGUCCAAAGGGAAGUAUAUUCUUGAUAAAAAUCAUUAAUUUCACGAUGGGAAAUUAUAAGAACGGUGCUGGAGGAGAAGAGUGGAGGGUGAGAAGACAAAUGCAACCCCCGGGAACCGGGCGAUUCGUGGAGCCUGGUGAAGAGAGACGGAGACUUUGACAGCUGUCAAAGUGGCUGUCAAAGUUGGAGAAUAUAAAGAGGACUUUGUUAUGAGGACUUUGCCGGUUAAUUUUGCUACAAUUUGCUACAAUAUGGACAUAAACUGUUGGAAAAUAAGCAACAAUUUGACUUUUGGAUUAGAGGAUGCAAAGUUAUUACAAUCCCCUAGAGGGGUUUCGGGAUAUUACAAGAACGGUCGUAAGUGGAAAAUACUCUGGGAUUCGCACAGGACUUGUUAUCUUUGGGAAAGCUGCUAAACUGAAAUAGUAUUUUGUCUACAGAGGUAUUUACAUUAAAGGAGACAAUAGAAUUUUCUAUUGAAGAAAGGAAGGGACUGGACGUAAGUUUUGUUCCUGAAUAACAAACCUCUGCAGAGAUAUCAGAUUUCUGAAUUAGAAAGUUUUAGCAGCUGAACAGGACAAGAAACCUGAGAAAGUGAGGAAAAGAAGAACAAAGGACUGAUUACGACACGGAAAGAACAACGGGAGGAGUGGUAAAGAUCAAGGAAAUUAAAGGCCUUUGUUAGAUUGGACACUUGAAGUUACAUAUUAUUAAUAAAUUAAAAGAAAACCGGCAAGAUGGAAUCGGGAGAAAUUUGGUCAUGAAUUGAGACUUCCAAGCUGAUAAUGCACAGACUGAUGGAUAUGGGAAUUCAAACCGGGAAGGGGAGAUUUGAAAUCCAAAGGCUGUGUAACCAUCUUUUGAAUUUUUCUAUAUCUUUUAUUUUUAUUUUUUUACAUAACUUACGCAUGUCAUUUUAUUUUGAUUGGACGUGUUUAAAAAAGGGAAUUCGUGGAAGGAACUGGGGUGGAUCUUGGGGAAAAUCUUUUUCUUUUCUUGUUAAUGAUGUGGGACGGUGGUAAGAUUUGUACAAUUCAAUUUGGAUAGUGGGUUAAACAAAUUAAGCUUCAAAUUGGGAGUGAGAGCUUGUAGAACUAAAUUAAGGAAAGGGGAAUACAGUCGGGGGGGAGUCCCAGAAAGUAGGCAAUGAAAGUAAGGUUUUUAAAUAUCUUUUUUUCUUUUUCUUUUUUUCUUUGUAUUUUUAUAUUUUUGGAAACUUUAAUAAAUAUGAUUUAAAAAAAAAAAAAAAGGGGGCGCAAAUUACUUGCCUUGCCCCGGGUGCUGACAACCCACACUACACCACUGGGGAGGGGGCAAUAAGUCUACACUUAAUUUGAUCAUGCCCAUUGAUAGGCAGCCACCAGAGUGUUGGCCAAAGGUUAGCAACCUUUGAACUGGCUGCUUGAGACGCCCCCUGCAGGUGCUGCCACAGAUACUAUCUGACAGUCGAGGUGUGUGAAACCAAUAUAAAUAAACUUAGGCAAAGUGUAGGUACUUAUCAGAUCCAGCUACUGAGAGUCUCUCAAAACUAUUCUUCAUUCAAUACAAGGAAAUUUAUGUUAGGUCCCAGUUUGUAGUUCUGAGCAAACAAGAGCAUCAUAACUCUGGCAUUAAAAACCAAACAUAUAAAUCCUCUCCAAAUUAACAUGCAAAUGUUAUCUCGUUUACAAGCUUUCCUUCACUGAGAGUAAUGGUCUGGAACCAAGGUCAGGUAUAUUUCAAACAACCUUUCUGUAAGGAAUGCCAUUCAAGAAUUGCCCAAGAAUUAUAGGGAUUUGCAGGUCCUUACCAGAGCAGACCAUUAGCUGUGCUAAUGAAAAUAGUUUAGAGAGAAGUGAAACCUGACUGUGCAGUUGUUAUAUUAUGUUAUGUUAUUAUUUUAUCAUUAAAUUAAAAUGCCAUUUCUCCUGGGACAGGUCUACCUCAAUUCAAUUGUUCAGCCUCACUUCAUUUUAGAGCUUGACUCUGCCUGAAUCUUUAUACUCAGAAGUAGGGAGGUUAAGAAAUAUCCCCCCUUAAGAUUGAAAUCCUGUAGCACGAGUUGACAACAUCGUGCCCUCUAAUGUUGUUAAGACUAUAACUCGCAUCACCCCUAGCUAGGACUGAUGGGGGUUGGAGUCUAACAUCUUUGGAUGGGCAUUACGUUGCCUAAUCCUGCUGUAACACACCUGGGAGUAAGCUCUCUAUUGCAAGUGAUGAGACUUACUGCUGAGUAGACAUGCAUACGAUUGGACUGCUGGUGAGCAUACUUAUCUGACAUAUCCCAACUUGAGCAGAAUGGAAAGAAAGUUAAAGGACUGUUCCAUUCACCCAGCAUCUAACUGGUCAAGCAAAAAAUACAUACAAAUAUAGAUUUUUGCUGGUUGGUAUAUGUUUGAACCUAUUUUUGUUUUUAUGGACACAAAGGCAACCCCAUUAUUGCACAGUUAAUUUCCUGCCUUCUUGCUAAUAGUGUCACACGGAUCUGUACAUGUUAAUGAGAUUUCCUAAAUCCAUGGCUUCUAGAGAAGUAUACUGAGAAAGUACUGAUUAUUUCAAGAAUCUAGAUAGAUGCUUGUCCCUCAAGAGGCCAAUGUGUUUCUUUUCCAUUUGAAGAUAAAUACUCCAUGAGAUUUUCAAACACGGGAUAAUGCUUCCCAGCAUGAGCACAGUAGCCACACCUAGAGAGAUCCCCAUAGGCUGCCCUAGAAGUCUGUCUACCUACCUGCUCCCAGCACACAGGUGCAUGUGUCUCCCCAUUUGUGGAAUGCUCUCCCCAGAGAGACUCGCCUGGUGCCUUUGUUACAUACGUUUCCAAGCACAAUUCAAAGUGUUGGUGCUGACCUUUAAAGCCUUAAACAGCCUUGGUCCAGUAUACCUGAAGGAGCGUCUCCACCCCCAUCGUUCUACCCGGGCACUGAGGUCCAGCACCGAGGGCCUUCUGGCAGUUCCCUCACUGCGAGAAGCCAAGUUACAGGGAACCAGGCAGAGGGCCUUCUCAGUAGUGGCACCCGCCCUGUGGAACGCCCUCCUACCAGAUGUCAAAGAGAAAAACAACUACCAGACUUUUUGAAGACAUCUGAAGGCAGCCCUGUUUAGGGUAGCUUUUAAUGUUUGACGGACUACUGUAUUUUAAUAUUUUGUUGGAAGCUGCCCAGAGUGGCUGGGGAAACCCAGCCAGAUGGGCAGGGUAUUAAUAAUAAUAAUAAUAAUAAUAAUAAUAAUAAUAAUAAUUCCUUUAGGCAGCAGGUGAAAACAUUUACUCAGAAGUAAAUUCCAUGGUGUCCAGUGUGGUUUUCUUCCUAGUAUGCAUGUUUCAGACUACAGCCCAACAUGAUGCUUCUUUCAGAGCAUUUUUUUUAUUUCCUAUUCCGAGAGUGGCUGUAAUACCUAUUGAAUAUUGAUUGUGAAGAAAUUAGUAACAAAUGACACAACGUCCAGGGAGGACCUGGGCAAUACGGUGCCCUAUGUGAGGCCAAAAUUCGAUGCCCUAGCUCCACCUUUCCAAAGCCAGGUAAGGGAGGCACUGGCUUUGGGGAAGGAGGUGUGAGGCUCUGGCAGGGUCUGCCUAGAGUCCUCCCUCCUCCUUCCCAAAGCUGGACGAGGGCUAACUAGGCUUUGGGAAGGAGGGACCCUUAAGACUCUGUCAGAGCCCCAUGCCUCCUUCCCAAAAUCCAGCACUUCCUGGGCUUUGGGAAGGAGGCAGAAAGGACUCGCCUUGACCCCUACGCCCUGUGCAGUCUAGAAACUGGUUGCGCUGUCCUGAAUCUGCCUCUGCAACAUCUUCUUUCUUCUCAAUGAGUGCUCUAUUUUACUUCCAUUUUGGGAAAUGCAUAUCUAGACACAUUUUUUCUUCUUAAGGAAGAGAAUUGUAAGCAGCUGACAAGAAAGCUACUUCCUUAUACACAGAUAGUUUGCCAUGCUUCUGUAACUUUAAAAGAAACCUAUUGGAAUAUUAAACACUGGUUAAAAUGCUUGUGGCAAACCAGACUUUUCGACGGUGCAAAAGCAUUUUUCUCAUUAUUUGAAAAAUAAUUUGAAUCUCCAUGGCAUAUCACCUUUUAAUGUGCUUUUUACUGUCUCCUCUAGUGUCAAAGGGGCAAUAAACAGGACUUGCAGUACAGUACAACAAACAAAAUAAAAUGAAUAAUAAAAAGUUUAAACCCAGAAUUUGUUAUCAAAACACUGCUGUGUUACUGAGCUAUGAAGUAAGUUUUUCAUUCAAGGGAUGUUGGAUUAAAUGAAGCCUCUUCUCAAAAAGAAAGAAAGAAAGAAAGAAAGAAAGAAAGAAAGAAAGAGACUACAUAGAUGCUUCAGCAAAGCAUUUUCUGAAAGUUCCUUGAGCUUUGUGACUUCAUGUCAUUUUAAUAAGGCAUGUGCCAGGUCUUCUGGUUUUCGUUGAUAAAUUCAAUUUUUACACCUUUUCCUCAUGUUCUUUUUAGUACCAAUAGUGCCUGCUUUGUGUAAACCAAGAUAGCUGCUCUCCCACUGACUGCUUUGUAAUGCCUUAUAUUUGAGACCAAACCACAUUAAAAUUUAAGGAAGGUUUGAUCCAUAGAGAUUCAGUUCCACUUUGAAGGGAUUAGUGCUUUUGGAGUUGAGAAUCCUGUACUGAAAGUGGGCAGCGAGCCAAUUCUACCUAAUUUGAUCCUAUUUUUGUACUUUUUAUUUUCCAUCCUGGACAUAACCACCAAAUACCCACCAUGAACUUUCUAAACUAACCUAGCCUUCAGGUAUGAAUUGUAGGCAAUGUUAAUAAAUUACUAGGAAGAAGCCUGCUGUUUUAGCCAGCCUUGCCCCUUAACUACCUGAAAUCGAGCAAAGCCUUGAUAAAUUACAAGAUACAUGAAUGGCAAGCACAGAAUAGCCUUGUCUAUCUCCUUAACAUCUCAUUAAUUCUCAAUAGAAGCUAGGACAAAUAACCAUUAGCGAAGGUUAUUGGAUCUUAAGAAUUAACCAACAAAUAACUUGCAAAAAGUAAAUAUUAAGAACCAGCCACAGUGCAACAGAUGUUGGCCACAAGAUAAGCAAUGCAAUUGUGUGCUUAUUACAUCACCAUUAUUAAACACAAAACCUCCAGUGUUUAGAUAGCAUUACAGUUAUGAGGCAAAUCAACAAAAAACAGGAAAUUUAUGCCUGGGAGUGACGUUUUGGGACGAGGAGAAGGGCUGUUCCUUGCCUGUCCAGGGGAAAUAUCAUACAGUGGUACCUCGGGUUACAGACGCUUCAGGUUACAUACGCUUCAGGUUACAGACUCCGCUAACCCAGAAAUAGUACCUCGGGUUAAGAACUUUGCUUCAGGAUGACAACAGAAAUUGUGCUCCGGUGGUGUGGUGGCAGCAGGAGGCCCCAUUAGCUAAAGUGGUGCUUCAGGUUAAGAAGGGACCUCCAGAACGAAUUAAGUACUUAACUCGAGGUACCACUGUAGUUAGAAGGGACCCCCAGGGUCAUCUAGUACAACUCCCUGCAAUGCAGGAAUCUCAGCUAAAGCAUCCAUGGCAAAUGGCCAUCCAUCUUCCACUGAUUUAGUUAAUGGUUUACUUACUGUAAACACACUGAUCUGGGCCACUUUGCUUCUCCUGGCUAGCAUGUGGGACAAACAAACCACUCUCCUUGGGUUAGCGCUAUGUCAAACCUCAACUACAGAUUAUGGUUUGUUCUGAAUGGAACAAACCACAAUCCCUAGCUCAAAGAAAACACUAAGCCAGGGAUUGUCUUUUGUUUCUUUCAUUUACUAGCAGAGAGGAGCAAAGUGGCCAAAAUUGGCAUAGUCACACACACACACAAAAACAAAGCAGGCCAUGGUCUAUAAACCCCAGGGACUCAUGCUUCAUGCCCCUGUUUCCUUUUGCUCUUGGAGAGGAUUCUGGGGUCUUUGCACAAACUAUCUCAAGAAGCUUACACUCUGAUAUCACAGGUUCAGAGGACCUAAAAACCAAGCUACUUUUCGGUUUCGCCUGCCUGCCAACAAUGGAAGAAUCUGGGAAGGCAAAGGGCAAGUGGUUUUGCAAAUGGCCCGAUGCCUAGCUUUCUCUCUCUGUUCUAAAUUGUACAUCACCCUCUUUUCCAGCAUCUUACAUAAGAACAGGGACGCCGGUGGUCUAAACCUCUGAGCCUCUUGGGCUUGCCAAUCGGAAGGUCGGCAGUUCGAAUCUGUGUGAUGGGAUGAGCUCCUGUUGCUCUGUCCCAGCUUCUGCCAAACCUAGCAGUUCAAAAUCAUACCAGGUCAAGUAGAUAAAUAGGUACCGCUGCGAUGGGAAAAUAAACGGCAUUUCUGUGUGCUCUGGCUUCCGUCACUGUGUUCUGUUGCGCUAGAAGCGGUUUAGUUAUGCUGGCCACAUGACCCGGAAAACUAUGGAAAAAUGCUGGUUCCCUCGGACUGAAAGCAAGAUGAGCGCCGCACCCAUAGUUGCCUUUGACUGGACUUAACCACCCAGGGGUCCUUUACCUUUGCUUUUUCUUUCUUUCUUCUUUUUUUCAUAAGAACGUAAGACAAGCACUGCUGGAUCAGAGCAAUGGUCUGUCAAAUUAAAUGUCCUAUUUCUCACAGGGGCCUGUCUGUUGCUUUUGGGGACCAUCCAAGCACAAUGUUCUUCCAUUCCCAGACUUCCAGCCCUUUUAUUCUGUGGGAGAAAGUAACUGGGCCUAAUUAACAAUUUUGAAAAUACAUGGGAAAGGGUUCAAUGAUGUUGCACUGGAGAUCAGCUCAAAGGACAGUCUUGAAAGGGCUCAUCAAGUAUAUCCAGGCUUCUUAAAAAGUAUCCACAUUUAAGCUACUAGGCACCGCCCCUUAAGCCAGGUCUCGGUGGAUGGACCAUAAUGCUAUGGCAGAGCACGUGCUUUUCAUGUAGAAGGUCCCUGGUUGAAUCCCUGGUACCUUAUGUUUGAAAGCAUUGGGUACCAGAGAUGUGAAAUAUUUAUCUGCUUGAGGAACAAAUGUCAGUCAAGGUAGGGCUAACCGGACAAAAGUAAUAAGCCUCACCAUAAGACGGCUUCCUCUGUUCGUGACCCCACAGCAAACCUGUGCAAUUUUGUGCAAGCCCAUGGAUUUCAGUUUUUACAGCCCUUGGUAACACAUUACUUUGCAGUCAUUCUUUAUUAAAAGCAAACAGCCUUCUUAAACACCUCAGAAGCAUUUAAUAACUAAUUAAAACACUACUUAAUUUACAUUAAUCUUCUCUAAUUUACAAGAUCAAAUAAGGCAACUGUCUGAGGAACUGAACAUUGUAGUUUCAGUUUAAAAUGACUUACUGUCGCCUAAAAAUUCCCAGCUGUGGUUAUGAGACUUUGGGCCCCCCCCCCAUGUUACACAGAGUUGUGCGAUUCUUUCAUACUUUUUUUUUUUUUUUAAAAAAAAGGAAUAUCACUCACAAGUAGCUAGACUACUGAGUGAAGGACGGACAUCCUUACAUCCAUUUACUUGCUUGUAAGCUGCCACCCCACCUGAUUUUCCCUGUUGGAAAACAUGCUGGAACCCAUAUCUCCCCCCCCCAAUGGGUGGUAUGACACAACAGCAGACAGAUGUCUGGGAGGGCAAGAAUUACGCAGCUGCUCACCUACAAUUGGUAAUUUGUUAAUGCACUCAGCUUCUCUGUGUGUGGGUGGGGAACCUAUCAUGCAGAGCUAUUUUUCUAGAAAAAGGUUCCAGAACUCACCAUGAACACCUCCCUUAUUCUCUUAGAAUUUGAGAGGUGCCAGAACUGAGUUCCUGUGAGUUCCCCCUAAAAAGCCCUGCUAUCAUGUAAAAGGGUCAUACUAUGUGUAGUUUGGCUCAGACAGACUGCAUGAAAAUGGCUUAGCUGACAUGAGAUGUUCCAGGUACCAUGUAACUAAUCAGGAUAUUACAGAUUCAGAAACAUAAUACAGUGGUGCCUCGCAAGACGAAAUUAAUCCGUUCCGCGAGAGUCUUCGUCUAGCGGUUUUUUCGUCUUGCGAAGCAACCCUAUUAGCGGCUUAACGGAUUAGCGCUAUUAGCGGUUUAGCGGCUAUUAAAGGCUUAAAGGCUUAGCGGAUUAGCUGCUAAAAGGCUAUUAAAGGCUUAGCAGAUUAGAUAAAGGGGGGGAAAAGCGAAAAAAAAACCUCUAGACUCGCAAGACAUUUUCGUCUUGCGAAGCAAGCCCAUAGGGAAAUUCGUCCUGCGAAGCAACUCAAAAACGGAAAACCCUUUCGUCUAGCGGGUUUUCCGUCUUGCGAGGCAUUCGUCUUGCGGGGCACCACUGUAGAUUCCACUGAAUAAUCAUAGGAGAAAACCAAGGGCCACUUCUUAUUUUUGUGGAGGCAAUAACCAAGGAAGAAGCUACAUCACCCUUCUGAAUUCCCACCCGAGGGGUUACAGAUUUGUUCAUCUAGCAAGAACAUGCAGUAUGUAAUGGGUAAAAGUGGCUCUCAAAUUAAUCACUUGGAGCCUUUAAGUCAGGGGUAGCCAAUAUGAUGCCCUCCAGAUGUUAUUAGACUCAAACUCCCAUCAGCCCCAACCAGCAUGGCCCAUGGCCAAGGAUUAUGGAUGUUGUAACCCAGCAACAUACGGAAGGCAGAUGUUGGCUACCCCUGACUUACAACUAGAAAUUAGCCUCUUGUGCACAGUAUUCCCUUUUGCUUUAAAGGAACUGCAUUGCAACCAAGACCAUGGCUUUUGGUUUCUGGCUGUGGUGCAUUAUGCCUGAUUAUUCUUUCUGUCCAAAUCCUGCAUGUGGCAGCUGGCGUGUACCAGGGGCUUGACAUGGGCUGGGGAGCCACCAGGCCUGCAAGCUUGCCUCUUUGUCAUCACUGCUCAACUGCCUGUAUGAGCGGGGACCCUGUUUUAGCUCAAUUGCAGCACAGCUCUUGCAAACAGGAAUGAGACUAGUACAGCUCUUACUGUCCAGGGACGGUCCAUGGCUCAGUGGUACAGCACAUUAUUUAGAGGCUGAUGUAGUCCCACAACCUCUGGAGGGCCCAAGGUCCCCCAGUCCUAGCCUACACUAUAUCUGAAGGAGCGUCUCCACCCCCAUCGUUCUACCCGGGGACUGAGGUCCAGCACCGAGGGCCUUCUGGCAGUUCCCUCAGUGCGAGAAGCCAAGUUACAGGGAACCAGGCAGAGGGCCUUCUCGGUAGUGGCGCCCUCCCUGUGGAAUGCCCUCCCACCAGAUGUCAAAGAGAACAACAACUACCAGACUUUUAGAAGACAUCUGAAGGCAGCCCUGCUUUUAAUGUUUGAUGUAUUACAGUAUUUUAAUAUAUUUUUUGGAAGCCACCCAGAGUGGCUGGGGAAGUCCAGCCAGAUGGGCGGGGUAUAAAUAAUAAAUUAUUAUUAUUAUUAUUAUUAUUAUUAUUAUUAUUAUUACACAGUACCUGCCUUGCUGUUACUUUCUGCUGUGGCCACUGGUUCAAAGGCCAGGGAUGUCUGCUUGAGGAAGGGGCAUGGAAGACUAUGCACUGCUGGGAAUAGCUGCAUCUCAAUGGCAAAGUGUAUAUUUUGUUCAUGUUAAAAGUCCUAAAUUCAAUCCCUGACUUCUCAAUAGGAAGACCUUUGGUUUGGGACCUUGAAGAGUCAUUGCCAGACAGAGUAAGUCCUUUAUGUGGGUUUCCCACAGACAUCUGUUUCACCAUUGAGGGAAUAGGGAUGCUGAAUUGGAAGGACCUUUGGUCAGAUCCAGCUGAGCUCUUCUUAGAGCAUAUCAUAUGGACCAGUGAUGCAGUGGAUAGGUUUUAAAAGUCAUUUGAGAAGCCAGUGCUGCAAGAAUCUAUCUAUUCCUACUUCCAGCCCCUUUUCUCUAAAUAACAAAUGCCCAUCACUGAAUGAGAGUUGACGGCUGAACUCUUCCUUAGGUAAAAGUUGCCUGGUAUAUCAUAUCAGUCAAUGCCUUUCUAUCAGGUUGCUUUCACAAGAGUUAAUCAUUAAUAUUUCUGUGGGCUGGGAACAUAGUAAUGCCAGCUAUGCAACAGUUAUAUAAAAGUGUGCAAAUGGUUGUUUCCUGUUGGGCAUGAUGUAACAAUUGCAGAUAUGGGCAAACUCAAGAAAAACUCUUGUUUCAUUUCAAAAAAAUUACUAUUUCCCCAUUCUGAUUUUACAAACAAACAAAUGUGUUUUUACAUGUAUCGAGAAGGGGAAAAAAAGAAUGAAUGAAUCCCAACUGAAAAGAAUCCCUUAUUUUAAGGAACUAGCAUGUGUUACAGCCUUAUCUUAUGCUUUGCUAGUAUCCAAAUCCACAGAAUCUCCCCUGCUGCUGGGUUCAGUAUUUUUGUUGCAAGACCAUGUAGUAUUGAGUAGUGUCAUAGAUUAGAUUGCUGUGACAUGCUCUGUGUUAGGUCUGUUUUUGAGAAGCAUUUGAGAACUGUAGCUGGUCCAGAAUACAGUAGUUAGGCUUCUAACUGGAGUUCAUUCUGGGGCUCAUAGACCACAAAUGCUUGAAAGCUGCACUGGUAACUGCUUGGUUUCUAGGCUCAAGUUAAGUUACUGAUCUUGCUAAGUGCUCUGGGUCGAAAGUAUGUGAAGGACCACCUCUUCCUCUAUAUCCUUAGGGAAUGUGCAAGCUGCUCCAUUUCACAUCAGUUUUGCAUUCAUACAUCCACAAGACUGUUCUGCCUUAAUCUGCACAUUUUAUUUUUUGAAAACGGCACUGAAGUUAAUAUUUAAGUACAUAGUUUUGAAUGCAUUUUCUCACAUUUACUAUCUAAAAUGCAUAACCUUUUGCUAGAUUUGGAUAUGAUUGACGAGGAAGUGAAAGAGACAAUGAUUAAAUGGGUGUGAGCCACACAAUAUAUUUAGAGCAAUGGGAGAAACUUUGGCAGGAAGAUAUAAGAUUUACUGCCUGUAGUACAAUAAAAGAAAAUUUCAUCAAAAUGUUCUACAGGUGGUAUUUAACACCAGUCAAAUUAGCAAAAAUGUAUAAACUGAAAUCCAACCUCUGUUGGAAAUGCAACAAGGAAGCUGGUACAACAAUGCAUAUUUGGUGGAGGUGCACCCCAGUUAAGUACUUCUGGGGAGCAAUACAUGAGGAGUUGAAAAAAAAUGCUUAAAAUCCCAUUAACGAAAAAACCAGAGGCUUACCUAUGGGCUUUUUAGAAAAAGAAAUACCAAAAUUGAAAAAAGAAUUUUCUUAUAUGCGACCACCGUGGCUAGGAUAGUAAUAGCAUCUAAAUGGGAAGCUAAAGAACUACCUACCAAGGAGGAAUGGAUUCUCAAAUUAAAGAAUAUUUAAAAUUGGCUAAAUUAACAGCAUCCAUACGACAGCAGUCAAAUAAAAAACUAAAAAACGAAUGGCAAUGCUUUGAUGAUUAUAUGUCAAAAUAUUGCUCUGAAAAAGACAUGCUAAUAUGCUUAGAUUAAGAAUGUAAAUGCAUCAAAACAAUAAAUUAUCAGUGGCAUAUGUAUGUAUAUAGAGAAAAUAAAAACAAUGAGAAUGCAAUGAUAAGGGUAAAAUUUAUUCUAGAGAUGAUGAGUAGCGGUGGAGGAAAGUUAAACAGGGUGGUGGGUUUAUUUUAUUUUGUUUAUGUUUUUCUUUUGCUUUUUUGGGUAUUGUAUAAUGAUUUAAUGUAUAAUGCUUUAAUGUUUCUUUUCUGUUAAGUAUUAUUUUUCUUUUUUUAUUAAAUUGUAUGAUGGAAAAUCUAAAUAAAAAUACCAAAAAAGUGCCAUUGCAGCACUUUCUUGGUGGGUCACACAGAUUGUUACAGGUUGCGUGGAAUUUGCUUAGCUAUUGAAUCUCCAUUCAUUUCUACGACCGAGGCAAAACACAUUGCACAAGAGAGAGAGAGACAUCUAGUGGUUAAGACUGCUGUCUGCUGCACAGCAAACUUAACCCUGGAUGUGUUGUAGAAAAAUGUACAGCACACAUUCAGUUCCAAUUUUUCCACCUGGAUAAUGGAAUUCAUCUACAGCCUCUACCUUAGCCCAGUGGAAUUCCCUUCAAAAUUGCAGAUUCUCAAUUUAGGUGUAACGUGUAAGAAAGGUAUAGAUGGCUCUGCUGCAUAAUGAAAGAUACAAGUACUGCAAUACAGUGGUGCCCCGCAAGACGAAUGCCUCGCAAGACGGAAAACUCGCUAGACGAAAGGGUUUUCCGUUUUUGAGCUGCUUCGCAAGACGAAUUUCCCUAUGGGCUUGCUUCGCAAGACGAAAACGUCUUGCAAGUUUGUUUCCUUUUUUCUUAACACUGUUAAUACAGUUGCGACUUGACUUCAAGGAGCAACUCAUAGAACGCAGUGUACAUAGUAGCCUUUUUUGAGGUUUUUAAAGACUUUGGUGAUUUUUGAAGCUUUUCCAAAACUUCUUUUGCAGCCAAGUUAAGCUUUUAAAACUUUUUGGGGGGGUUUUGGAUUUUGGGUUGGGGUGUUUGGAAUUCAAGGACUUGGUGUUGGGGAGGGGUUUGCAAGAAUCUGGAAGCUUGUGUGUCUUUUUUCUGCAUUUUUUAUGAUUUUCUGUGACCAUUGGGCCACUCUGCUGUUUUUUAAAAAAUUCUGGAUUUGAAUUUCUGUGUGCUGGGUGGCUGGGGGAACAGUUGGGGAGGGGUUUGCAAGAAUCUGGAAGCUUGUGUGGUUUUUUCCUGCAUUUUUAUGAUUUUCUGUGACCAUUGGGCCACUCUGCUGUUUUUUAAAAAAAAUUCUGGAUUUGAAUUUCUGUGUGCUGGAUGGCUGGGGGAACAGUUGGGGAGGGGUUUGCAGGAAUCUGGAAGCUUGUGUGUUUUUUUCUGCAUUUUUGUGAUUUUCUGUGACCAUUGGGCCACUCUGCUGUUUUUUAAAAAAAAUUCUGGAUUUGAAUUUCUGUGUGCUGGGUGACUGGGGGAACAGUUGGGGAGGGGUUUGCAACAGUUGGGGAGGUUGUUAUACCAAAUUUGGCUUUGUUUGGACUUUUUUUGACCAUAGGAACGCAUUAAUUGAUUUUCAAUGCAUUCCUAUGGGAAUUCGUGAUUCGCAAGACGAAAAAUUCGCUAGACGAAAAAACUCACGGAACGAAUUAAUUUCGUCUUGCGAGGCACCACUGUAUUUGAAUUUCAGAUUGGUUGUUUCUCGCAAUGAUAUUUUGAAUACUGUACAAAUAAUUUGAUUUUGGUGGAAGUACUCCUGUGCUAUCCAUUUAUUUCUUUACCUUUCCUCGAACGGAACCAGCGUAUGGGCUUUUCCACCCCACCCUUUUACCCUUCACAACAACCAUGCGAGAUGCAUUAGGCUGGGUGAGAGUGACUGGCUCAAGGCCACCCAACACUCUCCAUGGCUUAGUGGUGGUUUCAACCCAGAUCUCCCUAAUACCAGUACAGCCAAUGUGGUGCUCAGCAGUUGUUGUUGAACCCCCAGUUACCCUCGGCCUCAGCCAGCAUUGCCAAUGCACAGGGAUGGUGGGAAAUGGGGUCCAAUGAGGCAUGGAGAGAACCUUGUUGGCCCUCCCUGUCAUAGUCCACUACCAAAAAGCAUCCCUUUAUUACACUCAUCAGUUCUCCAGGCUGAUACUCCCUUUUGUAUCUUCUUCAAACUCAUGUACAGGGGAAGGGCACCUUCAAAAGGUCUCAUGUUCAGUCCCUGGCAUCCUCAGGUACGACUGUGAAUGGAAAAUCCUGGAAAGCUGUAUAGGUGUUGCUGGAUUGGGUGGAUCAGUGAUCUGACUUUGCAUCAUCCUCUCCGUCAUCCUGAUAAUUUAUUAUUUAUAUCCCACCCAUCUGGCUGGGUUUCCCCAGCCACUCUAGGCAGCUUCCAACAAAAUACUAAAAAUACAAUAAAACAUCUGACAUUAAAAGCUUCCCUAAACAGGGCUGCCUUCAGAUGUCUUCUAAAUGUCAUAUAGUUUUUUAUUUCUUUGACAUCUGGUAGGAGGGCGUUCCACAGGGCAGGUGCCACUACCGAGAAGGCCCUCUGCCUGGUUCCCUGUAACUUAGCUUCUCACAGUGAGGGAACUGCCAGAAAGCCCUCAGAGCUGGACCUCAGUGUCCGGGCUGAACGAUGGGUUUUAGCAAAAUAUCCUGAUGUUUUAUUUUUCAUUUUCUAAUUGCAGCCCUGAUGUCUUCUAAACACCAUUCAUGGUGUCCGUUUUGAUUCUAAAAACCCUAGAUGGACUAUUGGAUGGAUGCUUGUAAUAUACAUAAAUUGUUUUUCUGUUUUGAAAGUGGUAAAUAAUACGUGUAAACAAGUGAAACAUUUAAAAGGUUAGAGAUUGCCAACUUGUCUUCCAUGCAGCAAGUUGAAAACUGUCCUGCCUUCAGACCACAAAGGGAUGCAGGGGGUCAUUCUCAAUGGCUCUACUCUAGUUAGAUUACUCCCUCCCCAGGGAGGCUGGGCAAAGGGUGGGCUAAAGCUUAUUUCAAAAGUGCUAUAUUCUGGUUUGAUUAGUUUUUGGCCUUCACUGGUGUUCAUUUGGUUAUGGGAUCUGGACAGAGUUUUAUUGUAUUUAAUUUUGUUUUAUGCCGUUUCACAGUAACAAGAGGGUUUCUGAUAUCUGAAUAAUUAAAUAUGGUUGCCUUUCUUUGGAUUUGUGGCAUCAGCAAAUGUGAUAAAAAUAAGUGAUAGAUAUAUAUAUUACAAAGUGAACUUGUUAAUAUUCAUUUAUACUUUAUGCAUUUGGUCUGUGUGAGAUACUUACUGAUUUCAUCAAGUUAGCUUGCAUCAGUCCCAGCUAAUGAGUAAACCAUACAAAUGGAAUUCUUUAUAUUUUUAGUUGUAGCUGAUUGGUUGAUUUGGGGGAAAAUUGUUUUGAUGUACACAGUGAUUAAGUGGCCCUGCUGUCUGAAGAGAUCUCAGUUUAUAAUCUGCUGACUAAACUGCAUCAGCAAAGUCUGCUCUGUUAUGCGCUGUAGAACAACUGUUUUUGGUUCUAAAACAAUAACAAACUUAUUUUUCUUUUCAGGUAAGUUCAAAAACAUUUAUUUCAUUGGUUGCAACAAACAGGUAGGACAGUAUAUUCCGUUCCAUUUUCUAUGUGACUAAAUCUACAUAUCUUGAAUGCUUAGAGGGUCAUAUUGGGCAUUAGGAUGUAUGCAAAGUAAUGAACUAUUUGGAUAAAAAUCUCUCAGAUGUGUGUGUGUUUUAGAAUUGGUCCUUGUGGUUACUGGGGCUUCCUCUACUCAGUCCUUGAUGGAUAUUUUCAGUUUGUCCUGCCUAAGAAGGUGGGCUAGAUUCUUGGAUUUGUGAGAUCCACCAUUUAUACUUAAUGAUCUUGGCCCAUCCUGGUUUGUUCAAUCAGAAUUAGCAAACUGGAUCUCAGAAGGUGGAAGAAGGUGAGUUCUGGUGGUUCUUAAAGAGACUGUUUUGAAAUCGCUCCUUUUAGAGCUUAACAACUGUCACCCUGUUUUACAUUUUUUGAUCACGAUACUUCACCAUUUGAUGGCAAAGCAACUCCAGUUUUUCUUGGAUGAAAUGGAUAGCUCACAUCUAUUUCAGUCUAGCUCCUACCUCAAUUAUCAGACAGGAACUCCCUUGAUCACCUGGUGAAGGGAUGGACAAAUCUGCCAAUUUAAGUUUCUUUCAAUUUCUCUGCAUGUUACACCUCAGAGAAUCAGUCCCAUGAGCCAAGCUGAGGCCAACUGUACAACCGGUAAUAAUCCUGGGAACAAUUUUAUGGAUGUAGCUUUUAUGAGUUCAGAACAGCCUUCCCCAGCCUAGUGCCCUCACAAUCUUUUGGACUGCAGUGGUCAUGCUGCUUGAGACUGAUGGGUGUUGUAGUCCAAACCAUCUUAGAAGGGCACAUUGGACGAAAUCUGUUGCAGAGCGAUUCUGCUUUUGUAUUGGAAGCCUCCUGGAAAACAACAGAGAAAGUGUUACAGGAAAUAUUUGCUGUCCUGUAGCUUUCCCUCUUGGACCAAGUCCACUUUGAAAGUUUUAUCCUGAAACAUGUCAAGGUGCCUGCUCAUCAUUUGCUAAGGCUCUUCUAUUCCAUCUGAACUAAAAUUAGGCUUCCUCUGUGUUUUUUGAGAUGCGGAUUGUCCUUGGAUGAUCACCAUCAGAGGAAAAAACAGCUUUGUCUUGAGGAGCCAUUAAUAGGAUGCAGAGCAGCAGUUGUGCCCUCUUUGAGAGCCAGUGUAGUGUAGUGGUUAAGUGUGGUGUAGUGGUCUCGUAAUCUGGGGAACCAGGUUCGCGUCUCCGCUCCUCCACAUGCAGCUGCUGGGUGAACUUGGGCUAGUCACACUUCUCUGAAGUCUCUCAGCCCCACUCACCUCACAGAGUGUUUGUUGUGGAGGAGGAAGGGAAAGGAGAAUGUUAGCCGCUUUGAGACUCCUUCGGGUAGUGAUAAAGCGGGAUAUAAAAUCCAAACUCCUCCUCUUCUUCUUUCUCACAUUUGCCAAAGGAUGCUGCUUGCCUGCUAAUGUCACAUGAAGCAAACACUGUCAGCCAUCAGGAGUGAGCAACAGCGAUAAACCUUGUUUAUUAAGUUAUUGUGAGACUCUGUGUGUAGAUCGGCCAUUCUAGCUGCAUGUCUGCAUGGGUUUGCUGGGAGGUGUGUAUGUCUUGGGUAUACGUGAAGGCCAGUGUUCUGUAGUAGUUAGAGUAGGAAUAGGAAGACUCAGGUUUAAAUUCCCACUCAUCCAAGAAGCUCACCAGGUGAUUUUGCACCACUUGCUGGCCUGGUAUGCAUAUCAUGCAAAGCAAGACCAUCAUGGCCUCAUGUGAACUUGUAGGCUCUAGAAAAGAUCCCUAAUCAUUUUGCUACUGUAGAAGAAGAAGAAGAAGAAGAAGAAGAAGAAGAAGAAGAGUUUGGAUUUGAUAUCCCGCUUUAUCACUACCCAAAGGAGUCUCAAAGCGGCUAACAUUCUCCUUUCCCUUCCUCCCCCACAACAAACACCCUGUGAGGUGAGUGGGGCUGAGAGACUUCAGAGAAGUGUGACUAGCCCAAGGUCACCCAGCAGCUGCAUGUGGAGGAGCGGAGACGCGAACUCGGUUCCCCAGAUUACGAGUCUACCGCUCUUAAUCACUACACCACACUGGCUCUCUACUGCACUGAGCUAAGCCAUGGUUUGUCUUAGCAUGUUGUUUGAACCUGGGCUUCAGACAUCUUGUAAAGUUUCGUCUCAGGCCUGUAGCGCAUAGUGAUAUGGGGGAUUUCAUAUCAAAUUUCAGUUGCACUCCAAAGCAGUUCACUUGGUGCAUCUUUUGCAUACUGUCUUUGAUUGCUAGCCCAGGCUUUCCUUCAUCCAAAAGAAUGGACUAUUUUAUGUGUGUGAACCUCUUACUUUGUGUUUUAACUCUUUGGUAUCCUUUAUAUGCCUGUUUUAAUGUUUUUAGACUGAAUUUUAAUGAUUUUUUUUAUAUAUAAAAAAUGUGGACCACUUAGAGAUUUUCAAAAUAUUAACCAAUUGAUAGAUACUCUUAAAUAAAUAAAUAAAAUAAUUCCAGACCAAGGGUUUACAUUUAUUUGGCCAUAAUCUUAAUGGUAAUAGGUUUUUUAUUUUCCUUCCACCACAUUAACAUUUGUUGUGCUAAUUGAUUUAAGCACACGUUGGAACAGGAAGGGAAACAGUUGCCGUGGUAUAAAAAUUGAAAUUAACUUUGUUUGAUGCUUUUAAGGUUUGCAUUGUUCAGCGAGGCUUGCUAAAUUAAUUUUGAAAACAAAUAUAUAUUGCAAAUUGGUGUUGUGAUAGCUGACAUAGCAAUUAUAUAGCUACUGUGGCUUGAAUGCAAAAUCUUUUGUUCAUAUUGGCUUGGUAUUCAUUCUGUUUAGUUUUAUGAUAAUAUGUAAAUUAGUGAAAUUAAUAUUGUGAGACUUGGGAGGUAAAUAGUGUCUCUAGAAAACAAAAAUAUUUCUCUGAAAUUAGAAGCACCAUUGUUUAGCACCUGUGCAGCAGCGAAAUGUUAUAUAGCAACUUAAAAUACAAUUGAGUUUUAUUC
rnacentral:lncRNA from 1 species